rnacentral:lncRNA from 1 species
UGAAUUGGAACUGUGGACUAAGAACAGGUUGGGGUACUAGUUCGAAGAGAGGGGUUAGAUCGGCUGACCUACGAGUCACUCUGAAUUGGGUUAAAAAUUGAUUAACCAAGUUUUUAAUAUAUGUUUUUAAUUUUAAAAUAAUCUAUUUAAUUAAACCGGAUUAAUUGAGAAUUGGUGGUCUAAUCGGGUUCGAUUCUAAAAAUCUUGGGUUGAACUUAAAAUGAGUUUGGGCUAGCCAUUUAUAAAUAUAGCAAGCUUGAACAACAUUUUAGCCUUUUUUUAGGUUAGAUUUGAGGAAACAUAAAAUGUGUUAAUAUUACACUUAAGCUUGGGUCGACUUGAUCCAUGAAUUCUUCUAUAAUUUUUUUUAAAACAAUUAUUGUUAAGAAUCAUUAAUGAGUAUUUUUUAACUUAAUGGUUUAAUUUGUGAUCCUUCAGAAUGUGCUCUAUUCUAAUGUUACGAGAAAAUGAGAUAUUGAUUUCAAGUUGCAUAUUUUGCGUAAAAUGAUAUAAAUAUUGAAAAUUGAAUUAUAAAUUAGUUUUAAGGAGUUAAAAUGUAUACUAUCGUUACGUUAACAUACAAGUUACAAUUUUAUAAUUUUUGGAAAGACCAAACUAUAACUCCACCAUUUUUAUGGGGGAAGGGCAGGCGCCGCCCGCUGAUGCUUUUGUUUUUGGAGCUAAGCCUAAGAUAGCAAAUCAGAAAAUUUUCUACAACAUUUGUUUUUCCAAGUAGUUAUAAUAAGAAGAUGCAAAUUGAAAGACACAUUACAAAACGAAUGAUGAUAUUGUCAGUGUUGUUGAUUAAUGAAACUAAGUUAAUUCAAUAUGUAAAUAUAGAUAUAAUCGAUGUUGAUCUUGAAGCAGAAUCUUAGUGUCACCAAAAUUCGGAGGGAAGGAGGAUGACAGCAAGGGGCAUAUAUAUCUAAAUUUGUACCCAAUCCAGCACUUGUUUUACUUUCUUUCUUUUCUUCGACCACGUGACUCACUAUUCCAUAUUCUUUUCCUUUUUCCUGAUGUGAAAACGAUGGACUUCGCCUUUGGCCUGGCACUGCUCUGCACCUGUUCUUUUGUUUCACCCUUUUCUAACUCUAUCGCUCCUUCUGUUAUCUGCUUAUCGCUCUACGCUCCGCUUUGCAUGCUUUCUACUGGGCUGCUUUUGGGCUAAAACUUGUAGAUAGGUAAAUUAGGAAGACUAGCCCAAAAGCUGGCUCUGCUAGGCUCCAUUUUGCUGUCUUCCAUCCAAUUUUAACAUUUUUUUGUACUGUUCCACCGCAUGCAUGCUUGCUCAACUCGACCUGAUUCCCUCUAGCCCAUUUGAGAAGCUUUAUUUUCCUUUUUCAGAUGAUAAUAUCAUCGUAGAAUUGCUUAAAGAACCUUUUCAUGUAUGUAUGUAUGUAUGAUCAGAGCUUUGUAUUUUGAUCCCAAUGCUAUAAAAUGAUAAUUUUAUGCUAAAACGCGAUGAUAAAACUGCAAAUAAAGUCAGAGGGGCACCGAAAUUGGUACUCUGAAACGUGUAAGCCAGCAAACUUGAAGAGGACAAUAAGUUAGAAAAUAAACAUACGCUGAAAGAAAAUAAAACCCAAGUUGGGUUGAGUGUUCUUAUUUCAAUCUUGUCUGGUGGCUGGGCUUGAUUUGGACCUCGAGCCCAUUUGGUUGAAGGCACAACAAAUAUAUAUAUUUAGAUUGAAUGUACGUAUGUAUGAGAAUCAAUGCACGUAUUUUAGCAUGUUGGUGAUGUAAACGUAUCGGAUGGAUGGAAUGCAAGAAUCGGAGCGUGAAGUGGGAGAGGAGAUGUCACAUGCUGAGACUGAGAACAUAAAGACAAGGCUAGCAUUCUUGCCUGCUAAAGCUAAAGCCUAAAGAAAUGACGUAGUGGGAGAAGAUGCACCAACUCAUACUGCUGCCUAUUGUGUAAAGCCAAAGUGGAGAUUCGGAUGGUUAUGGAGGGGCCAAAGUAGGUAUCUUAGCUUAGCUAGUUUUGUUCUCCUUAGCUUUUUUCAUUCCAACUGUGGCUAAAGCAUAUUGGCCUUUGCCAUUUUUGCAAGGACAAUUCCAUUUAUCCUCCAAUUUUAUAGGCAUGGAUAAGCCUCAAAAUAUUCCCCCCUCCUAACUCACACCACAAGCCUAAUCCAUUUAUGGUUUUUUUCCCUAAAAAUAAUGUAUUAUGGAAGCUGAUAAAAUGAAUUACAAGAAUGUAAUGUCAUAAAUUUCUUGAAGUUUUAACUGAUUCAUUUGAGAAUCUUUCAAAAGUACAAAAUAUAUUGAGAGAGUUAAUCAAGAGAUUUUGCUUUUUUCACAAAUUCAGCUUCAUCUAAUUUCUAGAUGUUGUAUAUUAUUGGUGCUACAAGUUGUAGUACUCAAUUGUAACUUAGUAAUUAAGCUGAUAGAAAUUUAUCUAUUUUGUUGGCAUCUUUUAACUGGUCUUAUAUGACUAUUUUUUUGCAUUUUAAAAAGAUUUUAUGGAGUAAAUUUCAUGAUUAAUUUGAGGAAGAAAUCCAAUUAAUUAAAGACAACUCGAAGUGAUCUAGUGUGAUUGUCUUUCUUUAAUUAAGAUAUACGAUAAAAAACAAAACAAAUUAAUUCAAGGAGAUCUUUACUUUAUCUCAUUUCAUAAUGAAAGGUUUAACUGUGGCAAAAUUUUAGUAAUGGAGACUUGCCUUUUGUGUGUUAUGUGUGCAAAAAUUAGAGAACACAAACUGUUCAUUACUAGGAACAUUUGUGUAUGAACUUAUAUUGUAAUCAAAUUGGUGUAACAGUUUGAGCUAAGUCUUCACAAGGGAAAUCUUUAUGGGAAAGUUCAAUCAUUAUAAUUGUAUGGGAGUGAGGUUGCAAUGAGCGUGAGUGAGGUUGAACUUAAAUAAUCUAUUGUACUGGAGAAAUUAUAAUGAAUUCUUCUCUAGGAAAGGCUCUAUAGACACAUGAUUGGAUUUAAACUACAUAACUAAUUGCAUGUGUUCUUCGAUUUACUUUUUCAGUUUUAAAUUGUUUCUUUAGUUACAACUUAUGUAAUAACUUAACCAACAAUUUAACACUUACAAUUGAUAUUAGUGCUAGACACUAGACAAAUUUGUUGAAGUCCAAACUAUUGAUUUGCUAAAUCAUGGAAAGAUGUUUGGUCUCUAAAUUACCGAUGCUCAAUGGGUUGAAUUCUACCUACUAGAAGGACAUUUGAGGGCUUUUAUAAAGUCCAUAGAUGAGAAAGCAUGAAGAGCAACCCAACAUGGAGAGCAAUCCUAACAAGUUGGGAACUUCCACUGAAUGAAGUUGAUGGUGUUUGUAUUCCUAAACCUAAGAUCAUUGGACUACUGAAGAGGAAAAAGUUGUUAACUACAACUCCAAGGCCUUAAAAUCAAUCUUUAAUGGCAUGGAUAUCAGAAAUUCAAGUGAAUCUUCAAGUGCACCACUGCUCGAGAAGCAUGGACCAUUCUUGAACUUGUUCAUGAAUGGACAUUUAUUAUAAAAUAGUCAAAAAUAUAGAUGUUAACAUUAGGUUUUAGAAUUUGAGAAUGUUAGAUGAAGAAACACUUUGAUUGUUAUGUUAAAUUAUGAGACACUUUUAACUAAGCUUUUGCUUUUGGUGAAGAGUACUUGAAUGUAAAGCUUGUGCACAAAAUUUUGAGAUCUCUCUUAGAUUGUUUUUCAAUCAAAGUGACAACCAUAUAAGGGGCUAGAACAUUAUCACGAUGAAAAUUGAUGAGUUAAUUGGGUCUUUGAAUGCUCGAAAUAAACUUAGAGGAAGCCAAAAGGGGCAAAGUUAAGUCAAGAAAGAAUAUUACUCUGCAAGUUUGUAACAUCCCAUACUAGACUCGAUCGUCGGGUCAGAGCUAGGGGAUGUCAUAUUUGUUGUAGAAGUAACUACGAUUAAUAACGAUUCAAUUUAACCUUGUAUGUGCUAACAAUUAUACAUUCAUUUAUAAUAUGAUAAUACUCAUAUUCGGAUCUUUUACGAGCUUACAAAAGCUCUUAAGGUGACUCGGGUUGAAUAAAGACCAAAAUGUAGAGGUUGUAAAAUAUCGAGUUGACGUUGCGACUUUGGGGGUUCCUCGUCGCGACACAACAUGCUGACUAGACUUGUCACGAUGUUAAGGGUCCGACAUCGCGACAUGACCUCUAUUUCUAACAAGGUCCAAUUUGGUAUUUAAUCAGCCAUAUCGGCACCUAACCAAUUAUUCAAUUCAACCAUUUAAUUAAGAAAUACCAAUUCAUAUACUCAAUUCUAACCAUAAAACAACACUUAACAUGUACAUAAUUCAAUAUAUCAUUCAUUACAUUGAAUCAUAUGACAAUUUCUACCAUUUUGAAGCAUUUAAACCUUUGAUAUCAAGCCAAUCCAUUUAGCAUAACAAAACAUGACAUUUCGAUUCCAACAACCUCAACACAACAUUUUCAAUACCAAUUGACCAUGAUAAGCUAAACUUUACUAGGUUAAAAAUCAAUGUGACUAUAUUAUAUAUGUACAAAAUUGACUCAAAGCUUAGGUACAUGGCAUGUAUUAAACAAAAAGGGACCAUACUGACAUUGCCAAGUCGAGGGUCACGAAUUUGAUGCUGAAAUCACCUCUCAGAACUUCAAGUUCCACCUAUACCUGAGCAUGAGAAAUGUGUAAAUGAUAUAUUCUUAUUGGUAUUGCAGGGUUUAUGAAAGUGGAACAUGGUCAUAAGUCAUUUGUCCGAGGCAAAUGAUUUAAUCAUUACUAAUAUAAGUAAUAAUCAUUUUUUUGAAGAUACAGUGGUGACCAUAAGAUAGAAAUGGAUUGGAUUAGGUGAGAAAAUUUAACCUAAAGAGAUUAUGGAUAUCUUAUGAGAGUAACACACAUAUUGUAUUGGUAUAUAAUGUAGAGUUCAACUAUUGUACUUUUAGUGGAUUGACUCAAUAACUAAAUAAAUUUGUAAUUAAUAGAUUAAAAUUCAAAACUUAAUUACAAAUUACUUUAGCCGUAGUUAUAUAUAUAUAUAUAUCUAAUUGAUCCCUCCACUAGCUCAUAUAACUUUAAAUGGAUUGCAUAAUAAGAACUUUGAAUGAAUGAAGACAAACGAUGGAUGAGAAAUAGAUUGCAUGAAAUACUAUAUGUAGUAAAUGCAUUUUCUUAAUAAGGCAAGCAAUAACUUAGGAUUAAUUUAAUUUCUUUGGAUUAUUAUUUAAUUGGGUGAAUAAAUUAAAUAAUUAAGUCCAAAUUAAAAUUUAAAUUAUGUAGUCAUUGUAGUUUAAUUUCAUUCAGAUAAUUAAACAAAUUUGCACAUAAAUUUUAAUACGAUAAAGUCGUCAUGAUUUUAACAAAAUUAGAAUAAAAUUGUGUAAAUUAUUUAAUUAUAAUAAAAUAAUUAAAUUAAUUUUUUAAUUAACAAUUAAUUUGGAGGAAUAUUCAAUUAUUUAGUUAAUUCAAUAUCCUAGCUUAGUUCUUUUAUUUAAAACAAAGAGGUAAGCUCAAUAAAUUGGACUAGUCUUAGAUUGACCCAAUUGAUUUGAUAAUAUGUAAUGAUACUACAGAUGCAUAUUUACGAUAUAUGAAUAUCGAUAGCAUGUGAAAGACCAUGCGAACCGGCUAUACAAGCUCGAAGACCGAUGUCAAAUCAAUGGAUUUGAUAUGAAAUUUGAAAAAUGAAAUGAAAUAAUGGUUGGUAUUGAAUUGAAAUUGAAUGCAUUUUUGAUAAAUAGAUGGAAAUGUAUGAUAUGUUACAUUGAAAUGCUCUAAGUAAUUGAUUAUGGAAUUGUAUUAAUAUGUGAAUGUGUAUAAUCUCAGUUUUGGUAUAUGAUUUGUAACUAUUUUGGUUGGAACUAGUUGUAGCAAUGAGUUGUGUUGUAUAAAUAAUGUUAUUGAUGUUUAAUUGACAUGAAUCAUGGAAGUACCACUGAGCUUUAUCGCUCAGUGUAUGGUUUGUUCAUUUUGUGUGCAAGUAUAGGUAAAUCUCGAGGUUACGAGAAGUGAUUCCAAUAUCCAGAAAGUGACCCUCGACUUAGAAAUGUUUGUAUAGUUCUUUUUUGUUUAAUAUAUGACAUGUACCUAGGUUUCGAGUCAAUUUCGUAUAGUGUAUAGUUAUAUUAAUGUCAAAGCUAGUAAUGGUUUAAAUGAUAUGAUCAAAUGGUAUGGCAUAUGUGAUCGCUUCCGGACGUACUAACAUCUAGAGUGUGAAUACUGCAACCAAAUAUAAGAGUUAGGCGGCUUCCGCAAGUAUACGAGUCAGGUUAUAAUAUAAUUUGUUUACAAUGAAACACUUGGUAAGUAUGCUAAGGAUCGUAAUCUAGGGAUUGUAGUUUGGGGAAAAUUGCUAUUAAGCCAAUUACCGAAAAUAACUACUAAUCUACUUGAGGCAUAAAUCAGUAGUGUUGAUCUGGAAGCAAGAUGAUAAUAAUAACCAAAUAAAUUGAAUUAAAUCUAAAUCUAUUCCUAAAUUUAUGUAUCGACUUCUCUUAUCCCUUGUUUCAACUACGCGAGCUCCUUUAGCUUAGAUCCAAUUGUUUUACCUGAAUAAUUUUUGAUGUAUGGUUCUAAAUAGUUCGUUACUAAUUAACCUAGUAGGGCUUCUCAGCCUUGUACUAACCUAACUAGUCGAUAAGAACUACUCACCUCUUGAUGACACAGUUCAGACCGGGGCAGAGUAAGGUUUUCACAAAUAGGCAAUACUGAUUUUGAGUUAAUUCUCACCUAUAUGACUUCCUAGGGUUGUCAAGCCUAAGGUUUAAGUUCUUCCUUUCCUAACCACUAGUUUGCUAAUUAGUGAUACUUGAUAGGCAAUACUGAUUUCGGGUUAAUUCCUACCCAAAUGACUUCCUGGGGUCAUCAAUCCUAGGGUUUAAUUGCACUCAAUCAGAUCUAACUUAUCCAAAUUGAAAUCUACUUGUCAAUCCAUUAAUUAGAUUAGUAUAAUUGAAACAUGUGAAAUAUGUAUAAAGUAUUAAUUGACUCUAAUCUUUACACAAAUAUUGAAUUAAAAAUGUUAAAGAAAGAAAUAUAAAGAAUAUAAUAAAGGAAAGAGAUGUUCAUGGAUUUAUCGAUGAAAGCAUGGCUCCGGAACAAUCUCCACUCACGAAAGUCUCACUUUGGAAUAGAAUAUUAUUUCAUAUUACAAGAACAUAAAAUAAACUAAGUAAAAACUAAUAACAAAAUAAAAACCUCUGAAAAGUCCCCCAUAAUGUGUUGUUCUGAGCAAGUAUUUAUAGAUUACAUGUAUUAUGAUCUAAUUAGGUCAAGUAAGAAUGACUAAGCAUGUUAAUUUAGGUUGUGUAGACGAUAACACCUUUGCUCAUUAAAUUGGCCUCAUCGCAAUUGUGUCCGACAUCGAAGACAUUUUGCUUUAUUCUUAGUGUCUUCUGGGUUGUGCCGCGACACCAUCUAGCCUAUGUCGCAACAUCCUCGGUAGUUUGCUCCUCAGGUAAUCUACUUGAUGUGUUACGACAUCCUAGUUCCGUGUUGCUACAUCGGGAGCAAUCCACUAUCUUUUUGCCCUCGAAUGAUGUCCUGCACACUUAAUCAACAUUUUAGUAUUCCCUUAGGCCCAGAUUAGCCUAAAAGGUCAUAAAACACAUUAAAAAUGCUCAUUUUAUUCACUAGGUCCUAAAAAGGGGAACUUAAUAAAAACCAUAUUAGUUUGCUAUAACACCAAUUCAUUAAGUAUAGAAUUGGGCCUAAUCUACUACAACGAAUUGUGGCAGAUCAAUAUGUUUUAAAAUUUGGUUGUUUGAAGUUAGAAUGAUAUUGGUAUAUAUAUAAGUGUUAAUAGAGUGAAUGGCAUGAAUUGGUACCAAUUGGUAAAUGUUUGGAAAAUUGCUAUAGAUGUUCAAUUUAGAAUAUGAGUUUAUGCAAUACAAAUGUAUUUAUGAUGAUAUAUGAUAGGAAUGAACAUUUAGGUAUGGUAUUUUUUAUUGAAAGAGUGAAUGGUUGUAUUGAAAUUGCUUUCUAGGUGGUACAAGUUGGUACCAUUUUGGACCCUUUGGAAACAAACAGUCACGUUGCGACGUCGAGCCCUUGUCAUCACGGCAAGAAAUCGUCAGUAAGUUGUGUCGCGAUGAGGAACCCUUCAUGUCGUGGCAUCAACCCGAUAAUUCACAAACUUUACAGUUUAGUCCUAAUUCGACCUCAGGUUAGCUAAAGAGCUUUUCUAAGCUCGUAUAAGACUCGAAAAUGAUUAUGUAACAUAUUAUGAAUUAUUAAUAUACUUAUUUGCAUUUAUAGAUGAUUGCAUUGUGUUUAUAAUUGAUCGUAAUUGCUCCAACAACAGAUGUGACAUCUUAUAGCUCAGACCCAGCGACUGGGUCGGGUAUGGAGUGUUACAAAACUUAUAGAUGAUAGAUACUUUUGUUUGGAUGAUGAAUAUUUUUAUUUUAUUGGUAUGGCUAUGAUGAUUUGCUAACUUUUGUUCAUAGAUGAGGAUAUUUUAGGAGAGUUUUUAUUUGAAUAUUUAAGGAGAGUUUCAUACAUUCCUUCAUUGAUCAAGUUUGUUGCAAGGUUUUUGGUAAAAAAUGUCAAGGGAGAAAUUAUUGGCGCUACAAGUUGUAAUGGUUAGUUGCAAUUUAUUUAGCAAUUGUGCUUGUUAAGACUUGUUUAUUUUGUUUAGUUUUUUUGAAUUGUCUUAUGUGACCAUUUUUGUAUAUAUUUUUAAGGGAUUUCAUGCACCAAAUUUUUUGGUUAAUUUGAGGAAGAAAUCCAAUUAAGAAAAUAUAACUUGAAGUGAUUUACUGUGAUUUUUUUCCUUAAUUGAGAUAUGCAAUUAAAAAGUUUAAUUAAAGAAUAUUUCUACUUUAUCUUAUUCCAGAUCAAAAUUUCAUUGAUUAAUUCCAGUUGCACUAGAAUUGGUUCAUAAGUCUACAACUACUUAUAUAAUGGAGACUUGUUUUUAUAUGUUAUGAGUGCAAAAAAUAAAGAACACAAUAUGCUCAUUGCUACAAACAUUUGUAAGUGAGCUUAUUUUGUAAUUAAAAUGUUGUAAUAGUUUGAGCUAAGCUUUCACAUGAAAGAAUCAUAGUGAGAGUGUUCAAUUAUCAUAAUUGCAUUGAAGUGAGAUUACAAUGAACAUGAGUGAGGUUGAGUUUAAAUCAUCUCUUAUAUUAAAGAAAUUGUAGUGAAUUACUCUCUUAGUAAGACUCCACAAACGUAAGAUUAGAUCUGAACUACAUAGCCAAUUGGUUGUGUUCUUCAUUUUACUUUGGCUUUUGUUCAUGUACAAAUUCUCAAAUUGGUACCUCAAAAGUUGUCACUUUGGCACAUAUACUUUAGCUCCAUUUAUCUCGAUACUCCAUCUAACAAUUCCGUUAAAAAAAUUAAAAAUGACAAAAAAAUCUAAAUAAAUCAUGAAAUUCUAAAAAUUUUUAAAAAUAUAUAAAAUUCGAAAAAAUGCAAUUGAUAUAUUUCAAAUUAUUAUUUUCUUGAAAAUAGAAAACAAAAAGCAAAUGAAAUUAUUUAAAAAGGCAUGACAUGUGCACAUCCACAUUCAUCCCAUCAAAACAAAUUGAAAAAUUUAAAAAUUGGGAAAAUUAUAAAAAAUAUAUAAUUAUUAAAAGAAUAAUAUCUAAAAUAAAUCUAGAUUAAUGAUCAUCUAAACGCAGAUUAAUUUAGAUGUCCAUUUGUCCAAAUCAUUCUAGACAUAUAUAUUUUUUAAUAAUUUUAUAUUUUUUAUAAUUUUAAAAAAUAAUAAUAUAAAAACCUAGUACUUUAUUGUUAGAAUAUUUUAGAAAAUUUUCAUUUUUUAGGAUUUUAGUGAUAUUUUUAGAAUUUUCUUGGGGAUUGUUUUUUGCUAUGCUUUUUUUUUCCCUGAAUUUUCUUUUAUUGUAAUUGAGAUUUUAACUCAAAUUAAUCCGAUUAAAGGUAAACACUCAAUUAAUAGGUCACAACUUAGAGUUUAAUUUUUUUUUGAUAUUAUUAUUAAAGUUUUUUCAAUUUUGGUUAUGUCUUAUUAUUUAAUUGGUUCAGAAAAUCCAAAAUGAAAUAAAUGACCAAUAAUAUUCUUGAAAACCAAACUACGUACAAUACAAGGACGAAAAUAAGUGUAAAAUCUUUUUUAUUUUCUUUCCAAUUUGAAGUUAUAGCUUUAAUUACAACUCCUCAUGUAACAACUUAAUAUUACUCUACACUAGAUAUUGCACGAAUUUUGAAAUGAAUAUUGAUGGGGACCAAUGCAGAAAAGUUAGUACAAAUUGGAUAAACUCUUAUCUUUCUCCACAUCAGCCAACCCACGAUAAACUACAUGAAACCCAAAACAAGGAAAAUAAUAAUAAAAAAAGAGGCUGUUUUAAUAUCUGUCAUGCUCUUGCUACUAAUUUCAUCAAAAAAGUUGAACUUAAAAUGCAAAUAAUCCAUGAAAGGAGUACUUUGCAGGUGAAAAAAACUGGAAUUUUAAUGGUGGGAUAGGAACCUUUUUUCAGUUAGUUAUCAGCACUGUUGCAUGCUAAUUAAAAAAAUUGCAGAUAACAUAAAUUUCUUGAACUCGAUUCUAUUCCAGGUCAUUGACAUUCUGAAUUGACUACAGUGCCAUGAAUUAAUAUUUGAUAUCAAUAAAGUGCCAUUAUUCUUGUCUCCCUUGUUGCAUUUAAAUCAUUUUUGUAACAUAUACUUUAUAGUUAUUAGUGUUAGCCACAGCCGAAAGGUUUUUCUAAUUAUAUUAUAUGUUCUAGUUUUUUUAGAAUUUAGUAAUUUAUUGGGUUUAAAUUUAGAAUAAGUAGAUAAGUAAAUUUUCCUUUAUGAAUGUCGAGUUUUUUAUAAUUCAACUCAAUAAGCAUCAUUAUUCUAUAUAUAUUCCUAGUGUACGGACAAUCCAGGAAAUUUGAUUAAUUUAGCUAUAUGAUUGAUACUUUUCAACAUGUUUAUAGCACACAGGGCCGUCGGGAUCAUACAAAAUCUUGAUUUUCUUUUUCUUAUCCAAACAAAUAUCUUAAAGAAGUUCCUUCUUUUUAAUUAUUAUGUUAACUUUUUAUUUAUGCAUUAAACACUUAAUGCUAUAUCCAACUCUCUCUCCCCCACGCCUUAUAAAUAAGAGAUGAUGAAAUCUCAAACUCCACCACAGCUAAGCCUUAGCACACGCAUACGUAUAGCUUCCAAAAACCCUAAGCCUGCUCACUUAUUUGCCCGUUUCAUCUUUCUUUUGCUAGCUACUUAUUAGGUGCCUGCAUUAAAUUGUUAGCUGCAUUAAAGAACGCUAUCAGCUUGUGGUAAUGGACAAGGUAAGAGACCUGGCAUCGAAGAAGGCUGCUGUGAUAUUCACAAAGAGCUCAUGCUACAUGUGUUACAGCAUCAAGACACUUUUUUAUGAGCUUGGUGCUAGCCCAGCUAUCCAUGAGCUCGACCAUGAUCCUAACGGGAGAGAUAUGGAGUGGGCUCUAAGAGGACUAGGGUGUGACCCCUCAGUCCCAGCCGUGUUCAUUGGUGGAAGAUUUGUAGGCUCAGCCAAAGAUGUCAUAUCCCUUCAUGUAGAUGGAUCACUGAAACAAAUGCUCAUGGAUGCAAAGGCCAUAUGGUUCUAGCACUGGAUACAACUUAAUAAUUGCCUACUCAAUUGGCAAUUAAACUUAGUAACUACCGUGAAAAAUAAAUCCAAAUACAAAGAGACAAAAGAAAAUGUCUGUAUUAGGGGCUUUGCUUUUUUUUUUCUUGGGUUCCUUCAAUACACUGUAUAUGAUAAAACAUGAACAGCCUAACACAAUAAUUUUAAAAAAAGAUAAUAAUGUUUGAAAAUUUACUGGUGCGUGCUUAUUCCAUUCCCAUGGAUGUGAUAUUAAAACAUAUACAAGGAAACAGAGACUAAUGAUAUGUAAUGAAGCAUUUCACUUUGUGGGAUUCUUUCCUAUCGGAAACAGACGUCAACGUAUGGCCUUAAAAUAAAAUAAAAAAUAAAAAAAGCUCUAAUAAUGCAAGCUAAGGUAAACAAGUAGUAUAAUAGAAUAGAAUAAAGUUAUUCACGAACCAGAAAUGCCUUUGACUGUUCUUUCUGGUGAUAGAAAGAAUAAUAGUAUAUAUUGAUCCAUUUCAAAGCCUAUCCCCUGUGACUAUACUUGCAAAAGCAACGUUAAGCUGAUGCAAUUCUUGAGGGUAUUGCAAUAUUUUUCAAUGCGCUUUUCAUUUUAAAAGUUAGUUCCUCAGUUUCAGGCCCUGUUACUCCAUUGACGACUAGACACUUGGAAUACGGUUGAGAUGUCAGUUAUCUGUUUAGCAAGUUUAGUUAAUGAUUUUUAUAUUCAUGUCUGUAUAUGGUCUUAUUUCACAGACAAAAAGGUGAUGCUGGAACUUCUUAUGCCCUCUAAAAGGCCAAAAAGUUGCAUGGACGAUCCUCAGUCACAUGCAAGCAUUUAGGUUACUUUAAAUGGAUGGUGAGAUUUGUUGGAAUCAGUGGUGAUAUUAAGUGAAAUAGCAUUAAGAUUAAUAUUCAUGAUGGGUUAUGUGUAAUUAUAUUGUUGAAGUUGGAAAAUUACUAUUAAAUACAUGGAAUUAUAUUAUAUAUGUAAAAUGAGUAAUUUUAUUUCAAAUUAAAUAAUAAAAUAUAUAUUAAGUUUAUAUUUAUGUUAAAUGAUAAUUUUAUUAAUAAAUAGUUAAAUUUUGAUUAAUUAUGGUUGUUGUUUUUUAUUAUUCGUAUAUCUACGUAUUUAUGAUUAAUCCAUAUAAAUUAUUAUAUUAUAUAUAUAUGACCUUUGUUUAUAUUAAAGAAUAAUUAAAAAUAUAUUUAUGAUGAUAAGUCUACAAUUUAUUUUAUAUAAUUAUACAAAAAUAAAAUGAAAUUUAUUUAAUUACUAUAUAUUAAUUUUUAAAUUAUUAUAUUUUUAUUUUUAUAAUGACUAAAUUUAUAUUUAUCUUAUAAUAUUGAAAAAUAAUACUUUAUUUAUAGAACAAGAAAAACAUACAUGAUACACCAUCAAGUACACCCCAUGGAAAUAAAAUAACAUUAGUCCCCAAACCCUCGGUCAAUAAAUGCAAGUAAUACUAGAAAACCUAUUAAGGUUAAAAGUGGGGAAAACUCACCUCACCUCAUGGCACGUGUAUUUUUUUUAACUGAUGCUCCAAAGCACCACUGCAGUGGAAAGCUUUCCAUGGAACAAAGUUAAUAUCAUCCAAAGGAAGGAACGAUUGUGGUGCGAUUACACAGGAAAAACUCAUCUUACUUACAAAGGGGGCCUUAUACAUACAAAUAGCAUAACUCUUCUACAAUUGUGCACUGCUUGUAAAGCAAAGCCGUUUACCUGUAUAUUUUUUGCAGUAAGAUAGCAAUGAGGAUGGAGAAUCCUGUCCCACAUCGUCCAAGGCAGAGUUGUUGCACGUGUGUGCGCGAGGCUCACUCGCACAUGGCGCUAUUACAUAUAUUUUAUGGGUGAAAUUAUAUUACUAUUCCUUGCACUAAGGCUAAGUUGAAGAUUUAGUUUAUCUACCCUAAUUUGGUAACAGUUAGUCUUUAUAAUUUUUGAAUUUUAAAAGUUCCGUAUUGGCUCAAAUGAUAGCAGUUGAAUUAUGCUAUUAGUCUCAUAUUAUGUGUAAGUUGUGGGUUUAGUCUAUGUUCUGCAGUUUAAUUAUUUUUACUUCCGAUAUUUUUUAAAAUUUAAAAUUUUAGUUUUGACUCAUACGGUAAUUGUUAAACCCAUUAACUAAAAUGAUAUUACUUUUGGUGAAUAUGUAAAAAUAGCAAAAUGAUAUGACAUUAUAUUCAUGAGAUAAUAUAUUUAUCAUAUAAGAUUUUGAAAAUUAUAGAAUUUAACAUAAUGAAUUUAAUGAUAGCGAUAAUUAAAAUUUUAAAAUUCCUAAAGUAUAAGAUAAAAUCGACUGAACUUAAUUCACCCCUUAUUCAUAAUACAAAAACAAACAGCACAAAUUUGAGCAAUAUAUAUUGCAUGAAAUGAAAGUGAGAAAGUGAGGCGCAAUGCAUGUGCGCUCACAUGUGGGAAGAAUCACACAAGUUGGUGGGCGCAAAUAGAAAGAAGCACCGAAAGCCAUCACAUUCGCGAUCUCCUUCGUAAUCUUUCUGCAUAAGGAUUCAAAAAGGAGGCGAUUGUGAGAAUCUGGUUUAAAUUGACUAGCUAGCCUCACAAAAUUUUUACUUUUGUUGCAAGUUCAUAGAAAUUAAUUAGAAUGUAUUUAUGUCUAUACAUCAAAAAGGAAAUACUUGAAUACAUGGUUAAAUUAGUAGGCUAAACAUGUCAAUCCCCCAUAUUCUUUCUACUUUGUCAUUAUUUUGAACCAUCUUGUCACAUUUUCUUUAUAGAUUUAAAUCCAUAUCACAACAUAUAAAUGAUGACACUUUACAAAACGGAUUUGAUGAUUUUUAUUCUAUAAAAUGUAUGGAUUUGUGUUAUGGUAUAAUUCAAAUAUUUGAAAACGUAAUUAAAGUGAUAAAAUUUUUAACUACAUUUAAAUGCUCAAAGAGGAUAAUUUCAACUAAUUAUACAACAUGGCUUGUACUCAAUGGGUUGAGUCGGGUCGUGACGCCAUGCAAUAAGUAGUCCCCAUCCUAUAAAGUAACUUUAGUAGUUUUAGCAUCCAUUUUCUUUUGAAUGUUCUUCUUCAAACUAAGGAGUCUACUCUAUGCUGUCCCUAUAAAUACUCUAGCAUGGGAGCUUAAUUUGCAACAACCUUAAGCUUUGAACCCUUUUCUCUCUUUUCCCACUUCACCUUCUCGAAGUCCAACCUCUCCACACCGCCAUUGCAUCGUCUGCACUCUCAACUGGAUCCCCUAGUCUUUUAAGCUUUAAGUGAAAUCGACAACCAAUUGAAACAUUUUCUUCGUCCCCUGUUAUCAAACAUUGUGAAGCAGGAUUUUCAACAUGGACAAGGUGACGAGAUUGGCUUCAGAGAAUGGGUUAGUGCUAUUCAGCAAGAGCUCAUGUUGCCUGUGUUAUGCAGUCAAAAUUCUAUUCCAAGAGAUUGGGGUGACCCCAACGGUUCAUGAGCUGGACCAAGACCCCGAAGGCAGAGAAAUGGAGAGGGCGCUCAUGAGGUUGGGGUGCAGCGCCCCAGUUCCAGCCGUCUUCAUUGGUGGAAAGCUGGUGGGUUCCACCAAUGAAGUCAUGUCCCUCCAUCUAAGUGGAGGGCUAAUACCUUUGCUCAGGCCCUAUCACUCUAUGUGUUAAAAUUUAAGCACGUCAAUUAUAUCAGUAAAAAACAGUUGAAUAAAAUUGGCUCAAAUUAAUCAAAGGGGGGAUGAUCACUUUGAGGAGCGGCAUGUGGAUUGUGUAGUCUGUGUAGCUUUCUAUGUCUUAUGUGCUUUGUAGCUUUCAAUUAUAGCUUGUAACCUGUUUCUAUUUCUUAAAUGAAGUCAAACUUUAUAUACUCUUCAGCUUUCCAACUUUUGCGAUUAUUGCUUUCAUGUAAAUUAAUUAUUAAAUAUGAACAUCAAUUAUUUUAUGAUUGUUUCUGCAAAGCAAUAUGCUAGGCAUCUUUAAUUUAAUGGUCCACAGAAACCCACUGAAUUCUGAGAUCCCCAUAAAAUGUGUGAUAAAGUGGUUUUGGCUUUUUACAUUGAAGCAUCAUCAAAAAAAUUCCUGAUGAUCAAUAUCGUCUUUACAUAUGCGCACCCCAUGAACAAUUGAAAAGGAGUAUAAUCAAUUUUAUUAAUUUAUUUCCACUUUAGAUAAAGAAAGGUAUUACAUUCCUUGCCUUUUUAUACAUUUGGUUCUGCAAUGGUGGACGACUGGUGUCUUGUCGAUAUCAAUGGCAUAAAAGCUUCACCUCAGACUUGGCAGCAAAAUCUUGGUAAAAAUCUGAUGCUACAUAUAUUGUCUUUGAUCCUCUAUGUGAAAGCCACGAGGGGCCCAGACUAUCGAGCCAGCUCGGAUUCUAUUUCAGUGUACAAACUCUCUCAGCAUUGGUUUUUUUCAUUUAAAAGGCUGGAACUUUAAAUAUUACUUAAAGCACAUUCUACUCCUGAUCACGCAAUUCAACAGGUGCCAGUAAUUUGAUGCUAUAUAUUAGAAGCCUUGCUAGCAUCUCAACAGCAGUUAACAAUUUUGACCUGCCAUAUGUUAGAAAACUUGUGGUGGCCAAUAAGAAAAUUAAGAAGAUUAAAAGUAGAUUAGGCGUGAAAUGCUUUCUUAAGAUUGAUGAGUUUGGAGUCUAACUCAAUUACCUAAGCUAUAAAGAAUUUAAUAUUACUACAACAUUCCCCCUUUAGUAUAUUGGAUAAAUAGAAGUGAGACAAACUUGCAAAGAUCUUGGAAGCUAUAGAAGUGCUCUUAAAGAUUAAGAUGCAGUAUAUAUUAUAUGGAGUCUAUAUACAGCUAUGGUUGGAAAGUUUCAUUUAAACUACUAUGUCGAUGGCAGCUUGAAUAUAAUAUAAUAGUAUUAAUAUUCUAAACAAGCAGAUAGCAAUUAUGAAGGUUGGAAAAUCUGGAAAUCUUUAUAUCAAAUCCUACAAGCACCGAGUUUCAGCUGACUCGUUCCCCCUUCCCACUGAACUCCAUGAAUGUGGGAUAGAAUAUGUAUUUGACAUGAAUGUAAUUAAUUAUGUCAAUUUUUUUUAGUAAACUAAAUUCAAUAUCCUAAUAAGUGCUGGACACGUAUUUCAGAAAAAAAUUACAGAUUAAAAAAAUGGAAUAGUUAUCUUGCUGACUGAACUGACCGUUUACACGGCUAUUAAUGUUUCAGAGAUUGCAUUAUUCUAUUCCAGCAGGAAAAAGAAAGUGAAUAUGCUGUUGUGAGUAGAUUCCUCCAUUGUAUAUGGAGAGGAGCAUAUUGAAUGGUGUCAAGGUAGAAUCCGCAAAGGUGGAAAAAGGAUUGGAAUAAAAAAAAUAUUGGAACUGAUCAUCAGCUUUAUUAUAGUCAAUCUACCCAGUCUUAAUCAUAUAUGCUCUCACUGUGUUUUUGAAUCUUUUGAUCACCAAGAAGAGAGGAUGGACCGCUUCACUACAUAUUCUCUCUCUCUCUCUCUCUCUCUCUCUAUGAGAGUUGGAUAAAAGUUAUAACCUACCACUUUUUAAGUUCAUAAACGUUAAAAGAUUAAUCAAUAGUCUGUCUUAAUAUUGUUAUACACCAGCUUAUAAUAAUUAGGUGAUCCACUUGUCCAGCUAUGGCUGCCAAUCAAUUGUAACCAGAAAUAGCUGCUUAAGAUAAACAAUCUUGUCAGGUCGGGUCCUUAGCAACUAAGAUUUCGAAACCAACAAAAUGAUCAAUAGGCAAACCGACUCACUUACACAGCCAGACGACCGACCAAUGAACUGUCUCAUGGCAAUCCUUUACCAGUUUUAAAUAUAAACUAACGAAAAAUUUGAUUAUGAUAAUGUAACUAUUAAUUAAUAUAAUUAUAGUGAGUAAAGAUAUUAAUUUCAUGAAGACUAAAUGUAUGGGUAAUUACUUCAUUUCUAUUAUUUAAUCGAAUAAUUCGAGUGAUUGAUUAAAAUUAAAAUUAACUAAUUUUAUUAACUAACCAACACGAGAAAGAACAAAACACGAAAGUAAUAUCGAUUAACAAUCAAGAAGCAAAACAAUACCUAAGAAAAAAUUCACUUACAUUUCAUCUGUCACUAUCAAUCUAAAUUACGCAAUUUUUUUACUUAGCACCUUUAUUCAUAGAAAUUCCAAAAUUAUGCAAAUAUAUCUUUCGAGCAUAAGAGCAACUGACUCUAGAUUGAUUAAUUGUCAUUUCUUUCUAAUUAAAACCCAUAUUAUUACAUUAACUCGUACUAUGGAUUCCCCCUAUUAGAUUUGACUCUAAUUUGGUAGAUUUAUGUCGUCCUAUUUAUAGGAUUGCAUGCGACUCCACUCAAUUAUGCAAGAUCUACUUUUAAACAGUGUCUAUUCAACCACCAAUUUAAGCAUAUCAAACAUGGAUUAAUAAUUUAGAAAUAUUAAAUCAAGAAUUAAGCACACAUAAUUGAGAACAAGAAACUAAAAAUUUAUUGCGUAAAAUAAAAAUCAAACGACAUAAUCCAUUUGAUACGAGUCACAAAAGCCCAAAUUCUUGAAGGCGAGGCCCAAUAAGCAAAUUCCCAGCCCAAUCAAGAAAUCCAUCCAUACUUAGUUGAAAAUCAGGCCAAAUUGUCAAAGUGGCCCAAGUUGUAAAGUUUUAUUUUUAUUUAUUUAUUUAUUUAUUUACUUAGUUUAAAUUUUUAUGUCAAUAUUCAGUCCAAGAGUCCCAGAUAAAAUGACCUUUGACCGAAUUUCCAUAUUAAAAUAAUUAGGAGUUUUUUUUUUAUUUUAGUUUUCUAAUUAGAUUAGGACUAGUUAUAAGGCCUAUUUAAAGGCAUGGCUGUCCACCUUGUUAAACACUUAUCAUUAUUAUUAAAAUUUCAGAUUUGUUGAGAGCAGAAUUUUCUUUGAGUUUUCUCUAAGAUUUUUCUCUUGAGUUUUCUUUAGAAGUUGUUUUAACAAUCUUGUGAUUGUGGGAGCCAUCUUCAACCUUCUUCUUGCCAUUGAUAUUCUUUGGAGGGGAGAUUAGAGCCGUUUGAAGGGAGUUGUGAGAUCUUUCGAGAUUUCAAGGCUUCUUAGGACUUAUCUUUUAAUUUCUUACUGUCAAUUCUUUCUUUAUUUCUACUUGUGCUGAAUCAUUAUCUAAUCUAUUUUCUGUUCUUAUUGUGUUUUUAGCCUUUUUCUAUCUUAAGGAAUCAGCCCAAAAAUCCCCAAUUUCUAGGGUUUUUCCAUACUCUUUUUGAGUGAAAUUAGAUUGUCGAAAUUUGGGGAAAACUAUCUUGGUGUUCAAUUGGGCAGAAUCACAAUCUCCUUGAGGGUUUCAAGAAAACACUUAUUUCUAUUCUUAAUUUGAUUCUUUGCUGAUUUGGGGAUUUUAUUUCAGAUCUGAAAAUUCAAAAAUCUAAUCUUUUAAUUUUCUGUUUCGUUUCAGAUCUAAUUGUUUAGGGUUUUCGUAGGAGUUUCUCGUGACUUGGCAACUCGAUCUUGGUCCGCGCGCAACCCCGUAUCACCAUCAUAGGGUUCAUCUCCCUAGGUAUUUAGAAAAUUAAUUCAUGCUUAAAAAUAGAAACAUCCAAAAUACAGUAUAACCGAAAGAAAUAAAGAAACUCAUGAUUAUUUCCUAAGAAAUCAACUGGGAAUCUUAAAUCUUGACGAAAAUCUGUUUCAAAGUCGGCUUCAAUGGUAUUUUUCGAGGUAUUUUUCGAAUUGUUUUCUUGAGAAUUCUCUGACGGCUCACUCCUAUUUUUUUAUUUUUGUCAUAUAUACGUCUUACAAUGCCCAAAAAAGCUAAAAGAAUGUGAUUUUCCAUAGUUUGGUGUGCAAUUCCGUGAAACCGACAUGACCUUCUAGACACCCGUGUGAGUCACAUGGCAGUAUGGUCUGGCCGUAUGGAAUGGUUCAGCUCGUGUGGCUCCUGCAGCUUGCUCCGACACUCCGAUUUUCACUCAUCUUUCGUUCCUUUUGCUUCUAAGUGCUCUAUUAAGCAUUAAAACAUGAAUUCAAAAGAUUGAGAGCAUAAAAAUUACAAUUAACAUUGAAUAAUCGCCCAAAAAUACAUUAAGAACUAGGUUAAAACAUAUUACUUUUAGCACUUAUCACACUUCUGUAUUUACUAUUAGCCUAAGCUUUCCUGUUUCUUUACUUCAAUUUUACUGUUAUUAACUUAAGUAUUGAAAACAUAAACUCUAAUGCCCAAAACUCAUGUUUAUCAAGGCUCAACUAUCAAGUUCAACACUGUCCUCCAAAUGUUGUCUUCAGACCGAAAUCUACGAACUUGUAAAGAUUUUAAAAUAUAUAUAAUAUAAGUGUAUAACAACUAAAUUCAUUAUUUUCUUUAAGUUCAUGAUUGAGUUGGUGUCUCAAGUCAACCUGAAAUUAAUUUGAUUAGAAAAAUUACAAAUUUUUUUUUUAUAAUUUAAAAAUUUAUAUCAUUUGAAAGUAUUUUAGUUUUUUUAUUAGAAAAAAACCAAUAAAAAAUUUGCAUAUGGUUGGAUUUGAGCUAUUUACAUAAUGCUUUAAUCUAAUACAGUAUUUAUAUUUGAAUAAUAUUAUGCAUACUUUAUUACCUCUAUCAAUUGAAUAUAUUGAUAAUAUUUUUGAUUGAGUCAUUAUCACAAAUCAACUCAACAUUAACACAAGAUAUAUGACAGUACCAUGCUAAACAAUUGUAGUGCAUGAUAUAAUAUAUUUACGUGAUUAAUUUUCAUUUUAAUAUCACACGUAUUUCAUAUGUAAAUAUUAAUUAAUUUCAAAUCCUACAUUUAAUUAUUUAUUGUAUGUUAUGCUAAAUUAAUAUCUGUGAUUUAAGUAUAUAAUUUCUACACUUAUAUGUGUGCGAUAGAAUUUUUAUUUAAACCAUUAAUCUCUCAUUUAUACAUGCAACAUGCAAUCAAUAAUUUCUUUUUCGAGUGUUAUCUAAUAGUUACAUUAAACUUCAAUUAAAUCUAAAAUUGGGUGGAUUCCCUAAACAUUGAAAAAACUCACCGAACAUCAUUUUCACAGUCUAUUACACUUAAAUUUCUUUGUAGGAAUAGCCAAGCUAAACGAAAUUCAAGCUACAAUUUGUGUGAUGCUUACUAAAUACAUGUGAUUCACCUUGCAAGCUUCUGUGGCUUGAAAUAUGACCAAAAAUAGAAAGAAAAACCUGUUAUUAACCAUCAGCAACGACCUCCCUUCGUUCUGUUUGUGGGUAACCGCCUUAAUUGCACAAGCAACCAUUUAUGAAACGCCACGUGUAGAAUUAGGGUAAUUUAGUCAUUUCAGUAAAUAUUUGAUUUCACGUGGGAAACAGACGAUUGGAAGUUCCGGAGGGUGGUUCCUUCCACUGUGUGUCAUUGUAUCUAAUUCGAUUUUGACAUCUUAUAACAGAUUUUCGGGGAAAGAAAAUAAAAAUGGAAAGUUGUUUUUAACUACCAAACAAUGAAACCAAACGUCCAAAACAUAUUUUCUUUCUCAUUUUUAUAUCGAGCACCGAUACGGUAGCCAGAAUUUGUUUUUUGUUUGUUUAAUUCGGUUCUCUCUCACUGAUUUCCAUCAAUGGCUUUGUGAUCAGGUAGUUCUCUAAUUCUCUAUCGAAUUUUUUUUCUAGGUUUUUUUUAUCAUUAUCGAUGAUUUUCCUAAUUCUCUCAUGUUCCAUAUGGCUAAUGAGAAAAAAAUGGACGAAAAUAAUUAUUAAUUAGAGAAAGAAACGGUGAUUCGUGUGGUUUCGGUGUUUCAUCAUAUGAAUUGAUAAAAAGAAAAGAAAAGAAAAAGAUGAACGGAAAAUUGGAAAUGUUACCGAAAUUCAUCUCAUUAGGUUUUAUAUAUUUAAUUACAUUUCUGUUCAGAUUCUUUUUCGUGUUGCUUAAUUAAAUAUUCAAUAGAAAUCUUGUUGUUUUAUGUAACUUUUCUUCUCCAAUCUGAAUAUAGAAGAAUUUUUAGAUGUUAUUUUAUUAGACGUAUGGUUCUUGUGGUCGAGUGCUGCAUUUUGGUUUAAUUUGGUUGAGAGCUUGCUAUUGGCCAGGAACAUUAUCAGUUAUGACAUCAUAUGAAGUGCUCACUCUGUUGGCGGGGUUCUGGAAGUUGAUUAACAUGCAUUCUUACCAUACAAAUUUCUGAGGAUUAAUUGAGGUUAGUUUAAUAUAAUGCAAUUUGAAAUAUUGUAUGCAUUUUUCUCCGUGAAAUAUGUGAAAGAAUCUUAAAACAAAAAUGAUACAAGAAGUUCUUCAUUUUCCGUUUUCUAGCUCAACGUAUGACUGAAAAUUUAUAGUCCUUUAUUCUCUUGCUUAAUUUAACUAGGAUAUGUAAUUCAGUUGGUUAUGAAAUAUUUGCAAGUAUAAUUUUUCUUUUUCCUUUUUUUGCAGGUGAGUGAGGUGAGACUUAAUUCCGGGGCUAAGAUUGUCAUUUGUUAUGACAUUCAACUUCAACAUGCAAGCUGGGAAACGGAGAGCAAAAACUACUACCAUGGGCGAGGGCGAGGGCGAGGAGCUUAUUGAGCUUAGAUUCCGCAUUUAUGAUGGGAUAGAUAUAGCACACGGCACUUACGAGGCGUCUAUGACUGUCUCAACUCUUAAGCAAAGGAUUAUUGCUGAGUGGCCUCAAGGUUAUAUUCUAUUUCUGUUUACUUCUUUCCUCCUCUUAACUUACUCUUAGCUGAAUUCUGUAACUGGAUUAAAGAUCUUAGGUGCUCAGUUUGAUUGUGUUUGUUAAUGUUGUUCCAUCUUUUUUUUUUUUCUAAUGACUUGGGAGCUCAGCAUGACUUGAGCGUCAUGUGUUUGAUUUCGAUCUUUUGCGUUUAGUUGAUUUUCUACAUUUCUUCUUCUUCUUCUUCUUCUUCUUCUUCUUCUUCUUCUGACUCAUUUUCAUUUGAAUGAUAUUGUUCUAGACACAGUGUUUAUAUACGUAAAUGUAGUAGGCAAUUUUUCAUUUUGAUGUUGCCAUUCAGCUCGGGGAAAAGGGCUGGGCUGUUGUUGGCCAUUGUAUAUGAAAUAUAUGUAUGGGGAAAGUUAAUUUAUGAAUGUUCGUAAUGGAAUUUAACUUCAAUCAAUCUUCUUGUAUUUUCAGGCAAAACAGUCACGCCAAAGUCGAUACACGAUUUGAAACUCAUACAUGCUGGUAAAGUUCUGGAAAACAACAAAACCCUGGCUGAUUCCAGAAUAACAGUUGGUGAUCUCCCUUUGGGUGUUAUUACCAUGCACGUGGUAGUGCAGCCUUCUAAAGCAAAACAGAAGACAGGUUCAUCAAGUUCUCUUUCUUGAAAGCACAACAUUUCUUAAUUUUCGUCGCGCACAAGAUUUUAUAUAGAUCCUUGUUGAAUUAAUAUAAAUCUGUCUACAACACCUCCACCCAUUUCCUGCUUAGUUUUUAUCCAGAAAAAGAAAUAAAAAAUGGCAGAAACAAAAAAAUAAUAAUAAACAUGCAAACAAUUCCUAGUUGAGUCUCGAUUUUAUCAAUACUGGAUCAACAAGCAUAUGUUUGGUGCAAUGAUAAGUUAUAUUGUACUUUCAAGAAGAGAAUACGGGAUAUAAUAUAUAUAUAUAUAUAUUAAAGAGAUUUAUCCGCACUGGAAAGAACAUUAUACACUUGUAAAUAUUGGAAUUUCACAUGACAAUCUAGGAGAUUUUAUUCGUUUUAGUUAAUUUCUUCGUGCCUAAAAAUUACUAAGCAACAAAUCUUUCUCACGGUAUAUUUUACUCUUUUUACUUAAUAUUUGACACUGAUCUUGCUUCAUAUAGUUUUCUUUUGAAGAGCAAGUUAUUUGUAGUUGAGUGUUUCUUUUCUUCUCAAUACUAGCAUUAUCAUAAAACCUUUUGGAGAUUUUCCUAUUUUGAUUUAAUCCGGGGUAUAAAAAUUUUAUACCUUUUCAAGAAUUGCCUUUAUACGAUCAAACUGCUAGCUGCCUUAUCAUCCCCCAAAAAGUUUUGGUAUGCAAUCUGUAGAGGACACGCUCAAUGGAGUUUCUUUUAUUAAAUAAAGAUGUGAAUGAGUUUAUAACUUUGUUGCCAUUAAUCUCUCCUUGUAUAAUCUUCCUUCUGUUUUGGUGCACUGCAGAAAAGAGCAAGCAGGAGAUGCAGAAGCUGAAUCCAUGCGGGUGUAUUAUUCUUUAAACCAUAAACAUGCUCCUUAGUUGUCAACUUUUUAGUGGAAAAAAGAUCUAGCUUUUCACAAUUAUACCUCUAGUUGUAUGUCUGAUUUUGCUUUUGAAAAUCAUGUUCAUCCCGCCUUUAACCAUGAUUUCUCAGGUACAUUGUUCCCUCUGUAACCAUCCUCCUAUCAGUAAAAUUAGGCUAUUUGAAAACCACAUUUUGUAUAAACUACGAUUGUACAGUAGAUGAACGAAAUUCAUUUGAGAAAAAGAUGAUGUUAUUUCGUGCAAAUUACCUUUGAAAUUUAAUACAUUUAAAUCUAACUAAUAUAUAUUACACCUUUUGCAUAUGAAUGAUAACUAUGUCUAUAUUGUAUACUUCAUUAUAUGUAGUUCACUGUUAAACAUCUAAACUCUAGUGGGACUAUACAUGUGAAUGAUAGUCUUGAAGACCAGCUACAGCAUGAAAUUGCUCCAGCUGGAACCAUAUCAGCUCGUUCAAAGGUUGCUGCCAUGAGUUAAAUAGUCAGGAGAGAGAGACUCUGCAAUCUCACGCUACGAGGUAUUGCUUCACUCUUUGUUCUGUUUUAUGACAUCUUUAAUCUGUAUUAUUAACUAUUAAUAGGAAAAAAGAAAGAGAUAUUAAACUACUUAUCUAGUGGCUUAUGUAGUCUUAACGUAUCCAAGCGUUAUGAGCUAGCCUUUAGAUCGAGUAGUUUGUUGACACUCUAGACUGGAUAGAUUUUAACGUUAUUUAUUUUGUAAAACUUGAGGGUUUGUAUAUCCUCUGUAAUACCCAAUUUUAACCCGGGCUCACAAAAAAAAAAACUCAAAGUAAUAUCAUUUGGCCCGAUCGGAAGGUCCAUCUACAAGCUUAUGGAAACAUAAUCUUCAGGGAUAUACAAUCUUAGAUAUGAUAUAUAAUCUUAGAUAUGAUAUGCAAUUUUAGAAGAUAUGAUUUUGUAAUCUUAGAGAUUUAAUUUGUAGAUACCCUUUAAUCUCAAUCGUUGAUGUAAUUGAUCUGUACCGUUGGAUUUGGGGAGGCUCAACUAUAAAUAGAUGUCUCUCCCUUCAUUAUAAAAAAAAAGAUGGAGGAAUAAAAAAAGAGAACCAUUGAUAGUUUUUUAAAGGUGGCUUACUAUUUUUUUUUCUUUCGAUUAUUUUUUAUUUAUUUACGAUUUUAAAAAAGGGAGAAGGUGAUACCACUGCGAAUUAUUUUAUUUAGCCCCUCCUCCUUUUAAUGUUUUUGUAAUUAAGUUUUUUUUAUUUUUAAAUUUACCCUUUUAUUUAUUUUCGAUUUCAAUUCGAUCCUGAUUGGACGACGCCGUUUAGGGAAAUAGGGAAAAUUUCCCUUCUGGUCCCUCCAUGUAAUAUGCGCGUUCAAUUUGGUCCUUCAGUUUCCAUGUAUGUAUAGAUUUGCCUCAGAGUUUUUAUUUACAGUUCAAAUUAGUCUUUUUUCAUUUUCUUUAUUUUUUAUUAAUUAGUUUUUUUAUUCUUUUUUUAUAUUUAGUUAUUUUUAAAAAAAAUAUAUGUAUAUAUAUUUUUCAUAUACGCAUAUUUAUUUUUUGUAGUAUAAUAUAAUUAUUAUUUUUAUUUAUUUAUAUGUAAUUAUUUUUUUAUCUAUAUGUAUAUAUUUAUUUUAGUAUACAUAUGUAUGUACACAUUAAUAUUUUUAACUAAUUUUUAUAUAUAUGAACAUAUUUAUUUUUUAAAAAUGCAAAUAUAUUUUUUUAUAUACUUUAUAAAUUUUUUUUCCUUUAUUUUCAUAAAUGCAUCAUGUAUGUAUAAGUUUCAUAGCCCAAGAUUUCAUAUGUAAAUUAUGUGUAUGACUUUUAAUAUCAAUGCAUAUAUACUAUGUGCCUUUUAUUCUUUAUAUUUUGUUUAUUAUCUUCAUUCGAUUAUUAAUUCAUGUUUUCGUUUAUAUGUUAAAAUUCAUUUUUUUAUUUUGAUCAUUCAUUUGAUAUUUUGUAUGUGAUUAUUUUUUAUUAUGUAUAUUGAUUCUAUUUAUUCAUUUAUUUAUAUUAUUUCUACGACACUGUAAUAUUUAUUAUUGCAUGGUAUAUUUAAUGUAGCAUCACAUCAUUUUUUACUCGAUUUCAAACUUUUAAAAAUUGAGAUAAUGCUCGUAUUUAGGAUUUUUAAGGAAAUUGAGCCCUAACGUAUUGGGUUCCGAUUUUCUUCGUUAAAUCUAACAAUCGAGCAUUUCUCUUUAAUAAAAAAUUAAAGAACUCAUUAUUGGGAAUUCAACACGUUGUGCCCUAACGUAUUGGAUGUGACGCAUUGAUUUCUCAAAAUGAAUAUUUUUAAAAAAUAAUAAAGGAAAUAUUCUGAGUUUGGGAUUCUAAAGGAAUUGUGCCCUAACGUAUUGGGCCGCGAUUUCUUAAAUCUUGAAUAAAUGGAUAUUCUUUUAAAUUUUUAUUGCACUAGUAUUUUGGCCUAAUUCAUUUUUGGAGAAAAUUAGAAUGUCGUGUGUCGUGCCCUAACGUAUUGGGUGUGGCAUUUUCUUUCUCUGAAAUGAUAAAGGUUUUAAUACGUAACGUUUUUAAGUUUUUUCUAAGGAUUAUAUUUCUUCAAAUUUUCGACAUUAAGACAUUAAUUAAUUAACUAGGUACCAAUUUUGGGCGUACGAGGGUGCUAAUCUUUCCUCGUACGUAACUGACUCCCGGAUUCGUUUUUCUAAAACUCGUAGACCAAAGCCGUUUUUUAGGUGGUCCAAUCACACCUCAAUAAAAGAUUGGUGGCGACUUCCAAUUUUCAUUUUUUGAAGUCGACAACCUAAAAUUUUUGUUUUUCAAAAAAAUGGUUUCGACAUCCUCCAAUAUAUUUUCUUUAAUAUGAUUUGCUAAAUCAUCCGUAGUUUGUAUUGCAUAAAAUUACAGUCACUCGUAGUAUUAGAUUGUCAAUAUAAGGACAUUUCUUCACCUCUCCAAUUUUUAGUCUUUCGAAACAAGACAAAUUAAUAUGCUAAGCACAUCAUAUAUGAAUCAAUAUACGUUCGAGCUCAAAACAAGAAAAGAACAUACGUUUUGGGUGGAUGUUUGAUGAAAAAUGAAUUGAGACAGAAAGCAAAAAUAGAUAAAAAAAAUAAAGCAAUCAAGUUAUGAUCUUCUGUUUGAUUACUUAACUUAUAGUUUACAUGUACAACAAUGCUUAAAUAAGCUAAAAAUAAUAUUAAAUAAUUACAACUUGUCAAGUUUUGAAACUUGUAUAGUAUAACUUGCCCUUUAUUGGCUAAUUUUAGUUUAAUCAGUAACCAAAUCGUCUUGUCAAAAAGUUUUAUCGUUUCAGAGCAAAUUGGCAAGUUGACAACUUGCAGAGAAAGGGCUCACACGUAUAAGCUCUCCUAACAGAGCUCCCAUCUUUGGUGAGCUCGGACAUUUGAUGAGCUCGCAUCUUUGCAAUUUGUGUUCACCAUUGCAUGGAUGGCCACUUCGCAACACUCCUCUCGGUCUCCAUACUGCGAACCCCAAUAUCAUAAUGCAACUUCUCGAACUUCAUCUUUCCAAGAGGUUUUGCUAGAAUGUCUGCUAAUUGAUCUUGCGAACUGCAGUGAACCAGAGUUACUUCCUUAGCUUGUUCCAUUUCUCUCGCAAAAUGAUACUUGAUUUUGAAGUGUUUUGUUCUUCCAUAGAACACUAGGUUUUUUUGCAAUUGCAACAACAGAUUGAUUAUUGCACUUUAUUUUUGUUGCUUCCUCUUGAUUUAGAUUCAAAUCAUUCAACAGCUUUCUUAACCAAAUGGCUUGGUUUACAGCGGCUGCGGUUGCAACAUACUUUGCUUCAACGAUUGAUUGUGCUCAUGUUUUCUGCUUCUUUGAGCUCCAACAAAAAACACUUGAUCUUAGAGUGAAAAAAUAGCUUUUCAGUCUUCAUAAACUUCACUCAAUGGCUUAGAGUUCUUUUUAUAUAUCGCAGAACCCUUUUGGUUGCUCUAUAGUGGUUUGCGUUGGAACAAUGCAUGUACCUUGACAAGAUACUUACAACGAACAUUAUGUCAGGUCUGGAUGUAGUCAAAUAAAGCAAACAUCCAACCAAACUUCUAUAGCUUGUUUCAUCAACUCUAUCAACAUUUUCAUUACUUGUGAACUUCUCUCAUUGAAUGAUAGGGGUGUUCGUCGGCUUGCAGUUUUCCAUACAGUAUCUUCGCAGAAUCUUCAUCUUGAACCCCAUUUGGUUUAUAAAAAAAUUGAUGGUUACUAAACUAACUAUAAAUAUGAAAAAGGCAAACACACCUAUCGAACAAUAGUAUAGCUAUGGUGGGUAGGGAAUAUUGUAUCUACGAGGACAAAAAGUACUAGUAAUUACUGUCUUCUUAUUAACUAGCUGAUAAAUUGGGGUAUAUGUUUUAAUCUAAAAUUACUAAACUAAUUUAUCUAAGAACUCAACAUAGAAUAAAUCAAGGAAAUAAUCGAAUAAUAACCGAUGAGAUAGACAAUACCAGGAAAGAAUCCACCUAGACUUCCCCUUUUAUUAUGAAUCUGAAUUAAACGAUUUAUUCACUUGUGUCUCGAUCCGUAGAAAUCCCUAAAUCAUGUUAAUAUCUCUUUUGAGAGUAAGAACAACUGACUUUAGGUUGAUUAAUUGAAAUCUCUUUCUAAUUAAAACUCCUAUCAUCGCAUUAACUCGAUCUAUGUAUUCCCCUAUUAAAUUUGACUCUAAUCCGGUAGAUUUAUGUCGUCCUAUUUCUAUGAUUGCAUGUAAUUCCACUCAAUUAUGCUAGAUUUUCUCUUAAACAGGGCUUUUUGCUCCACUGAAUUAAUCACAUUAAACAUGAAUUAAUAUCUCGGAAAUAUUAAAACAAGAAAUAAACAUACAUAAUUGAGAAUAAGAAUCAAGUAUUUAUCGUGUAAAAAUAGAAAUUAAAUAAAAUGAGUCAACAUAGAUUUCAUCCUCCCUAAGUAUCUAGGGAAUUUAGUUCAUAAUCCUGAAUAGAAACAUUUCAAAGUCAGAAUAACCACAAGACAUAAAGAAACUCAAUAAAACUUCGAAAAAAAUUAAAAGGAGAUCUUCGAUCUUGAUGGAGAUCCGCUUCUGAGUUGAUUCCGAUGGUGUUCUUCGAGUGUUUUCUUCGAUCUUCUCUAAUUGCCCCCUUCUCUAUUCUUCUAAUUGGUAUUUAUAGUCUUUAGAAUGCUUAGAAAGCCUAAAAAUUGGGUUUUUUGCGUAUCUAGGAAGCAGGGUGCGAAAUUGACACAGGCUGGCACAAAGGCGUGUGGCCAGCCCGUGUGGAAAUGCCCUGUCCAUGUGGCUUCUGAAAACAGUUUUAUUUGUCCGAUUUUGGCUCGUUUUUCACUCCUUUCACUCCCAAAUGGUCUCCUAAGUAUAGAAAUAUGAAUUUAAAGGAUUAUGAGCAUCAAAUUCACUAAUUUUCACAAUUAAUCAUCUAAAAAUGCAUUAAGAAUGGGAUUAAAAUAUGUUACUUUUAUAGCUUAUAAAAAAUGUAUCACAACUUGAAUUACUUCUAGAUCGAGGAAGUAUGUCAUUUCUCCCAAGUCUGACAUUUCAAACUUCACUUGCAUUCUCUUUUUGAAGUCAACCACCAGUUCGUUGUUGCUGUCAAUCUCAAGUAAAUCAUCAACAUAUAAUAAUAUAAUAGGAAGUGUUUCAUUACCAGCCUUCUUCACAUAUAGUGUGGGUUUGUUUACAAUUCUUUCAAAUCCCAACUCUGUUAGAUGAUUGUUGAUUCUUUCAUACCUUGCCCUUGGGGCUUGUUUUAGACCAUAAAAAGCUUUGUUUAGUUUAUAUACAUUCGCUUCCCAAAUAGGUACUAUGAAUCCUUGAGGCUGUCGACAUAGAUUUCUUCCUUUAGGAAGUUAUUUAGAAAAGUUGACUUCACAUCCAUUUGAUGUAUUCUCCAACCCUUCUAAGUUGUAAGAGUUAGUAGUAGCCUCAUGGUAUCUAACCUCGCUACAGGUGCGAAGGUUUCAGUGAAAUUCACUCUGUAUUGCUGGUUAAAUCCCUUCGCAACCAAUCUGUCUUUAUAUUUGUUGAUUGAACCAUCAAGAUUCAUCUUAGUCCUAAACAUCCAUUUAACUCCAAUUAAUUUUUACGAACUAGUCUGUCUGCCAGCUCCCAUAUUUCAUUUUUGUUGAUCAUGUUGAUUUCAUGUAACACCCCUUACCCGAGACCAUCGUCGGAAUCAAGUACGAGAUGUCAUCCAACUUAACUUACCAAUUCGGAGCAUAAAAAUUUGCUUUUAAAAUUAAAGUCACUGUUCACAACAAAACUGUUCACCUGCGCGACUGUCACUAAUUUAAUUAUAUCUUAAGUUAAAAAAAUCAAAAUUUAAAUUCGUAAAUUUUCCUUGAAACUAGACUCAUAUACCUUAUUACCAUAAAAUUUUUAGAAUUUUUUGUUUAGCCAAUUAGUACAGUUUAUUCAUUAAAGUCUCCCCUAUUUCACUACUUGACAGUUUUGACCUCUUGGCACUAAAAAUCAAUUAUCUCAUUGUACAGAAUUCAUAUAAUGUUAUCGUUUGUUUAUUUUGAAAAUAUAUUCACUAAGGAAUCUAAACAUAUAAAUUAUGAUCCAUAAUUAUUUCUGUACAAUUUAUAAUGAUUUUGUAAAGUCAGAACAGGGGACUUCAAAAACCAUUUUGACCCUGUCUCACUAUAAUUCAAAUAUCUCAAAAUAUAAAAUUUAUUUUCCUACACCGUUUCUUUCAUGUAAAAAUAGACUUGAUAAGAUUUAAUUCUAUAUAUAAUUCACUCUCUAAUUCCAUUUCUACUAUUUAUGGUGAUUUUUCACAUUCACGUCACUACUGCUGUCAAAGAAACUGCUUCUUUGUAUUAGCUACCAUUUAAACAUACAUAACACCAAAACAUAAUCUUUACCAACCAUUUCAAUAGCUAAUCUUAGCCAUAUCAUAUGAACAUACUCAAAAUGAUUAAGACUCUAUACAUGUCAUACUCAAAAUUUUGAAAACACAUAAUACCGAGAUGGUUAUGAUAGUGUGAUACGAGCUCCGACGAUCCCCAAUUCGAACAAGCUCAAAUCACUAUAAAACAAAGGAAAGGAGAAAAUGUGUAAGCUACAAAUAGCUUAGUAAGUUACAUGUAAACAAUAAGUACUCAUUUAAUAAUUGACAUUUCUCUCAUAUAACUAAUCAAACAUUUCUUAGCAAUUUCAAUCACUUACACAUGCAUAAUCUUACCCAUUUCACUUGCACAUGCACUUAUACACUUAACAUUUAUCACAUAUGCUCAUUCUUUUAAACGUACCUGCAUACACACUUCAUUUCAUAUUCACUUUAACUCAUUAUUAAUCUCAUUGAACACUCGGAAUAUACAUAGAUACGUAGAGAUUUAGCACAUAAGUGCCACACUGAUAUGUAGCCGAAGCUAUCACUGAUAUGUAGCCGAAGCUACCACUAAAAUGUAGUCAUAGCUACCACUGAAUUGUAGUCGAAGCUACCACUGAUCAAUAACAUUGGAAAUGUCCACGGGCCUGCUCAUACAAGCUGUCAGGUGUCUGCAACACAUGCUAGAUCACCCAGCACACGGGACUCACUGUAACACUGAUAUCUAGUGACAUGUCACUUGUAUCCACUUCUAUUCCUAAGUUCAACUGGGAAUUUACACUUAAUACUUUAUUUUCAACACUUUAUCACUUGAAUAAUUCAUGAACAAUUUUCCUUCCACAUUCAAUAUUGAUUCACAUAUCAAACAAAAUUCACAAUUUAUAAAAAUAUAUUGCUAUUAUUUACACAUAACUUACCUCAGAUGCAAAACGACUAUUUUUGUAAUUUAGUCGAUAACCUUCUCUUUUCCCCGAUCACUUCCACUAUUUCUUCUUUCUUGAUCUAUAUUAACACAAUUUAAUGCUUUUUAUCAAUGUUCCAUUCAAAUACAAUUCAUACACAAUAUUUGGCAAACUUACAUUUUUUCCUAUAACUUUUCAAAAAUUUCACUUUUGUCCCAAAGCUCGUAAAAAUAAAAUUCACUAAAUUCUUAAAUUUCAAACUUCACUAAAUCAUAUUUCAUACUCAUAACAGCCCUCAAUUUCACAAAAUCACAACUUUAUGCACACUUUACCAUCUUUCACAAUUUAGUCCUUUUUCAACAUUUUCAUCGAAAUUCAUCUAGUAAAACUUGUAAUUAACACUUCAAACAUUCAUUAUCUAACAUCACUAAUCAAUUUACAAUAUGAAUGGGUCAAUUUUUAAAAUUCAAUUUCAUUUAAAUUAAAUGGUAGAAACAUGAAAUUCAAGCUUCAAUAAGCAUAAAAAUACGAAAAUAAUUAAAAACGGGGCAAGAAAUCACUUACAAUUGAGCUUAGAAAAAUCAAGAACCCUAGCCUAUAGAACAUGAAAGUUUUGGCAGCAACUCUUCAAUUUUGAAGAAGAUAGACACUUAUGUUCUCUUUAUUUUGUCUUUUAUUCAAUUUGGACAAACAUGCCCUUGACCCAUUACUUAGAUAUUUUUCUAGAAUUACUCUUUUGUGUCCAUAACACUAAUUUAUGGUCUAAUUGCCACAUAAACACUUCCAAUUUGAUGCAAUAAUUCAAUUAAGUCAUUUAAUCACUAAUUAGACACACUUUGCAUUUUCUCAAUUUAGUCCUAAAAAUUCAAUUAGGCACUAAAUCAUUAAAAUUUCCUAUCCAUAUUUUCACACAAUAUUUCAUUCAAUCAGUAAUUAAUAAAAGUUUUUAAAAUUAAACUAUUUCACUUCGAAUUUGUGGUUACGAAACCACUAUUCCGAUUAGGCCCUAUUUCGGGAUAUCACAUUUCAUUCUCCAUGGCAUCUCUCCAUUCAACUUCUUGAGAUGCUUAUUCGAAGGAGAUUGGUUCCAAAUUUUCUAGAUUACACCUUUGAUAGAAUUUAAUGAUCGACCUGGUCCCUCGCACUAGAUAGCCAUCAACUGCAUCAUUUUCAGUUUGAUCUCCAGUGGGUUGUAAAUCUAAUUUAUGUUCUCCUUGUUCGAGCAUCUCUUCCUUUGUUGCAUCCUAUUUCCAGAUUCACCCUUCAUCAAAAUUCACAUCUCUGCUUAUAAUCAGCUUCUUGGAGAAAGUGUCAUAAAUUCUAUAACCUUUUUUGACACUGCAAUAUCUCACAAAAAUCUUUGGCUGCGAUCUUUUUUCGAGCUUGCUUAUUUUCUCUAUUGGAACAUGAACAAAGCAGGUGCAACCAAACACUCUUAGGCGAGAAACAGAGGGUUUAAAUCCAAAUCAGACCUCGAAUGAUGUCUUCCCUUCAACAGCUUUAGUUGACAGUCUAUUUAGCAUGUAAACAACAGUGUUUACUGCUUCUGCCCAAAAAAAAUUUGGCAGUUUGCUUUCAAACAACAAGCAGUAAGUCAUGUUCAAUAUUGUUUUCUUUUUUUCUUUCACUUACUUCAUUUUUUUGUGGAGUAUACACAUUGCUCAACUAAUGAUGGCUUCUAGCCUUUUCACUAAAUUUUUGAAAUUUCUCUAAAGUGUACUCUACCCCAUUAUCUAAUCUUAUCAUCUUAAGCUUGCAACCAAUUUGAUUCUCAGCCAUAGCUUUAAACUUGAAGAAGAUUCCAACCACUUUGGACUUGUUCUUCAUAAAGUACACCCAACAGAACCUUGUACAGUCAUAAAUAAACAACACAAAGUACUUACUUCCAUUUAGCGAAUUUGUUUUCAUAGGUUCAUAAAUGUCAGUAUGUACUAAGCAUAUCUUUUCACUAGCUCACCAUGCUUUGUUCGCAAGAAAUGGAAGCCUCGCCUACUUCCCAAGUUGGCACACUUCGCAUACAUCUUCAUGAUCAACCACACUUGAUAAUUUUUCAAACAAAUUAUUAAUGGACAUUUGACUUAAGGAUCUAUAGUCCACAUGUCUCAUUCUCCUGUGCCAUAAUUUGGUUUCAUCUAGUGAACUGGUAUAAGUUACAAAAGUUGCCAAGUUCCAAUUAACAACAAAAUUUCUAUUAGUCAUCAUUGUUGAUAUGAGCUCUCAUCCACUAGGAUCAAGAAUUAAACAUUUAUUGUCAUUAAAUACCAUAGACUAUUUCUUCUCAAGUAGCUAACCUACACUUAGCAAAUUUUGAUCUAUGUUAGGAACUAACAGAACAUCUGUAACAAGUUUAGUACUUGAUGGAGUUUAAUCAAAACAUCUCCCUCUCCUACUGCUUUGAUGUACUAGCCAUUUCCAACUUUCACCUUGAAGUUGAAACUCUUGUCAAUACUCUUGAAUAUGUUUCCAUCUGCAGUCAUGUGACUUGUAUAACCAUUGUCAACAAGUCAGUUCUUUCUAUCUUUGCUGGAGGGUUCGCAUGAGGUAGCGAGCUUGAAUUUAUAAGAGGCAGUGAACAUAAGUUCUUGAUUUGUUUCUGCUGUCUGUGCCUGAGCAUCUUGUUGAUGUGCUUACCCCUUAUUCUUGUACACUCUUUCUUCAUGGCCAAACUGCUUGCAAUUUUGCUUUAAGCAUUAUGCUUGAACCAACAAACUCUUUCACAUCUCGAGUUUGGCAAUUUUUAGUUAAGGCAUGGAGUCGUGAAGUUACCUAUUUGGCGUAAUGGAAUUUGCUAUGUUAUAGUCUUCUGGCGAAUUAGAUUGUGGCGUAUUAUAAACACUGUAGAGGUGAAUAAAGGCUUUAAGUUAUUCUUAUUCUGUUAUCUAAGAGAAUGGUAUAUCUAGUGACAUAUAAGUCAGGUGAGUUACCUUCGUAUGCAUAGUACGCCUAGUUUGUUUAAGCAUUGUGUUGGUUUGGUUCGUAAUGUGAACUGGUUAAGAGCCAAUUAGACUCUCUAGUUAAAUAUCAAUUAUAUAGUAUGCUCAUUUAUGUUUCUCUCAAAAUCUGUAGAUCAUUAAGAAGGAAAAAUUCUAGAUAUAGUUGACACUUGUUAAGUUCCAAUAAGAGAAGUUCGUUAUAUAUAUAGGUGAGAAGUGUUUGUAAGGGAGUUUCUUCUUCCUUCAAUAUUACUAUCUAUUUUUGUAACACCCCUUACCCAGUCUGGUCAUCAAACCCGAGUAAUAGGAUGCUACGGACAAAAAUAAAAAAAAUCAUGCAAUUUUUGAUUCAGAAACUCAAUUAAAUAUCAUCGAUUCACAUCUGAUUAAAAUAAUGAUAAUUUGCAAUCUAUAUGAACCUAACUGUGAAAUCCAGGCAUGAAAUAGGGUUGAAUUGUAAAUUUUCAAAUUUUCAAAGUUGGUAUCGAUAUUUAAUUGGUUGGUAUCGAUACCAUAUUGGUACUUUAUUUGGUAUUGAUACCAAAUAAUGAUUUUAUUUGUUCUAAAAUUGUUCAUAUGGUCAAGUAUCCAUAUCAAUUGCCAAAAUAUCAAUACCUAAGCCUAAAAUCACCUAAGCUCAAAUGGUAUCUCAUAACCACAAUUAUAAACAUAAAAACCAUAAACUUAAGACUUACCUAUUCAAUUCCAACAUGCCAAAAAAUCAUUUUAACAAUGAACCUAAUACCUAACCAAUAUGCAUUCAAGGCACCUCAACAAGUUCAACUAAACAUAUGCUUUUAUACCCUUUUUAAUACCUAAUGAACCACUCAACUUCAAUCACAAAUCAUAGACCAAACUUACCAUUCGAUACAAGAUCAAAAAUAACAUAUCAUUCAUCACUUUCAACUAAAUACCAAUUAACCACAUCACCUAACAUAAUAUCAUAUCAAAAUUUAUCCUAUGAAUCUCAUAAACCUUAUUACUUUAGCAAGACAUUAACAACAUAACCUUUCUCAUCACAUACUUAAACAUUAUAUAAAUAAUCUCCAAUUACCACAAUACAAAAUGAUCAUUAUAGCCAUAAUACACCUUAGGUACAUGCCCAGACCAAAAUGAACACGUCCCCAAUGCUUGAGUUCGAGAUUACCACUAGAUGUUGAUUCGAUGAUCGAAACGUAAAGUACAUAACCUAUGCACGGAAAACAAAACCACAUGCGGAGUAAACUCAAUGGUAGUUUUUAUAAUCUGAACAUUAAAUCAUAAGGUAGUAUAUUCAAAUGCAUAAGUUAGAAGUAAUGGAUGAUAUCCAAAUUAACAUAUAAAUUCCCACUUCUUCAUAGCUUUUAUUAACCAAAAAAACAAAAGUACUAAUAUGUAGCAUUUCACUACUAUUUCACAUUCAUUGAAUCAUCAAACUUUUAUAUCCUUUUUCAUCUCAAUUUAUAAUAAUCUAUUUCUCAAAUCCACAACAUAAAUUCAUCAACCAAUCAUCAAUUCACAUAUGUAAUAGUAUAACUCAUCACAGUUGAAUUCAAUUGCAUAAUUGUAACAUUAUAUCAUAUUUUCAAAACUACUCAAUUUAAUCCUUAUCACAAACUACUAAUUCAAAUUGAUUCAAUUCAGCUCGUUCUAUUAUUUCCAACUUACCUUUUGUUAUUACCAUAUAGCGUAGUUCGUAAAUGCAUCAAUUGAAAAAAAAUUCAGGUUAUAAAAAUACAAACCAAAUGGGUUAUAGAAUCUACCAUUAAAAGAAGUGAAAUUUUAGGUUUGCCGCAACAUGCAAGCCGUGGCUCUCAUUUCCUUCUCAUAAGACUAAGAGAAAAUGAAGAAACUAUCUGUUGAAAACUAAUGUUGUCUCCCUUCGGUUGAUGAAGAUGAAAAGGGAAUAUCAUUUUUUUUCUCUCCCAUUCCAUUACCAUCUUUUUCUUUUAAUUACUAAAAUUAAUUUUAUAAUCAAAUUUUAACUAAUGUUUUAAUAAAAAUAUGUAAUUUCAAUUCCUUAAUCAGCCAUCUUAAAAACUAAGAGUAUAUUUACUAUAUAAGUCCAUUUCAUGAGUCCUAAUUAAAAACUGAGUCGUUAUAGUUUUUUUUCUAAAAUCUAAAUAUUAUCUUUUCCUCACUAAGCUGGAAGCUAAAGUUCUUGAUUUAAUCAGUGGUUGUUCUACCUCCUGAUAAGUAUUAUAGCUCUAUGAUUGGGAAGUAAAUAUGUUAAGAGUUGUAGGAACAAUAAGUAUGAAUGCAAUAUCUUUCAUGGAGGUUAUCUAUGAUUGAGAUUUUAGCAAAUUGUAUGAAAAUAGGUUUUAAAUGGUAAAUUUGUGUUCUUUAAGUAGUGGUUGUUGCUGGGUCGAGAUGGAUGUUCAAGUCUGGAGCUUCAAGUUACAGUUUAAGUGAGUAUCAGGGUAGUCUCUGUUUUGUUUCCUGCAUGUUAAUUGUUCAAGUAAAUGCACAUAUUUAAUGAUAAGACCUCAAGUAAUAAGUAAGUUUGUAAAGUAUAGUAAAUAUGUUAUAUGUGUACAAUGAAGUUAUGUAUGAAGUACUAUAUAAAUAAAAAGUGAUUGGUAAGUAUGCAGGUAAAAUUUCAUAUAAGGAAUGUACGAAUCGAUCAGCUAUGUGUGAACAAAUCUAAGUAAGUUCUGGAUAUAGUGAGUCUUUUGAUGCCUCUGGUAGGAUAGGUAUAUUGCUAACCAGCCUGGUAGAUCACGAUAUGAAAAUAAGUGUAAGACCAUGUGGUUAAGACCCAUGGCAAUGAAUGUUAUGAAAACACUCAUGGUGUAACCUCUAGUAAGACGAAGACUGGACUGGCAGAUCACAACAUGAAAGUGUAGAAGCCCAUGUAGUUGAGACCCAUGGCAUAAUAUGAUAUGAUGAUAUGAAUGUUCAUGGUGAAGCCUUCAAUAAUAUGUAAUCAAAUUGGCAGAUCAUAGCAUGAAUUUAAGUAUAAAUCCAUAAGGGAGAAACUCAUGGUACUUUCUGCAAAAGUCCGUUGGGACUGUAAACACGUGAUUCUAUAUUUUACCUUAGUGGCGUAUUGUGUUUGGCCCUUAUGGUGUACUUUGUUUGGCCCUUGUGGUGAAUUAUGUACGGUCUUUAUAGCAGGUUCUAGGUAUGUUCUGAGUAUCCUAUGUUAAGUAGCUUUAUGAUAAUGAUAUCAUUAGUCUAAAGUACUUUGGUUUGAUUAGUUUUAUGAUAUAAUGGAAUGAGUUUUAAUGGAAGUAUACAUUUGUAUGUUCUAAGAGGGUGUCCGCUAUAGUAAUCCACUAGUAUGGAAAUGGGAUAAUUCGUAACUAUGAAAGAUAUCAGUAUACGAUGAUAUGAUAAUGUUUGCAUUAAUGUAAGAGUUGGAUUCUGAGUUAUCUAGUAUCCGCCACAUCUGAAUAGCAUCAGGUCUCAAUUCCAGAAUUAUAUGAUAUUUGCGCUAUUUGUUAAUUUGGGUAUUAUCAUGCUUUGUAGCAAGAGUUAUGAAGAACUAUUUUGAUUGAUGUAAUUAGUUCAUUUUCGGUAUGAGCUUGUGUUGGGUAUUGAAUUGAAACAUGAAUUGAUUGGUAAACUAAUGGUAUUCAACUCAGUGUGGAAAUCCACCAAAUGUGUAAGUAUCCGCCCUUGAAUAGUACUUAUGAUUAAUUAUUCUGGAAUAACCAAAGAAAGUUAAGAAUGAUACAUUAAGUAUGGUAAGUGGCACAUAGAUAUAUAUAUGUAUGUGUGCACGACGAUUCAAAGGUAUCAACCAAUGACAGAUUUGUUAAUCUAAAUGUUCAAGAUGAAUAAUUCAGCAUGAAAGGUUUAAAGGUGAAUUGUAUUUCAAACUCAAUAAAUUCGUGUAACUUACAAAUAUUAUGUUUAUGUUUCAGGUAUUAUUGAAAAAAUGAGUUCGCCAAGAGAGACUAUGCAAAGGAAGCGACAAUCCGUGUUAUUAUGUAUAUAGUAGACGUUUUCGGAUAGUGGCAUAUAAUAGGACUACGCCUUGUGAGUCUGUCCUUAGCAAAAUUUUGAUGUUGUAAGAAGAUGUAACUAAUCUAAUAUAUUGUGUUAUUUUAUUUUUAAAUACUUUUAUUUGUUUCUUUAAUGAUAAAACAUUGAAUAAAAUAAUAAGAGAUAAGUUUUAAGUCAAAAGUACAAGUCGUUUAUUUUGAAAAUUUGAUAAGUAUUUUUGUAGUAAUACCGAGAUCCAGACAUAGUAAAUUGAGUCGGGUUAAGGGUGUUACAGACUCUCUUAGGGUGACCCAACUUCUUGCAAUGCGAGCACGGUGGAUAUUUUUUCUUUCCACUGUCUCUUUUUGACUUUUCUUUAUUAUCUAACCUACUCUUUUUUCCUAUCUGAUUUGAGAAGCUUGAGCUUUCUUUGCCUUUUGCAAGAAAAGCUCCUUCAACGUGACCCUCUUCUCUACUUGCCUUUUUUUUGUUCUUAAGCAUAUAGAGCAUUGAUCAAUUUUGAAAGUGUAAUAGCCCGUAGUGAAAUCAGAACAGUGGUCUUGGGACCACAAAUCUGAGGUCAAAAAAUUUAUUUUAAUAUUAUUUAAUAUCUACAGCAUAAUAGUAUUAUAGUAUAAAAAAUUCGUUAACAAAUUUUACUAUUUGUAUGCUCAAUUUGUGAAAAAAGACUAAAUCGCGUAAAGAGCAAAAGUUGUGUUCUAUUCGCUAAAGGUGUUAAAUAGAAAUAGAACAUUAAAAUGGAGGUCCUUAUAUAGUAAUUACACCAUUAAUUGAGUUAGUGGAUGUGCAUGGCUUGGCAAUUAUGAAAAUUUUAAAGUUAGGUAAAGGUAAUUUGGUAAUUAGCCUAUUAAAGAUAAAAAUAAACAAAAUUUCAGCUAUCAUCUUGUUGGCUUCUUCUUCAACUGAAAAUUACAGCAUAAGGGAGAAUUUUUGGAGCUUCAAACAUUCGGCCACUUCUUCCUUUCCAUGUAGGUGUGUUUUUGUCCCGUUUUUAGUGAUUUUUAUGUUUUUGGGAUCGUUGUAGCUUAACCUAGCUAACUAGGGGACUUAUUUGCAAAAAUAUUGAAUAUUUUGAGAUUUUCUAUUGAUGAAUAUGUUAGGGUUUUUAAGUUUAAUGAAAGAAAAUGAAUCAUUAUUGUUAAUUAAACAACUUUUGUUAAGUAAUUUUUAAUGAAAUUGUCAAAUAGGGAUUAAAAUUGAGAAAUAUGAAAAUUAUGUGUCAAAUAUGUGAAAUUAUGAAAUCUAUGGGCUGCUAUAAGAAUAUUUAGAAUUUGACUAGGCUUAUAUAGGGAUGAAAUUGCAUGAAUUUCAUUUUACAAGCCUAAGGACUAAAUUGUAAAGAAGUUAAAAGUAUAGGGAAAAUUGUAAUUUUUCCAUAACAUGAAUUUUGGAUUGAAUUGAUUAGAGUGAGGUUUAAAGGUUAAAUUUGAUUAUAUAGAUCAAGAAAAGCAACGUACGGAAUUAGAUCGGGGGAAAUACAAAGUUAUCGAUUAAACGAUCGUUUUUCUCGGUACGAGUUUAAGGUAAGUUUGUGUAAUUAAAUUGUGUAUUUAUUUGAUUUAAUUGAAAUGUAUGUAUGUAGAUUUUAUAAUUAUUAUGUAUAAUUAUUGAGUGCAUAACCGGCGACAUACGAAGAAUACCAAGCCUUGUUUGAACCUUAGGAAGUCGUAAGAUACAAAUGACAUGUCAUUAGGGUUACAGAUUCCAGCUCUUAUAAGCUUAUUGAUACUCAGCGCAUAUAAGCUUACCGUUAUUCAACUCGGAGGAGCUUACCAUUUAUCUCUUGUAUGAGCAUACAAGUACAAGAAUUGACGGAUUACAGUUCAGUACAUCUUGUGUGUACCACCCGCGUAUCUAACAAUACACUAAGUGGUUCAAUGGGCAUAGUGUUAUUACGAGAUUAUACAAGUUCAUUACGAACUAGUACAGGUAUUUACAUGGAAAUGGUUAUAUAUAUAAUAUACGGAUACACGGUAUAGAUGCUACAUGUACAUAGAAUUUAUUAAUUGUUGAAUUCAUACAUGAUUCUCGAUUUUAUAUGAAUACAUGGCUAACUUGGUUAUUGAUUACGUGAUAGGCUUUAGCCAUACUGAAUUGUGUUAUGCUUUGAAUUACUUACCAAACUUGUGGUUAAAUGGUAAGCUUAAUUCUGUGAUAUACGAACUUACUAAGCUUAAUUGCUUACUCUGUUUAUUUUUCCAUGUUUUAUAAUGAUUCGGAAGCUCGCUCAGAUUGGAAGUCGUCAAGGAUCUCAUCACACUAUCAAACGUUAUUUUGGUAAUUUGGACUUUAUAUUUUGGGUUAAAUGGCAUGUAUAGGUCAUUUUGGCUAAUACUAGUCUAUAUGUUUUGUGGUGUUUUAACCAUUUGUGUUGGCUUGUUUUGUGAACAUAUUUUUGUUAUGUAAAUAUGUAAAUAGCCUUUGUAUAUGUGGUGUAUGGUUGUCAUGUGAAUGCCUUAUUUGUGAAUUGGUAUUUUGGAUACCAAAUGAUUGAAAUGGAUAAGUGGCAUGCAUGAUAAGUUAGGCACAUUGAUGCAUAUAUGUGUUUGACCAUUUAGGUAGAUUUUCGAGGCAUAAGUGACAAGUUCAAAAAUGGUUAAUUGAGAUGUCUAUUAGUAUCAUACUUGUAUGUGAUAUUUUAACAAGUUAUAAGCUUGAUAUUAGUUGGUUUUGAAUGUAUAUUUAUGCCAUGGUUGUAUUCAAAUUGUUGUGUUUAGGUUGGUACCAAUUUGGGUGAGAAAUAUGGCUUAGAAAAUGACCUAUUUUUGUCCACACGGGCAGAGACACGGGCGUGUGUUUCAGCCGUGUGUGACACACGGCAAGGUGAAACGGCCGUGUGUCCCCUGUAACUUCUUUAUAAAACAAGUCAGUAGCUUCACACGGCUUAGCACAUAGGCUUGUGGCUUGGCCAUGUGGCACAAGUGAGUAUACCCUUUAGUUUUCACACGGCCUAGCACACGGCCUGGCACACGGGCGUGUGAGGCCAUUUUGAAGGGUACACGGCCUGACACACGGGCAUGUGGUCUGACCAUGUGACCCAAGUCAGUAUACUUACUAGUUGGUACAUGGGCUAGGACACGGGCGUGUGGCCCAUUUUGAAUGUCCACUCGGCCUGGCCAUACGGGCGUGUGUCCCCUGUACCUUUGAAAAUUUUACAUGUUUAUCAAAAAAAUUUCUUGAGUACUCGGUUUAGUCCCGAACUAUUUCUAAUGUCUAUUUGGGGCAUCGGGAGCUCGUAUUAGGGACUAUAUAAAUGAAUUUUAAUGGUUUUUUAUUUGAUUGAGAAAUGAACAUGAAAUGUAUGAUUGUUUAAUUUAUAAGUCUGGUAAUGAUCCGUAACCCUAUUUCGGCGACGGAUACGGGUUAGGGGUGUUAUAUUUAUUGUAUUAGAGCUACAGUUUAGUUAAUUUUUGGACAAACGUAGCGUUUGGGAGUUUAGCUAUACAGGCCAUUUUAGAACUUGUGAUAAUGUGAUGUCUCCUGAUAGUUUAAAUAAUGUUUUCAUAUAGUAAUGGAUUCCAAUCGAGCAGACUCUAGUGAUGUUGAAAGUAACGCGUCAGCCUCCAUUCGCGGAGCAGCUUCUUCUGGAUCGAGACCCGUAUCUGAGGGUCAUGGAUGAGAGGCUAAGGAAGCCUUUUUUUCAUAUGAUGAAUGAAUGGUUCACUGAGUUUGUCUGAACUAAUUCGACUGCUCAGCAACCUCCAACCCCGCCUUUUCCUCAACCGGUCCCUAUAGCUCUUAAACUUUUGGAACCUAUAUGCAUGAGCAAACUGCUAGUUAAUAAAAUUCACAAAUAUGAGGCCGAAAAGUUUAGGGCUACUGCUGAUGACGAUCUGGAGAGAGCUAAAUUUUGGCUAGAGAAUACGAUUAGGGUUUCAUAUGAACUGUCUUGUAUGCCAACAGUGUAACACCCCUUACCCGUAUUCCUUACCGGAACAGAGUAUGAGGUAUUACUAAAUUUUUAAAAAUUUUCGACAGCAUUCCUACUUAUUUUUGCUUAAACCUCCUGCAAAUUUAGAACACAUUCCAAUAUACCAACCAAUUUCAUUUGUAUAAACACACAUAUAGUUUAACUAUUAAUAAACACUACAUUUAAAAGGGAACCAUAACAUAUAUUUACAUGAUGAUCCCACAUUACAUAAAGUGUCUAUACAUGCCAUAAAAUUUCGGAACACUAGUAGUAAAAUACCCCAAAUGUGAAGGAUAGUGUAGAUGAUUGUCUGACUUCGUUCCAAUUUCCGAGUUGUUGGAAGUCACUAUAACCAAGAGAAAAAUAAAAUCGAGUAAGCAUAUAGCUUAGUAAGUAAACACAUGAUAAAUAAGUAAUUACUCCCAUAACUACACCAAAAUAUAAACUUAUUCAUGAAUAACUUUAUUGUUUAGGCAAUUUCCAGCAAGCUGUUUUUCUGCGUCAUAGUCGCUAAUUUAUUUUCAUCUGGAGCUAAAGGGCUCCAAAUUGAGUUCCGUAAAUUUUCCCUGAAACUAGACUCAUAUACCAUUUCACCAUAAAAAUUUCAGAAUUUUUAACCCAGCCAAUUAGUACAUUUUAUUCAUUAAACCUUCCCCUGUUUCACUGCCCAACGGUUCUGACCCUUCCUCACUAAAAUUUACUUAACUCUCUGUAAAAAAUUUGAAAAAUGGGUUUUAUUGUUUCUAAUAAAAAUAGACUCAAUAAGGAUUCCAGGGAUAUAAAUUUCAUGCCAUAAUUAUUUUUUUUCAAUUUUUGGUAAUUUUCCAAAGUUAGAACAGGGGAUCUCGAAAUCAAUCCAGCCCUAUUUCAGUAAAAUUCAGAUAUCUCCAAAAAUACAACUCUUUUGCUUAUUCUAUUUCUUUCAUAUGAAAAUAGACACAUUCAGCUUCAAUUUCAUAUAUUAUUCAGCUUCCCAUUCAUUUUCCACCAUUUAUGGUGAUUUUUCAAAGUUACCCAACUGCUGUUGUUCAACACAGUUUAUAAUUAAAUCGUUCCUUUUGCGUUUUUGAUAUUUUCUCCCAUCUCAUACAUGGGUCGAUUUAGUAUUCAACUCAAUAUUUACCCCAUAAAAUUUUCCACCAUAUGGAAAUAUUCAUCUUCCACACUUUUUCGUUGAACACUUGGAAUGUUAACCGUUAUUGGUGGAUCUCGCACUUAGCACCACCGCUGAAUCGGGGAAUCAGCACUUAGCAACCCCUCGGGGGAAUCAGCACAUAGCAACCCCCUUUCACAUUUCAAAGAUAUGGUGGAUAUCGCACUUAGCACCACCAAUGAACCGGGGAAUCAGCACUUAGCAACCCCUCGGGGGAAUCAGCACAUAGCAACCCCCUUUUCACAUUUCAAAGAUAUGGUGGAUCACGCACAUAGCACCACCAAUGAAUCGGGGAAUCAGCACUUAGCAACCCCUCGGGGGAAUCAGCACAUAGCAACCCCCUUUUUACAUUUCAAAGAUAUGGUGGAUCACGCACAUAGCACCACCAAUGAAUCGGGGAAUCAGCACACAGCAACCCCUUUAUAUACAACAUACUCCGGCUUAUUCCGAGUGUUCAACCCAUAAACCAUAUAUUGCAACCCUUUACCACCUUUCCCGAUUUAACAACAUUUUUAGGAUAUGGCCAAACAUUUAUUUUAAUUCCAAAUAAAUCUCAACAUAUAUCAAAUAAUAUCAAAAUAAUACAUUAAGUCACGUGUUUACUUACCUCGGUGCAAAAUAUCGUAAUUUUGCACUUUACUCCCCUAUCUUUUCUUUUCCCCGUUUGAUAUACUCUUCACGUCUUUCUUGAUCUAUAAUAGCAAAUUUAACUCGUUUAAUAUUCACAUUUAUUAAAGUAAUCCACCACCCAACUUUUUGAAAAUUACAAUUUUGCCCCCAAACUUUUGCAUAAUUACACUUUUGUCCCCAAGCUCGGAAAUUAAACUUCAUCACUUAUUCUUAAGUUUUAUAACAUGCUGAACAUUUUUCCCUUCUAUGGAAACAUCAAAUUCCCACUCCAACACAUACUUUUGAAUAUUAAUUAUUUUUACCGAUUAUGUCUAUUUACCCGUUUUCGCUUAAAAUUGCUUAGCAAAAGUUGUUUAACAUAAUCUCUAGCUUCAUAUUCCACCAUAAAACAGCAAAAUAAACACAUUUCACCUAUGGAUAUUUUUCCAAAUAUGAACCCUAACAUGAAUUAAUGGUAGAAUAAGCUAAACCAAGUUACCGGGACUCCAAAAAUACGAAGAACAUUAAAAACGGGGCUUAGAAUCACUUACUAUGGAGCUUGAAAGCUUAAAAACCCUAAAUAUGGCUUCCCCCUUGCUGAUUUCGUUCACCAUGAAGAAGAUGAGCAUAUUUUGCCAUCUUUUUCCCAUUUAAUUCUAUUUAAUAACCAAAUGACUAAAAUGCCCCCAUUUAAAAAAAUCUAUUUCACCCAUUUCUUAUGUCUAUUUUUGUCCAUCAACUAACUAAUGGUCUAAUUACCACAUAAAGACCUCCAAUUUAAAAUUUCAUAACAAUUAGACACCUCUAAGAUGUAGAACUCAACUUUUGCACUAUUUACAAUUUAGUCCUUUUGACUAAAUUGAGUGCCCAAACGUCGAAAUUUUCGAACGAAAUUUUUACGAAAAUUUUCCGUGAAAUUGUAGAUCAUAAAAAUAUAAUAAUAACCAUAUUUUCCCUCGUCGGAUUUGUGGUCCCGAAACCACUAUUCCGACUAGGCCUAGAAUCGGGCUGUUACAACUCUCCCCCCCUUAGGGAUUUUCGUCCCCGAAAAUCUUACCGGAAAAGAGGUUUGGGUACUGUUUCCUCAUAAUUUCCUCCGGUUCCCACGUAGCCUCUUCCAUUCCAUGUUUUUGCCACAACACUUUCACUAAGGCUACACUUUUAUUUCUUAACUGUUUGACCUCCCGAGCCAAAAUCUUUAUGGGUUCUUCUUCAUAAGUCAUAUCUGGUCGAACCUCAAUCUCUGUAGGAGAAACUAUAUGUGAAGGAUCCGAACGAUAACAUCGCAACAUCGACACAUGAAAUACAUUAUGUAUCUUUUCCAACUCUGGCGGUAAAGCUAACCGAUAUGCUACAGGGCCAACUCUCUCGGUAACUUCAUAUGGUCCAAUAAAACGUGGACUUCGUUUGCCUUUACGACCAAAUCUCAGAAUCUUCUUCCAUGGGGAUACUUUCAAGAACACUUUAUCACCCACUUGAAACUCAAUUUCUUUUCUCUUUAAAUCCGCAUACGACUUUUGCCGAUCUGAGGCAGCUUUUAGGCAAUCACGGAUUAUUUUCACCUUUUCUUCAGUUUCUUUCACCAGGUCGACUCCAUGAAUCCGAUUCUCACCGAGUUCAGUCCAAUAUAAAGGGGUUCUACAUUUACGCCCAUAUAAUGCUUCAUACGGUGCCAUUUGUAUACUUGACUGAUAACUAUUAUUAUAAGCAAAUUCAACCAGUGGUAGAUAUUUCUCCCAACUGUCCUUCAUUUCUAAAAUACAACACCGGAGCAUGUCUUCAAGAACUUGAAUCACCCUUUCUGAUUGUCCGUCAGUUUGCGGAUGAAAUGCAGUACUGAAAUUCAAUUUCGUACCCAAAGCUUCCUGUAACUUUAUCCAAAACCUUGAAGUAAAUCUCGGAUCUCUAUCCGAUAUAAUAGAUUUAGGCACCCCAUGUAGUCUCACUAUUUCAGCAACAUAUAAUUCAGCCAACCUGUCAAGUGAAUAAUCAAUGCGUAUCGGAAUAAAAUGGGCCGACUUUGUCAAUCUAUCCACAAUUACCCAAAUAGCAUCUUUCUUCUUUGGAGUUAAAGGCAAUCCUGUCACGAAAUCCAUCGUGAUACUGUCCCACUUCCAUUCUGGAAUCGUUAUCGGUUGAAGUAAACCCGAUGGCACUUGAUGCUCAGCCUUUACUUGUUGACAGAUUAAACAUUUUGUUACAAAUUCCGAGAUAUCCUUUUUCAUGCCCGGCCACCAAUACAACUUCCUCAAAUCAUUGUACAUUUUCACACUACCCGGAUGGACUGAUAAAUCACCACUGUGUGCCUCACCUAAAAUAGUCCGAAUUAGCUCAUCAUUUCUCGGUACACAUAUUCUGUCCCUGAACAUCAGGCAAUCAUCUGAACCAAUUUGAAAAUCUGAGUCAACACCUGCUUCACACUGAGCUCUCUUGGCUUGCAAUUUACUGUCAUUCUUUUGAGAUUCCCGAAUUUGCUGAAGAAAUAACGGUCUAGCUCUCAAUUCAAUCAACAUUGAGCCAUCAUCAGAUAAAGUUAACAUCGUACCCAUAGCUCUCAAAGCAAAUAAAGAUUUUCUGCUCAAGGCAUCAGCAACCACAUUAGCUUUCCCGGGGUGAUAAUCAAUCACUAGCUCAUAGUCUUUGAUUAGCUCGAGCCAUCUUCGUUGCCGCAAAUUCAAGUCUUUUUGACUCAUCAAAUAUUUCAAACUCUUAUGAUCAGUGAAGAUUCGGCACUUUUCACCAUACAAAUAAUGACGCCAAAUUUUUAAAGCAAAAACAAUGGCAGCCAAUUCUAAAUCAUGCGUCGGAUAAUUCUUCUCAUGCGGUUUCAACUGUCUCGAAGCAUAAGCUAUUACUUUGCCCUCUUGCAUUAACACACACCCAAGGCCAUUCAACGAUGCAUCACUGUAAAUUACAAACUCCUUCCCGGACUCAGGUUGCACCAACACUGGCGCCUCAGUCAAUAAUGCCUUCAACUUUUCAAAACUCUGUUAACAUUUAUCGGUCCAUUCAAACUUGACAUUCUUCUGCAGUAACUUAGUCAUAGGAGAAGCAAUCAUCGAGAAUCCCUUGACAAACCGUCUGUAAUACCCAGCUAAGCCCAGGAAGCUUCUAACUUCAGUCACAUUCUUUGGUGGCUCCCAAUCAACAAUUGCUGAAAUUUUGCUUGGAUCAACCCGAAUACCUUCACUUGAAACUAUAUGUCCCAAGAAUCCAACCUCACGAAGCCAAAACUCACUUUUGCUGAAUUUAGCAUACAAUUUCUUUUCUCUCAGAAUCUGCAACACAGUUCUCAAAUGUUCUGCAUGUUCCGAUUCAUCCCGAGAAUAGAUUAAAAUAUCAUCUAUGAACACCACCACGAACUUGUCUAAGUACAGCCGAAAAAUUCGGUUCAUCAAGUCCAUAAAAAUAGCUGGAGCAUUAGUCAACCCAAAAGGCAUUACCAGAAAUUCAUAGUGUCCAUACCUCGUUCUGAAGGCGAUUUUCGGCACAUCAGACUCUUUAACUCUCAACUGAUAGUAACCAGACCUCAGAUCGAUCUUGGAGAACACUGUUGCCCCUUUUAAUUGAUCAAACAAAUCAUCAAUUCUCGGCAAAGGAUACUUGUUCUUUAUGGUCACCUUAUUGAGCUGACGAUAGUCAAUACAAAGUCUCAUAGAGCCGUCCUUCUUUUUCACAAAUAACACAGGAGCACCCCAAGGAGAAAAACUCGGUCUCACAAAUCCUUUAUCUGUCAACUCUUGUAACUGAGCUUUUAAUUCCUUCAACUCAGUCGGAGCCAUUCGAUACGGUGCAAUAGAAAUCGGUGCAGUACCAGGUAACAGAUCAAUAGAAAACUCAACUUCUCUAAUCGGAGGUAACCCAGGCAAUUCCUCUGGAAAUACAUCUGGAAAUUCACAGACUACCGGCACUGAUUCAAGCUUCGACCCAGUUAUAUCAGUAUUCAACACAUAAGCAAGAUAAACUUCACAUCCCUUUCUCAAGUAUUUCUGAGCAGACAUGUGCGAAAUCACCAUAGGCAACUUAUUCGGCUCCUCUGUUUCAAUCCGGAGAAUUUCACCAUUUUCACACUUUAAUUCAAGAAUUUUCUGUCUACAAUUCACCUUGGCAUCAUGCAAUAUCAACCAAUCCAUCCCCAAAAUAACAUCGAACUCAUCAAAUGGUAACAACAUCAAAUUAGCCAGGAAACAGUGACCUUGAAUCAUCAGGGGGCAAUUCUUGCAAAUCUUAUCAACUAAGACAUACUUGCCUAAUGGAUUUGAUACUUUAACUACAUAUUCAGUGUUUUCAACAGGCAAUUUCUUACUAGAUACCAAUUUCAUGCAUACAUAUGAAUGAGUAGAGCCGGGAUCAAUCAAAGCAAUAACAUCUAUAUCAUGAAGAGAAAAUGUACCAGUAAUCACAUCGGGAGAUGAGGCAUCCUCUCGAGCACGUAUGGCAUAAGUCCUAGCAGGCGCUCUAAUUUCUGAUCCUCCAGCUGCAUCUUUCGUCACACUUUUACCACUGACUUUGCUUCCCACAUUUCUCGGCGGUCUCUCUCUACUAACAAUAUCACCCGAUCUAGCUCUUGGCAAAUUUUCUUCCUCUCUUCUCUCAGGGAAAUCUCUUACAUAAUGCUCUUGGGAACCACACCUGAAACAAGCUCGUUUAAAUCCCCAACACUCACCAAUAUGUCGCCUGCCACACUGUUGACAUUCAGGCCGGGUGUUUCCUACAUUGCCCACACUUGCUACAGAGGUAGCUCGAGUUGUAGCUCCAGAAUACGACCUCCCUCGGUCUCUGAGUGAAUACCCAACUGAACCAGUUGGUCGUGGAUCCAUCCCUUUAAACUUCUUCGAAUGAGAUUGAAAUGUUCUGCCCAUUGUCCUCUUCCUUACAUCUCGAGAUUCCAUCUCUGCCCUUCUCUUUUCUCUACUCAGUUCUUCAGCUUUACAGGCCCGAUCAACUAACACCACAAAUUCUUUUAACUCUAAAAUCCCAACAUGCAAUCUGAUGUCUUCAUUUAGCCCCUCUUCAAAUCUUUUACACAUAAUAGCCUCCGUAGGCACACAUUCCUGGGCAUAUUUACUAAGCCGAACAAACUCCCGUUCAUAUUCUGCUACGGACAUUCGGCCCUGUUUCAACCCGAGAAACUCUUUGCGUUUUUGAUCAAUAAAUCGUUGGCUUACAUAUUUCUUUCUAAAUUCUUCCUGAAAGAAGUCCCAAGUAACUCUUUCUUUUGGAACCACCGAUAUCAAUGUUUUCCACCAACGAUAUGCCGAAUCCUUCAAUAAAGACACAGCACAUUUCAAACAUUCUUCAGGGGUGCAAGAUAAUUCAUCAAAUACCCGAAUAGUAUUUUCAAGCCAAAACUCGGCUUUUUCCGGAUCAUCAUCAACAUUGGCCCUAAAAUCUUCAGCCCCAUGCUUUCGAAUUCUAUCAACAGGUGGCUUACUUGAUCUCACCAAUUCGGCACUCCGUGGAGCUACGGGGACCGGUUGAGGAAUAGGAGGGGGUGGAGGAGGAGGAACAUUCAGAUUUACACGGACAUAUUUUAUAUACCAAUCACUCAUCAUUCGGAGGAAGGCUUCCCGAGCCUCAUCCUGUCCAUGUGUCUCAUGUCUACUCUCUUCCUGCGCGGUCCCUUGCGCGAGAGCCGGCGCGUUACUUUCAACAUCAUCUGCCACACUUCGAUCAGGAUCCAUUUACUAUAUAAAACAAAAUUUUAAAUUGUCAGAAAUCAUCACACUAUCACAAUAAUUUUAUGGCAUGUAUAGACUGACUUCCACACGUAUUUUAUUGGUCCAAGAACCGACUAAACCGUAGCUCUGAUACCACUAAAAUGUAACACCCCUUACCCGUAUUCCUUACCGGAACAGAGUAUGAGGUAUUACUAAAUUUUUAAAAAUUUUCGACAGCAUUCCUACUUAUUUUUGCUUAAACCUCCUGCAAAUUUAGAACACAUUCCAAUAUACCAACCAAUUUCAUUUGUAUAAACACACAUAUAGUUUAACUAUUAAUAAACACUACAUUUAAAAGGGAACCAUAACAUAUAUUUACAUGAUGAUCCCACAUUACAUAAAGUGUCUAUACAUGCCAUAAAAUUUCGGAACACUAGUAGUAAAAUACCCCAAAUGUGAAGGAUAGUGUAGAUGAUUGUCUGACUUCGUUCCAAUUUCCGAGUUGUUGGAAGUCACUAUAACCAAGAGAAAAAUAAAAUCGAGUAAGCAUAUAGCUUAGUAAGUAAACACAUGAUAAAUAAGUAAUUACUCCCAUAACUACACCAAAAUAUAAACUUAUUCAUGAAUAACUUUAUUGUUUAGGCAAUUUCCAGCAAGCUGUUUUUCUGCGUCAUAGUCGCUAAUUUAUUUUCAUCUGGAGCUACAGGGCUCCAAAUUGAGUUCCGUAAAUUUUCCCUGAAACUAGACUCAUAUACCAUUUCACCAUAAAAAUUUCAGAAUUUUUAACCCAGCCAAUUAGUACAUUUUAUUCAUUAAACCUUACCCUGUUUCACUGCCCAACGGUUCUGACCCUUCCUCACUAAAAUUUACUUAACUCUCUGUACAAAAUUUGAAAAAUGGGUUUUAUUGUUUCUAAUAAAAAUAGACUCAAUAAGGAUUCCAGGGAUAUAAAUUUCAUGCCAUAAUUAUUUUUUUUCAAUUUUUGGUAAUUUUCCAAAGUUAGAACAGGGGAUCUCGAAAUCAAUCCAGCCCUGUUUCAGUAAAAUUCAGAUAUCUCCAAAAAUACAACUCUUUUGCUUAUUCUAUUUCUUUCAUAUGAAAAUAGACACAUUCAGCUUCAAUUUCAUAUAUUAUUCAGCUUCCCAUUCAUUUUCCACCAUUUAUGGUGAUUUUUCAAAGUUACCCAACUGCUGUUGUUCAACACAGUUUAUAAUUAAAUCGUUCCUUUUGCGUUUUUGAUAUUUUCUCCCAUCUCAUACAUGGGUCGAUUUAGUAUUCAACUCAAUAUUUACCCCAUAAAAUUUUCCACCAUAUGGAAAUAUUCAUCUUCCACACUUUUUCGUUGAACACUUGGAAUGUUAACCGUUAUUGGUGGAUCUCGCACUUAGCACCACCGCUGAAUCGGGGAAUCAGCACUUAGCAACCCCUCGGGGGAAUCAGCACAUAGCAACCCCCUUUCACAUUUCAAAGAUAUGGUGGAUAUCGCACUUAGCACCACCAAUGAACCGGGGAAUCAGCACUUAGCAACCCCUCGGGGGAAUCAGCACAUAGCAACCCCCUUUUCACAUUUCAAAGAUAUGGUGGAUCACGCACAUAGCACCACCAAUGAAUCGGGGAAUCAGCACACAGCAACCCCUUUAUAUACAACAUACUCCGGCUUAUUCCGAGUGUUCAACCCAUAAACCAUAUAUUGCAACCCUUUACCACCUUUCCCGAUUUAACAACAUUUUUAGGAUAUGGCCAAACAUUUAUUUUAAUUCCAAAUAAAUCUCAACAUAUAUCAAAUAAUAUCAAAAUAAUACAUUAAGUCACGUGUUUACUUACCUCGGUGCAAAAUAUCGUAAUUUUGCACUUUACUCCCCUAUCUUUUCUUUUCCCCGUUUGAUAUACUCUUCACGUCUUUCUUGAUCUAUAAUAGCAAAUUUAACUCGUUUAAUAUUCACAUUUAUUAAAGUAAUCCACCACCCAACUUUUUGAAAAUUACAAUUUUGCCCCCAAACUUUUGCAUAAUUACACUUUUGUCUCCAAGCUCGGAAAUUAAACUUCAUCACUUAUUCUUAAGUUUUAUAACAUGCUGAACAUUUUUCCCUUCUAUGGAAACAUCAAAUUCCCACUCCAACACAUACUUUUGAAUAUUAAUUAUUUUUACCGAUUAUGUCUAUUUACCCGUUUUCGCUUAAAAUUGCUUAGCAAAAGUUGUUUAACAUAAUCUCUAGCUUCAUAUUCCACCAUAAAACAGCAAAAUAAACACAUUUCACCUAUGGAUAUUUUUCCAAAUAUGAACCCUAACAUGAAUUAAUGGUAGAAUAAGCUAAACCAAGUUACCGGGACUCCAAAAAUACGAAGAACAUUAAAAACGAGGCUUAGAAUCACUUACUAUGGAGCUUGAAAGCUUAAAAACCCUAAAUAUGGCUUCCCCCUUGCUGAUUUCGUUCACCAUGAAGAAGAUGAGCAUAUUUUGCCAUCUUUUUCCCAUUUAAUUCUAUUUAAUAACCAAAUGACUAAAAUGCCCCCAUUUAAAAAAAUCUAUUUCACCCAUUUCUUAUGUCUAUUUUUGUCCAUCAACUAACUAAUGGUCUAAUUACCACAUAAAGACCUCCAAUUUAAAAUUUCAUAACAAUUAGACACCUCUAAGAUGUAGAACUCAACUUUUGCACUAUUUACAAUUUAGUCCUUUUGACUAAAUUGAGUGCCCAAACGUCGAAAUUUUCGAACAAAAUUUUUACGAAAAUUUUCCGUGAAAUUGUAGAUCAUAAAAAUAUAAUAAUAACCAUAUUUUCCCUCGUCGGAUUUGUGGUCCCGAAACCACUAUUCUGACUAGGCCCAGAAUCGGGCUGUUACAAACAGAAUAUGUCAAAUGUGCUGUAUCUCUUUUGAAAGAUUUGGCAUAUCAGUGGUGGAACACGUUAAUUUCUGUAAUACCGAAAGAACGGAUCACAUGAGAAUUCUUUUAGACAGAGUUUAGAAAGAAGUAUAUAAGUCAACGGUUCCUUGAUCAAAAGCGUAAAGAAUUUCUAGAGCUGAAACAGGGUCGUAUGACCAUAUCUGAAUAUGAAAGAAAGUUUGUCAGAUUGAGCAAGUGUGCCCGUGAGUGCAUUCCAACCGAGGUGGUUAUGUGUAAAGGUUUGAAGAUGGGUUGAAUGAAGACAUUAAGCUUUUAGUUGGAAUACUUGAACUGAAAGAAUUUUUUGUGUUAGUUGGUAGAGCAUACAAAGCCAAGGAGCUAGAGAUUCGAGAAAGAGAUUUAUAGGAAAGUCUCAUCGAUCAGCAUCGAAGAAAUCUAAAGAAUAUCACUAUCGUACUACUAUUUUUGCAGGGCAUUCUAAUAGAGAUAGAGAUGCGAGACACUCUAGUCCUAAACCCUAGGCUACAUCUGUAACGAGUGCGGGUAGUGUUAGAAAUGCUAGACCCGAGUGUAAAAUAAAGUGUUAAGUGUAAAGUCCCAGUUGAACUUAGGAAUAGAAGUGGAUACAAGUGACAUGUCACUAGAGACCAGUGUUACAGUGAGUCCCGGGUGCUGGGUGAUCUAGCAUGUGUUGCAGACACCUGACAGCUUGUAUGAGCAGGCCCGUGGACAUUUCCAGUGUUAUUGAUCACUGGUAGCUUCAGCUACAAUUUAGUGGUAGCUACGGCUACAUAUCAUUGGUAGCUUCGACUACAUUUCAGUGGUAGCUACGGCUACAUAUCAGUGGUAGCUUCGGCUACAUAUCAGUGUGACACUUAUGUGCUAAUUCUCUACGUAUCCGUGUAUAUUCCAAGUGUUCAACGAGAUUAAUAAUGAGUUAAAGUGAACAUGAAAUAAAGUGUGUAUACAGGUACAUUUGAAAGAAUGAGCAUAUGUGAUAAAGGUUAUGUGUAUAAAUGUAUGUGCAACUGAAUUGGUAAGAUUGUGCAUGUGUAAGUGAUUGAAAUUGCUAAGAAACGUAUUGAUUAGUUAUAUGUUAAAAAUGUUAAUUAUUAAAUGAGUACUUAUUGUUUACAUGUAAUUUACUAAGCUAUUAGUAGCUUACACCUUUCUUCAUUUCCUUUGUUUUAUAGUGUUUUGAGCUUGCUCGAAUUGGGGAUCGUCGAAGCCUCAUAUCACACUAUCAACAGACAUUUCGGUAUUAGGUGAUUUCAAAACAUUUAAAGUUAUGGCAUGUAUAGAGACUUAUUUAUUUUGAGUAUUUUCAUAUGAUAUGGCUAAAUAUUAGCUAUUGAAAUGGUUAGUAAAGAAUAUUUUUUGGUGUUAUGUAUGCUUAAAUGGUAAUGAAAACAAAGAAACUAUAAAAAGUAAAAAUUUUGCAAAGAAACAGUUUUUGGGACAGCGGUAGUGAUGUGAAAUUGAAAAAUCACCAAAAAUAGUAGAAAUAGAAUUAGAGAGUGAAUGAUAUAUAGGAUUAAAUAUUAUCAAGUCUAUUUUUACAUGAAAGAAACGGUGUAGGCAAAGGAAUUUUAUAUUUUGAGAUAUUUUAAUUUUAGUGAAACAUGGUCAGAAUGGUUUUUGAAGUCCUCUGUUCUAACUUUAGAAAUUCAUUAAAAAUUUUACAGAAAUAAUUAUGAGUCAUAAUUUAUAUGUAUAGAUUCCUUAUUGAAUAUAUUUCCUAUAUAGACAAGCGGAAACACCAUAUGAAAUCUGUACAUUGUGAUAAUUGAUUUUUAGUGAGUGGUGGUCAAAACCGUCGGACAGUGAAACAGGGGAGACUUCAAUGAAUAAACUGUACUAAUUGGCUAAACCAAAUAUUCUAAAAUUUUUACGAUAAGAAUACAUAUGAGUAUAGUUUCAUGGAAAAUUUACGGAUUUAAAUUUUUAGUUUCGUAACUCGAGUUAUAAUUAAAUUAGUGACAGUCGCACAGGUGGACAGUUUUGUUGUGAAUAGUGAAAUUAAUUCUAAAAGUAAAUUUUUAUGCUUCGAACUAGUAAGUUAAGUUAGAUAACGCCUCAUGCUCGACUCCGGAAAUGGUCUUGGGUAAGGGGUGUUACGAGCCCAAUUGGUGACUGGUUCAGUUCACUAGAUUCGGUUCAACCAAUGCGGUUCAACUGGACCUUUUUUUUCCAUAAUUAAUUAAUAAUAAUUUAUUUAGCCCAAAUUAAAUUGGAAAUAAAUUAAAAUUAAUUAUAUUAUGAAUUAACACACAUUUUUGGACCAUCUUAGGCUGGAAAUAAAUUUUUCCCGAUGCUUCAAAUUGUUUCUCGAUUUUAUUCUUCGAGCAUUGUCUGCCGAGCCAAUUUUCGCCCUUUGUGCGAAUCUAUCGAAAAUAGUAAAAAUUAAUCAAAAUUAACUAUAAAAUUAAUUAAAAUUCAUCAUGUUCAUAAUUUUAACAUAAUUUAAUUAUUUUAUAAUAUUUAAUUAUUUUUCAAAAAGAAUUUAACCGAAAUUGCAUGAUUUUAAGUUAAAAAGGGCAUGUAAAAACACAGAAAUUUUCGUGUUUCCAUGGAUGUGCAUGGCUUGGCAAUUAUGAAGAUUUUAAAGUUAGGUAAGGGUAAUUUGGUAAUUAGGUUAUUAAAGAUAAACAAAAUUAAACCUAUCAUCUUGUUGGCUUCUUCUUCAACCGAAAAUUACAGCAUAAGGGAGACUUUUUGGAGCUUCAAACAUUCAACCACUUCUUCCUUUGCAUGUAAGUGUGUUUUUGUCCCGUUUUUAUUGAUUUUCAAGGAAAACAUAAUUGAAUUUUGGUAUCGAUUUUUAUAAAGGUAUCGAUAUCAACUACGAAAGUUUCAUUUUUAGUGUUAAAACUUAUUGUUUUUUAGAUUUAAUUCUAUUAUAUGACUAAAGUUCAUAAAUAGAUCCUGAUAAGCUAUAAAAGUAACAUAUUUUAAUCUCAUUCUUAAUGCGUUUUUAGAUGAUUAAUUAUGCAAAUUAGUGAAUUUGAUGCUCUUAAUCCUUUAAAUUCAUGUUUCUCUACUUAGGAGAGCAUUUGAGAGCGAAAGGAGCAAAAAACGAGCCAAAAUCAGACAAAAAAAAGCUGCUUUUAGGAUCCACAUAGGCUGUCCACACGCCCAUGUGCCAACUCGUGCCGAUUUCGCACUUUGCUUCCCAAAUACGCAGAAAAACCCAAUUUUUAGGAUUUCUAAGCAUUCUAAAGACUAUAAAUACCAAUUAGAAUAAUAGAGAAUGGGGCAAUCAGAGAAGAUCGAAGAAAACACUCAAAGAACGCCACCGGAAUCAACUCAGAAGCGGACCUCCCUCAAGACCGAAGAUCUCCAUUUAAUUUCUUUUGAAGUUUUAUUGAGUUUCUUUAUGUCUUAUGGUUAUCCUAACUUUGAGAUGUUUCUAUUCAGGAUUAUGGACUAAAUUCCCUAGAUACCUAGGGAGGAUGAAACCUAUGAUGAGUCUUAUUAUUUGAUUUCUGAUUUACAUGAUAAAUACUUGAUUCUUGUUCUCAAUUAUGUAUGAUUAUUUCUUGUUUUAAUAUUUUCAGGAUAUUAAUUCAUGUUCAAUGUGCUUAUUUCAGUGGAGAACAAGUCUCUGUUUAAUAGUAGAUCUAGCAUAAUUGAGCGGAGUUGCAUGCAAUCCUAGAAAUAAGACGACAUAAAUCUACCGGAUUAGAGUCAAAUCUAAUAGGGGAAUCCAUAGAUCGAGUUAAUAUGACGAUAGGGGUUUUAAUUAGAAAGAGAUUUCAAUUAAUCAACCUAGAAUCAGUUGUUCUUACUCUCGAAAGAGAUAUUAACAUAAUUUAGAGAUUUCUACGAAUUAAGUCACAAGUGAAUAAAUCAUUUAAUUCAUAUUCAUAAUAAUAGGUGAAGUCUAGGUUGAUUCUUUCCUGAGUAUUGUCUAUCUCAUUGGUUAUCUUUGAUUAGUUUAGUAAUUUUAGAUUAAAACACAUCACCCUAAUUUGUCGGCUAGAUAAUAAGAAAACGGUAAUUACUAGUACUUUUAGUCCUCGUGGAGACGAUAUUCCCUACUCACCAUAGCUAUACUAUUAUUCGAUAGGUGUGCUUGCCUUUGUCGUAUUUAUAGUUAGUUUAGUGACCAUCAGAUCCCCUUGGAAUUCUAAAAUUUAAUUAUAUAUAUUAGUUUACAUGUGAUUGAUAUUUUAAAUAUUAGAGUUUUGUGUAUAAUAAAGUGAUUAUCAAUGAUCUAGCUUUGUCAUAACAUCACUUGCUCAAGUCCGCCAUCCGGGUCAGGUAAGGGGUGUUACAUCUACACCCCUGAUUGCGACCCUAAUCCAAUAUUUUGCUUAUUCGGGAUCUGCGAUGGGCUGCGGUCUUUGUCCUCGCAGAUCCUCCUAUCUUGCCACUUAUAUUUUAUUUUAACAAGAAUUUGGGUCACACAACUCUAACAAUAUGUGAAUGUGAAAGUUGAUUAGUGACUAUACAUGUUAAAGUAAAAACUAUAAGUUAUAAAGUUAAUUUAAAUGAUUUUAUGUUUUGAAAUGAAUUAAAAGUUUAAGUAUAUCAGUGAAAGAAAUUGUGUGAAUAAAUAUUAUUAAAAUUAAUAAAAUCAUAUAUAUAAAAGGUAAGAUUGAAUUCAAUUGAGUACUUACUAAACUAUUCACAUAACUUAACGCAUUUGUUUAACGUGUAGGUGAAACAAAGUAGAUUGAAAGUAUGUGGAUAACUUUUUUUCGCGAAAAUUGCUACUUCAACAAUAACAUCACUAAUCCAAGCUACAAGACUAAGUUUCUUUUUUUUGGUAUAUACAUAAAUUUUGGAUUUUAGAGAUGACAUAUACUUAGGUUUGGUAGUGUAAUAUGAACUAUAAAUGUAUAAUAGAAAUGUUGUAGUGCAGUGUAUGAAUGUGAUUUCAAAAUAUGAUUAUGUGCUUAAAUGUAACCUCUCUUACUCGAAUUUGUUAUUGGAUUGACAAUAAUUUUAAAUUUUAAUUAGUAUUCUUAAUAUAUUAUUGAAAAAAUAUUUAUAUUAAUAUUUUAUGAUAAACACAUUUUAGCGAGCUCAAACCUACAUUCUCAUGCAUUAGCAACAAAUGUCAAUGUCAAUCAAACUAAGACUUAAUCAACUAUUAAUAUUUUAAUAUUAAAUAUAUAUUAUAAGUUAUAUUUAAUAAUAAAUACUUUAUAGUAUAAAAUAUGAAUAUUUAAUUAUAUAAAUAUGAGUAAGGUAGGAUUAAACAACAAAAAGUUUUUCAAAAAAUAAUUUUCAACUUUUCAAAUGUUUGAUAAGGGUUAAAAAGAAGUCAAAGAAAAAUGUACGGUAAGUGAAGAGAAAAAACGGUGUUAUUCUCGUAAAACAACUUACCACUUUUUUUUGGUAAGUCAUUUUACAGCAACCAGCCCUUAAAUCCCAGAGGUUACCUCUAUAAACAUUUACUCUCCUCACUCAACUGUCGCCGACUUCUCUCCCUUACCGGCGACCUAAUCGGCGACCUCAUCAACUCUAUCACCGGCGGUCUGACUCCAGUCAAUUAAGUUCUGCUUGUUGUCUUUAUUUUUGUUGUUUUGCGUCAGUAUAGAGGCCGUUGAUCUCUGGAAACUCCAUUACUACCGACCUUGUUUUAUUCUUCAUCUUCUUAUAUUAUUCAGUUUUGGGUUCAAUUUUCUAGUUUCUUUAUUGUAGAUCUUUAUUAUUAUGGUUGAGAACAGAGAUCUUGAUCUCUAUGAGCCAUGGUUAAAAAAACAAAUUACAUAGUUGUUGAUCUCUAUUAGCAGUCUCCUACUAAUGAAAUGAAGGCCCCCAAUCUUCUCCACUUGUUUGCCUACAUUUGCUUCUCCUUGGGGAUUUAUCAUUUUGUCUUGAAUUUGGGUUACAAAAAAAAAAUACAGACAUCGUGAUCUCUCUUUAUGCAUUUUGCCUACGUUAACAGAGUUCUUGAUCUCUAUUAGUAGUCUCCUACUAAUUAAAACAACAUUGAAGAAUCUAAACCGCAGAUAAUACAACUCAUUAAAUGGUUUCGUUACAAGCAAAUUCGUUCUAAUUCUAAUUAGAAACUUAUACGUAAUAUAUUUAACAUUUUUUAUUAUUAAGUUUAUAUAAUAUAUUAAUUAUUAUAAAAUAAAAUUAGAUUGAUAAAUACAUUUAUGUCGAAUUUUUUUUAUUAAGAAUAACUUUAAAAAAUUAUUUUAGAAAAUUUUUUCAAAAACUAAAACAAAAUAAAAUUAUGCAGAAUUACUUAAACAUCCGAAAAAUAUUAAUAUUUUAAAAAUUAAUCAAUUUUCAGAAAUCAGUUUUUAUCGUGUUAUUUUAAAAAAAACACAACUUAGAAACGAAAUCCAUUGUCGUCCAGUGGUUAGGAUAUCUGGCUUUCACCCAGGAGACCCGGGUUCAAUUCCCGGCAAUGGAAAUAAUUUUUUAUAACUUUCAAUCUCUCCUUUUCUCGAGCGCUGAUUUUCUUCUUCUCUGUAAUUUUUUAAAUUACUUGAGAUCUCUCAUCCUGUUUGAAAAACCUUCUUCUCGAGCUCUCUGCUUUUCUUCUUCUCUGUGCUUUUCUAAAUUUCUUGAGAUCUGGACAUUUACAACAAAUUUAAGGUUUAUUUGGUGAUUUUGUUUCAUGAACUACAAUUUAUAGAUGCUAUUUCUUCUCCUCCUUUUUUUGUACAUUUCUUUCAAAAUCUAGGUUUAAAUUUUCUUUCUUUCAUCCAAAAUCUGGGUACUUUACCAAUUUAUUAAAACUUGAAAUAUUUUGGGGAGAUUAAGGUUUGCAUUUUUGUUUAUAAUUUUCACUCUUUUUUUCUACUAGUCAAUUUUGGCUGUAAAUUUACUUGCUACUGGCAAUUUUACUAAAAUAAAUAUAUUCUUUAUUAUAAAAGAAAUCACGAUAUAGCUUUUUUUUUGGUGAAAAAGAAAAUGAAUAACAUCAACUACAUAAAACAACCAUGUUCUUUAUCUUCUUGUAAUAAAUGUAUUAUUUCUUUAGGAGCCUCAUUAAGAACUUGUAAACUUGAUUUCCAGCUCAAGCUAAGUUUAGCUAGACGAUCCACUACCAAAUUACGAUUUCUUGGAAUGUGCUUAACCUUCUACGUCCCUUCUGCCCUCAUGAUACGUUGAGUCCUUCUGAGCACAGUAAUCCUAGAAUCUUCCAAAUUCAAAUUAGUCAAGAUUUGGACGACUUCAACAUUGUCAGUCAAAAUAAUGGCCCGUCUGUAACCCUUAUUUAGUAGAAUAAAAAUUCUAUCAAGGAUGCUCCAGACUUCAGCCUCAAACGGAGAACAUACUCUUAAGAAACGAGUAAAUCCCACUAUCCAAUUUCCAUCAUGAUCCCUAACCACUCCUCUUGUAGCAGCGUAUCCCAAAUCUCUGGCCACAACUCCAUCAGUGGAUAAAUAAACCCAUGAAUCAUCCGAAUUAUUUACUGAAUUCGCAUUGAGAUUAUUUCUUUUGCAUCCACCAAUAUGUGCAUCGUAUUGUCGAGCCCAGCAGCUAGAGACCUUAACCAUUUCAGUUGCUGCCCAGGAAAUAUUCUAAAAGAUAAAAAGAUUUUUAUUCUUCCAUAGGUGCCAAGCGAUUACACCAAAUAAAGAUGACCAAGUGAGCCCACUACCCUGCAAUCUUUCAUGAAAACAAAGGUUAAGUAAAAGCCAAUCCGGAAAUGAGGCAAAGAAGAACCUUUGUUUAAGCUGAUCUGGAAACACAAGCAUCCACACAUUCUUUGCGGAAGGGCAGUCUCAAAGAACAUGUGCCAAAUCCUCAACUUCAUACCCACACAAGGUGCACGAAUUUCUGUGACUGAUUUCCCUUCUUACACGCUCCGAGUUAGUGAGAAGUCUUUGCUUAAAAGCAAGCCAAAGAAAGACUCUUACUCUUUAUGGUCCCGAGUAUUUCCAAAUAGACUUUCAAUACUUAUUUUGAGAAUUCCAAGUGGGCUCCUUUAAAGUCCAAUAAGCACUACGAAUAAAGAAGGCUCCUGAUGUUGAUCGAGCCCAUAUCACCCUAUCUGGGCCAGAAUCAACAUGUGGAAAAGGGAUACUAGUAAUCCUAUAAAUCACAUUUUCAGGUAACCAGACACGAAACAGGUCCAAAUUCCAUCUUCCAUCCGAAUUGACGAACUCCCUAACACAACAAUCCAAAUCAAGGUUAGUAAAAGAUGGAAUUUUUUAGAUUAAAGAACCCAUACCUUGAAUCCAAGAAUCUUUCCAACAACGGGCAGUAGCGCUAUCUCCAAUAGACCAAUUUAAGUUCUCACGGAGUAGUGGCCAUAUCUUAGAAAGAGACCUCCAAAAAUGGGAGCAUUGGUUCCUGUUGAUAGUGUAAUACCCCCUACCCGUAUUCGUCGCCGGAAUAGGGUAUGAGGCAUUACAAGAUUUUACCGAAUAAAUUUUUCACAAAAUCCCAAAGUUUUUUUUUUGAACUCAAUAUAACCCCUUUAUAAAUAUCUAAUCUUCCUUGUAAUUUUAAACCGAGACCAAUCGAACACAACCAAUCCAUUUCAAUAUAUUUUCAAGAUAGAUUUAACAUAUUCAUAAGAUAACCUCAUCACAUACCAAAACCAAAAUUUGUUAGCCAUACCAAUGGCUAACCAUACAUUCAUUUCACAUUAACAUUUACUUUAUUAGCUUAUACAUGCCAUUGAUUUUCAAAAUAAAGUUUCUUUACAUACCGAAAUCUUGAGGUUGAUAGUGUGAUGCGUCUCUGACCAAAUCCGACCUCCGAGCUCUUAACACUACAAAACAGGGGAAAAGGAAACAGGAUAAGCACUUUGUGCUUAGUAAGCUCAUGUAACAAGAAUUAUACUUACCUAAUAUUUUCAAUACAAUGCAAUAAACAUUCAUACACCCACUCAAUACAUUAUUCUCUUAUCAUGCACAAACUCAACAUUCAAAUUAGUCCAAUAAUUUCCAUGUAUCAAUAAUAUAUACCAUGAUUGAUGAGCUCAACAAUUCCAUGAUUUCCAUUCCCUUGUUAUUUUUCCAUAUUUAUCCCGUUGAACUACUUGGAAUUUCGAUGGAUUUUCAGGGGUACACAUAAGUGUACAAAUCCGGGUCCGUCAAUUCAUAUUCAUGUACGCACAUUUCCAUUUCAGAGAGCACACUCCCGCGGGAUUACAGCGGGAUUACCAGUCCAGGCUAAAUCCCCUACAACGACAAUUACUCUAAUGAGCUUGGAUCUGAAUUACCAGUCCAGGCUAAAUUCAGACCCUAAUUCGGAUUACCCAUCCAGGCUAAAUCCAUUUUCCACAUAUUUUUCGGGAAGGCUAUAUCAGAAUAGGAUCACCCGUCCGGGCUAGAUCAUUUUUACCGUCAAUUCCUUUUUAGAGAUCCAUCAAAUUUUCCUUUCAUUCAACCUGGAUUUAUUUUCUCUUUUCAUCAAUAAUAUCAAUACUUCAUCAAUUAUCAUACAAUAAACAUCCAAAUCAUAUUCAUAUCAAUAACAAAUAUUUCAAGCAUUUAAGAAUAUAAUUCAAGUUACACGAACUUACCUCGAUACUUGUUCGUAAACAAAAAUCUACUAAUCCCGAACUUUUUCUUUUCCUCGAUCUAGCUUCAUAUUUGAAUUUUCUGGAUUUGGUGCAAAAAUUAUGAAAAAUCAGCUUGAAUAAACCCUUAGGACAUUUUUGGCUGAUGAGAGUGCAGAAAAAUAAAGAGAAUUUUAGAUAUUCCAAUUUGGUCCCAUUUUUAUCUUAGUAAAAUUUGUUAUUUUCCCCUUUUACCCUUAUUUCACCAAUUCUCCUGAUUUUUCUCAGCUUAUGCCGCCCAAAAUAUCUUCUUUUUGUCUUAUUUUCAAUUUAUGUCCCUCCUCAUUUAACAAUUGAGCUAUUUAAUUCUUCUAGUAUCUUUUACACCUUUUUCAAUUUAGUCCUUUUCACUUAAUUGACUACCCAAACAUUAAAAUUUUCUAACGAAAAUUUAAUACCAUAUUACUAACAUUUCAUAAAUAUUUAUAAAAAUAUUUCUAACUCGGUUUUACAAGAUCAAGGUCUCGAUACUUUUUUUUCAAUUUCUUCAAUAAUUUUUUUUUUCUAACUAACCACUAAAUCUGUAAAAUUUUUCUAUCGAUAUUUUCAUACGAUUUUCCUAUCAUAUCAAUAUUCAUGCAAAAAUAUUAAAAUAAAUUUCUCUUUAUAUCGGAUUUGUGGUUACGAAACCACUAUUCCGAUAACCUUGAAUUUGGGCCAUUACAGAUAGAGUCUGGAAGCUGUUCUUUCCAUCCAUACUUAAAGCGAAGGACACGAAUGCAAAGCACAUUGCUUUCAGAAACAAGGCUAAAACCAAUCUUCAUAAAAAAAGUCGUGUUUUGGUCAUUCAAGUGUCUAAAACCAAGGCCACCCUAAUCCUGUGGCUGACAAAUAGAGUCCCACCCCACUAAAGACAUCUUAGAAUGACCAUUUGUACGCCCCCAAAUAAAUUGUCUGACCAAUUUCUCAAUAUCUGAACAAACCCCUUUCGGAAUCAUCAAAGACUGCAUAAAAUAGUUAGGAAUUGAGAGAAGUAUAGAUUGAGCCAAUGUGAUUCUCCCUGCCAUAGAUAACUUCCUCGCAUCCCAAUUCUACGAUUUUCGCCUUACCUUAUCAACAACAAAACUCAAAGUAUUGUUGGUUACCCUUUUAUGAAGAAGAAGAUCACCUAAAUAAGUACCAAGAUUUUGAACUUCCUAAAUUUGAACAAUUGAGAAAUUUGAUUACGGAUAUCAGCUCCAGUAACCUUGGAAAAGAAGAUAUUUCUCUUCCUAACACUGAUUUUGUGCCCUGAAUUCUUGUAAAAUUGAUUGAGAAUGGAAUCCAGCAGCCGUGCUUGAUCCAACUGUGCUUUGCAAAAGAUCAUCAAGUCAUCAGGAAAAAACAAAUGUGAGACAGCAGGACCAGUACGGGACAACUGAAUUGGUUCCCAUUUAUCGAUAUUCAUUUCAUCCUAAAUAAUAUAUCCCAACCUUUCCAUGCAAAUAACAAAGAGAUAAUGCGAUAAAAGACAUCCCUAACGGAUUCCUCUAACUGGUUUAAACUUCUGAGUAGGCAUGUCAUUCCAAAGGAUUUGCAUAGAGGAGGAAGAUCUAACGAACAUAAUCAAUUUUUAUAAAAAGACAAGGAUCUCAGCCGCAUUCAAAGCAGUAGAAAUAAACUCUCAGCUAACUUUGUCAUAUGCUUUCUCUAAAUCCAACUUAAUAGCCAUCCAGUUCCUCCUCUUCCGCUUGCAACGCAUAGAAUGAAUGACUUCUUACGCAAGAAUAAUGUUAUCAGAUAUGUUUCGGCCCCCAUGAAACCAGCUUGUUCCUGAUAGAUCAGUUUAGAAAAAAUUUGCUUAAACCGAUUUGCAAUAACUUUCAUUACCAAUUUGUAAAGAACAAAACACAAGCUAGUGGGCCGAAAUUGGCUAAAAUCUUCGGGGAUCUCUUUUUUGGGAAUUAGAACAAUCAACCUGUUAUUCAACUCCUGCUCGAUCGACCUUCCAGCAAAUACACCUUUAACCCACUGUCCCACAUCAUCACCAAGGGUAUCCCACUGACUUUGGAAGAUAUGAACAUGAUAGCCAUCACUACCAGGCUCUUUCAGAAGCACUAUAUCGAAAAAAUCCCUUUUGAUUUCCUCAUUUGCGAUAUCAGCCUCCAAAAAAGUAAUCUCCGAAGCGGUAAGACUAGGAAAACCAAAAUUAGGAAUACUUCUCAAAGUAGGGUAAGCCUCACCAUAAAGCCUUUCAAAGAAUUUCACUGCCUUAGAUUGUAAGAUAUCUUGAUCAAAGCACCAUUCUCCAUUGUUGAUAUGUGAAGUUGUAAUAUGGUUGAAUUUCCUUCUCAUGAUCGUACACCUAUGAUAAAAUUUUGUGUUUCGAUCACCCAAGUGAAGCUAGUCACAGCGAGCCUUUUGUCUCCAAAAUAAAUCUUCAUUAUUAAGAAUGUUCUCCAAUUCAUCUCGAACUUCCAUCUCUUUCUGAGCUAAAUGGCUAGAAGGGGAGCGGUCAAGGGCCUUUUGAAUAUUUUUCAAUGAUCUCAUGAGAUGUCGCUUACGGGUACCCAAAAAGCCAUACACAUUCAUGUUCCAAUCUUUAACAAAAGAAGUAAAAUUGGUUAAUAAAUCAACCAUAUUACCUGCAAAAUUCCACUUCUCUUUGACAAAGGUGGGAAAAGUAUUAUGUUGCGUCCACCCUGCUAAAAAUCUGAAAGGCCUUCCUUUAGGCAUACCAAGAUCAGGUCUAGUAGAUAGUAAGAAAGGCCGAUGGACAGACUUAAUACGAGUGAGAUAUUGGACUAAACAUUGCUGGAACAUUGACAUCUAUUCGUCAUUAGCUAAAGCCUGAUCUAAUCUGACAAAGAUACGACCUCGUUGCCAAGUGAAAGAAGGUCCGCUAUACCCUAAGUUCUGUAAUUCACAAGAAUCAACAAAAUUACCAAAUAAUUCACAGUGUUUACCUACGAUAAAGGGACUUCUCUUAUCCGCGGGUGAAAGAAUGGCAUUGAAAUCUCCCACAAUUAGCCAAGGAAUAGAAUGAUUUGGGGAAACAGAUUUUAACCCCUCCCAAAGAAGCUUUCAUUUCAACUUGUCUGGACUACCAUACACAAAAGAUAUAAUAAGAGACUUAUUAAGAAUAAUAUUAUCAACACAAAGAAAAAUAAAUUGGGGAUGACUUCUAAUAAUUUGAAUUCGUACAGAAUCCUUCCAUCCCACCCAGAUACCACCUGAAAAACCAACAGCUUCAACCUGAUGAGAAUAAUUAAAGUCCAGUUGCUCAAUAAUAAAAUUAGUUUUUUUACCACUCACUCUUGGUUCAACCAAGCAAACUAUAUCUGGUCUAUAUUCCGCAGUAUAUUCCCGAAAGGCUCGAAUAAAGUUCUUGUUAGCACACCCUUGACAAUUCCAUGCAAAAAUUUUAAGAUUUGGUUCCAUAAAAAUAUUUUAAAUGACAGAUAAGAAAAAUAAAAAUAUAAUAUAAUAAACCCCAAAUAUCAAAAAUAAAACUCAUGAAAAGCAAAACAAACUAAAAGCUUCAGCCUUAUUGUCCAGGGAUAUUAACCCUCUCCUUCUGUUCAUCAUUGCUGGUAGAAAUCCCAGCAUCAAAAUUGACUUUAGAGAGAGCCAAAAUACUCUCCAUAAUUUGUUCUAUGGAUUAUUUCAGCGAAACACGAUGAGAUCCAGAGUUUUUGAAUCGAAUAUUGCUGCCAUGGAGAAUUUUAUUAUGCUUAUUAAUAGCACUUCUGCCUCUCAUUCUAUUCUUUUUUCCAGGGCCAGAAAACCCCUCCAGAAUCAAACCCAAAGAAUUAUUUGAAGAGGAACCCCUACUUUUGUUAAUUUCAUUUUUAUUUUCAGGGAAGACCACCACAGAGUGCUUGCCGGAGUCGAGGCUACCCACUUCCACCACCAUUUCUCCUUGGUCGCACCCAUUUAGUGUCAAGGUUGGACAAUAAGCUGAAGACUCACCUUCGAAUUAGAGGACCACCCCGUCCUUGGUGUCGCUUGCCACUUCUACCGUCGCUAGGUUUCGACUACAACUACCAGUGACAGCAGAUCCUUGCUGGGCCACUCCUUUCAAACCAUCCUAAUCCAUCAGAUCCCCGGCCUGGUUAGCUGAAAUGUCCCCAAGGCCCAAACCCUUAGUAAGAUUUUUAAAAAUUUUUAAGAUCUCAUUAGCACGAUUAGGGACCAAACUAGAACCCACAUUUGAUCCAGCAUGAUCUUUAAUGAUCGGGCCUAGACCAGUUUUAGGGCCCACCUCAUUAAACUUGCUCUUCUUAUUAUUUUUAUUUAAAUUUGUCUGGCCGUUAUAAUAGGACCCAAAUUCCUUUCUAUGCUGAUUUCCAUUAAUAAUUCCUUUCUCUUUAGAACUCCAAAAGUUGGACAAAUCUUCAUCAUAAAUUCCUUUGUUUAAAUCCCUAUUAUUUAGGCCAUUAAAACGAGAUCAUUCCUUUUCCCUCUCUGGAUUUUCAUCAGAUUUCUGAACAUUAUCUCUAGAUUUUCACCUUGAUUUCCUUUCAACGAUCAUCCACGGCCCGUAAUUUUCAUCCUUCUUCGCCGAUCCUUCCUCAACCAAAUUUUGAUUUUCUAGUGUCGUUUCAGGCGAGUCAUUGUUCUUCUCAACCGCAAGGCCAGGCUUUCUAAAGGUAUAAAGAUUUUCCACAUAACCAUACCUCCCACAGUGAAAGCAUAUAGUAGAUAAAGAUUCGUAUUCCACCUUUUGUGAUCGACCAUUGAUCAAUAUCUAGGAAACCAAAAGCUUUUCCAAAUUGACAUAAACCGCCAUUCUAGCAAAAUAUCCCCUCGCCCUACUGUCGAUGUUCAUGUCUAACUUGACCACUUUUCCAAUCAGUUCCCCAAUUUCUGUAAUGAUUUUACGGUUGUACAAAUAGCUAGGUAAAGCAGAAAAUCUGAUCCACGCCAUAACUACACUUGGGUAAACCUGUGUAGGGUUGAAAGCCAACGUCCAAGGCUAAACAGUCAAAUAUUGACUAAAUAUAGUCCAUGGUCCUUCCGAAAGCGCCUUUUCACAAUCCAGCUUGUUUUGAAAUUUGACUAAGAAAUAGCCAUUUUCAAUAUCCAUAAUGUGCAAAGGUGCUGAGGGUCUCCACAUGUUGUAAAUUUUAUUCUGCAAAAUCGAAAAUCCAAUGUUGCGAUCUAGGAGUUUUAAAAUCACAAUAUUAUCCAUACCCUAAAUGAUGAUUUGAUGAAUCUGGUCGGAGAAGGUUAUAGAAGGCACGCCAUUCACAAAUGUCUUCUGAAUGUCCUCUUCCAAAAUAUCAAUAGCUUCUUUUUCUUUCGAGCCUGUGAAGACAUCCUCUGCUGAAUGGCCGACGAGCUUAUCUCUCCAAGAGGUAGGUUGAACAGAGGACAGAUCAAUCAUCAUGCUGUUACUCGUCUCCUCCUCUUUAUCUCUGAAUCUAACCUUUUUAGGAAUCAACUCCUCCACAAUGGAUUUCCUAGAGCCAGAAUCCAUUCCAAAUAAAUUAAUUGUUGGUUUUGAUAAUACUAAGUAAUAGCGAUUCAUCACGAUUUAGCUAUUGAACUAUAUUUGUUUUCCCACUUUAGUACUUAAACUUUUUUUUUUCUAUUUUGGUACUUAAACUUUGCACCAUUACCCAUUUUGGUACCUAACAACCAACAACAUUAAAAUAGAGUUGGCCAAUCAAAAUGUGUCAUGUUACCAAUGACAUUGUAGGUUGACCGUUGAUGUGGCACAUUGAUUGGUUAUGUGGCAUGUUGAUCGGCAUUGAUUAACCGUUGAUCGGCAUUGGCUAUGUUGACCAAUUGUUGAUCGAUGUCAACCAACGUUCACCUGUUGUUGGCCUACGUUGAUCGAUCGUUGGCAAGUUAAAAAAUCAUUUAAAAUUUAUAAAAUUAUUUUAAAAAAACUUGUAAAAAUUAUAAAAAAAAAGUAAAAAUUAUUUACAUAAUUUUAAAUUUUAUUUAAAAAUAUUUAAAAAUGUUUUUCAAUAAAAUGCUUGGAGAUUUUUGGUAACUACCUUUUACAAUUAUUUUUAAAAUUAUUAUAAUUUUUUAAACAAUUUUGGUUAAUAUUUUUUACAUUUGUUUUUUUAAAAUUAUUAUAGUUUUACAAUUUUUAAAUAAUUUUUAUAAUUAUUUUUAAGAUUAUUAUGAUUUUUAAAAUUUUUAACAAUUCUUUUACAACUUUUUAAUAUAUUUAAAUAAUUUUUAUUUUUAAAAAAAUAAAUUUUAAAGUUUUCUAAAUAUUUUUACUAAUUUUUAUAUUUUUAAAGAAUUUUUACAUCUUUUUAAAUUUUCUAAAAAUUAUAUAUUUUUAUAUAUUCUAAAAUAAAAAUUUUGGAAGUUUUAAAAUAUUUUUUACUAAUUUUUAUAAUUUCUGAAAUUUUGUUAUUUUUAAAUAUUUUUAUCAGUUAACAACUUAUCAAUGUUGAUCAGCGUCAUACAACGCGGAUCAGCAAGUGAUCAACGUCCAAUUAACUAGAUCUACGUGCCACAUCAUUUAUCAAUCUGCCAUGUCAUCGAUGAUGUGAUGCGUUCUAAUUGGCCAACCCUUUUUUUAACUCCAUUAACUGUUAGGUACUAAAAUGGGACAAAAAAAAUAUUGAAGUAUCAAAGUAAAAAAUAGAUAUAAUUUAGGAGUUAAAUUAGUGAAUAAAGCCGUAAAAAUAAUAGCAUUGGAUGGAGUUAAGAUUAAGAAGAAGAAUAUAGGCCCAAGUGAAGAAAAAAAAGGAGAAUAGAGUUAACAAUAUGGGCUGCGACCUAAGACAUGUGGGGCACCAUUCGGCUCUGGGGACUCUUGUUUUGUGCCCUCGACGUUUCACUUUGUAAAAACUAAAAAUGGGAAAAAGAAAAUAGGAAUUAGGGUUUUCAUUCCAAAAUCAAAAACACAGAACAAAUUAAAAUUUUCUGCAAUUCUUGGUGUUGGACUCUUUUCUUUUUUCGGCAAUGAAGAAUCGGAAUCCCAAAGGAAAUGGAAACGGCGAAGGAAGCACAAUGGAUGGCCCAAAGCCGAUGACUAUGAAGAAGAAAAAGAACAUGAAUCGAUUGGGAGGAAGUGGAACUGGUCUUUCGCUUCAAGCAUUUGCCAAUGCCAAAUCCACUAGCAAUCACUACAAUCCCGCCUUAAUUAGUAUGUAUUUUGUAGUUUUUCUUUCAAUUUUUUAUUAUUGGGUUUUAUACUUUUAUCUCCUUGUUUAUUCGCAACUUUUGCUUUUCCCAGAGAAAAAAAAAGAGUUCUAUAAAAAUGCUAAGUAUGUUAACAAGUUUAAGAAGUCAUUAAAGCAACAAAAUCAGGGGAAAAACAGUCUUCCUUCAGCCCAAAGAACCAUAGAGGUUUGUCUUCAUUUAAUUCUAAAUUAUGAUUAACUUAAGUUUCUUUUUCUUCCUUUUCUGUUUAUAUUAUACGAGGCAUUUAGUAGCUCUAAAUUGGUUUAAGGCCUAAUAUGUUGAGAAUUUGAAAUCUGUUUUGUGGAGUUCAUUAGAUGAGUUCUAAUUUGGAGCUCUAUUCGAUGGCAUAUUGAUUCAUCUAGCCUAUACAUGAUCUAGUUCCAAAAUCUAAAACUGCUCCUUGAAUGAUUAGUUCAAAAGUUACUUCAUAUUCUAUGAAAUGCUCUGUUGGAAACAUAUAACCCGAAUCCAGAUCGAUAUCCUUGCAUGCUACUACACAUAGUCUUCAUAGAAAAGGACCGAGUUUGAUAUGCGAGGAUUGUUACAGUAUGAGAAUGAAGACAUAAACGGUAGUAGGGCAAACAACAUGAAUAAUAAGAAGAAGAAGAAUGGUUCACAGAGUUUGAGACAAGUGUACGAGAAGCAGUGGGAAGAGAAAGAAAAGGCAAGGAUGGAGAGAGAGGCAGCUAUGCAAGUAAAGAAGGAGCAGAGAGAGAAAGCUGAAGCUCAGAGGAAGGUAGAAAGGAAAGAGAUGUUCAAAAAGACACGACAUGGUCAGCCUGUAAUGAAAUACAGAAUCCAGCAUCUUUUGCAGUCCAUACAGGGUUCGUCUAGUGCUUCCAGUUAAUACAAAUUAGUGAUCUUCUUUAGUGCUUAUAGUAGCUGAGAGUAGAGAACAUGUGCAACAGUACAAUUGCCCAAAGCAGGGGAUUUACUCCAUGCUGCUGUAUACCAUAUUUCACAGCCAAUCCGAGUAUUUAGCUGCUCACUGCGAAUGUUGAUUUACUAUUUUACCUGUUUCAACUUUUAUCUGUAAUAUUUCAGGGUAAUUCUCUCUUAAUAUGUCACAAUUGUUUGUUUAUUCUCAAUUUUUUUUUCUUUGGUUCAUAAAUAAAAAAUUGUUUUUUAUUAAUUAUUAUUUUGUAAGACUAGUCCAAAGAUUGAAUUGGAAAUAGGUAUCAGCUAAAAACUUAAAUACAAACCGUAGACUUAUUUUUGAAUUAAGGUGAUUUAGCUGAACAAAUUAUUGUCACUGGAUGCACGAAACUAAGCAAAAUAAAUGGGAGUAAAUAAAUAAUGAAAUGGACAGCUUUGGGUGUGCAAAAAGGCAACUAAAAUGAUAAAUUCACGUACGUAGGGCAUAACAGAGAGGAGCAGAGGCAUUAUCAUUGUCACUGAUUAUUGAUGGUAGUAGUAAUGAUUUUUGCAGCUGAGGGGCAACUUUCAACAAUCAUAUGAUUCUCUAAUUACACCAACUUUGGUCGUUUCUGUUUCAAUGCUGCUCCUAUUUAUUAAAUAGAAAGACAGUAGUAAGAGUCAUCUACCUCUUUUCUUUUUUGCUUUUUUAUUCAAUUAAUAUUUGUGAGGAUCAUCACUUUUUACGGAACUCAACCCUCACCUGGUGGAGACAGUGUAGCGUCAAGAAUUAAAGAAUUUUUGACCCUGUGGUGUGAUAUCAUGAUGAGGAUGUUAAACAGUAAUAGAUAUAUAAAUGUAAAUAAAUGAGAGAGAUGAAAUCGGCUACCCCAAUAAUCAUACACAACACAACAUAGAAUAUUAAUGAUGAUUUUGAUGAUCCAUCUUGAAUACACGCACCCACCAUUUCACUCAUCGGGCGUCAUCCCUUGCUGAGCCAUUUCCGUUUGUUGCUUCUAAUGUCUUUUAACUUCAAACUAUAUUUAUUAUGAUUAGCUACGGUUGUUUCGAUUUCGUUUUAGCAUUAUUGUGUUACACGUACUCAACAAAUACAGUUAUAAAUGUUUGAUUUUCUAAAAAUUUUAUAUAUAAAAAAAAAAGUUUUUCUUCUAGAAAAUGAGCAUAAUAACAUAAUACACCUGAUAAAAGAGUUAAUUUUGAUGAUCCACGUUUGAAUUAAAAGCCGAAGCGGGGUGGAGUGGUGAUCAGAGAGCAGAUGAGAAAUGUAGAAAAGAAACAAAAAUUGUGGACGCUAGUCAAUGUCACCGAAUCUAUCACGUGUCACAACAGUCGAGGAGCCUCAUACACUUGGGAGAAACGAUAAUAAUAGGUGAAAGCUACCUUACCUCGACUGUUAGCCUGGGAGGGAGACCACCAUGCUAUUGCUACCCUUUUUCUUUUUAUUCUACUUUCAGAAUAAAUCAUGAGCGAGUAGCGUUGGAUUGCUCCAUUAUGAUCAAAUUUAGGAUGAGGUUAGAUUUAUAUAUCGUUUCAUAUAAUGAUUGCUCCGUACAACAUGUUUAAAAAGUCUUAAAUGCAAAAAACCUGUUUUCUGAUCAAAAGAUGGGAACUGUUGUGAUACCGCAAAAGCAGUCGUCUUUAAGCAGGGCUUUCCUUUCCUUUUUAAUUACUAAAUAUCCUCCUCAAUGCAUGCUUUGACAACCUGAUCGUAAGUAAGAGCAACCAAAGUGCAAAUACUAGGUACCAACCACGAGAGUCAAAUAAGCAUUGACACAAUAAUUAAAAAGGGAAAUACAAAUAUGCAUAAACAUCCAAAUGUCUUAAAACUAGUAAACAUGGUAGUAACAACUGGAAAACAAAUAAAUACACUUUAUUCACCAUUACGUUUGUAAUUGAUAGCUCAGCCAAGAGUAUAAGGAAUCGCAGUCGAGCUCAAGCCAGAACAAUGAGUAGGAGCAUGUACCUGAUACAUUCAUUCUUGAGAUCAAAUAAGCUCUUUCACACAGUGCCUAGUUCACAGGUGAUGUCUCAAGCAAAGUUUCAAUGCAGAAUCUUCACUGCUUCAUCCAUUGACCACACAAAAGGAGGCAUGUCAAAUCUCGGCCCAGCGACAGACCUAUAUAUGUACAGCUUAUCAACUGGGUAGCUUUCAGGUCUUGAAUCUGGAGGUUCUGUCUCGUCUAUAACUUCAACAUUCAACUUGGGCAUCUUUUGACCUAGCAGCUUACAUGCUCCGAAACUCACGGCGCAAGAAGACAUCCAAAGGGAUCGCAUUGUCUCCAGCUUUGCAGCAUUGGCCAAAAGAGCCUUGUCUCCGAAAGGGCAGUCCCUAAUCUCUAGUUUACGGAGGCUUUCACAGCCAGAAAGCACGUGAUGGAGUCCUAAAUCACUAUCUCCUGCAAAAGCCACGGACAGCAUCUCUAGCUUUUUCCCAUAUGUCCCAAUAUAUUCAAACACAUGAUCUGUGAGGAGACCAGACAAGGAAAGCCGCCUGAGAUCCUUGCAGUGCUCAACAAUGGCUCCAAAACCAGCAUCGAGUGGGUCAAGGGUCAGGUAAUCAGGUGUUUUAGGCUCAAUUAUACAUAGACGAAAACGGGUCAAGUUCGGACAAUUCUGGGCAAUGGUGACUAACGCUGCAUUAGACAUCCGUCGGCAGAAAUACAGAACUGACUGUAGCUUAGGACAACCCAAAGAAACAGCAACAAGGCCCUGUUCUGUCAAGGAUACAUUUGGCUCUACACCAAAUGGGUCAGAUGGGAACACACGUAACUCCUGUAGGUCCUUACAACUAGAAGCAAGUUCUUCAAGGCCACUAUCUUCAACAUAAUCAAGUACCUGGAUUAAAAACUUCAGCAAUCAGAAAUUCAGACCAUAAGUACAGAGAAACAAGAUUCAAUUCAGUUAUCAGAAUAUAUUAUGUGAACAGCUUAUUUUAAAUGCAAUCUUCAAACCAGUUAAUGUUCACAACAUGUUGAGGAUUGGAAUUCUAUCCCAGCAGUGCUUAAUCCUUUCACUAUAGUUAGCUAGCAAGUCAAAUGGAAAGGAGAAAAACAAACAAGAAAUUAAUUAAUAAUUAAACCAAUGGUACCUAAUAAUAAGCUUACCAAAAGGCGCUGCAACCUUGGACAGUGGCUUACAAGCUUGAUGAGAUCAGGACUUUGUAUGGUAGCAUAGCUCAAGUUCAGCGAUGUUAAUCUAGGGCAGAUAGAGUAAAGAGCUGGAAGAUAAGCUGGGACCACAUCCCAAAACCCUGACAAGCUCUUUAGCUCCUUGCAACUAGAAAAAGCUCCAGCCAAGUUUGAGAAGACAUCAGGCUGUAGCUCAGCUGCAUAGUUACCGGUGCCAAAAUCAACCAACUGUGGAGCACGGCGUAAAAUGUUGGCAAUCUUAUCAAGGGUCACUGCACGGUUGAGCUGAAGAGACCUCAGGUUAGGACAUCUAUCAACCAGGCGCUCCAAGGCAGAGAAACUAACUUCAUCAGAUCCUAAGCAAGAAAUGUUAAGGGAGACUAAGGAUGUGCAUGUCUCAGGAAAUUGAGCAAGCCAAUGCCCACUCAAAUCAUCCACUUCACUUUCCCUCAAGUCCAGCUCUCUCAGAUUCCUGCAUUAGUAAAUAGACUGGUUCAUAAAAACAGCAUACAAGACACAGAAGAAAGUGAAAAAAAAAAACCCACCUAAAUGUGAACAUAGGAAAUCAAGAAGCUCACUACUGUCAUUAUCAUUGAAAACGACUAGACUACCAGGCUAUAUUUACUUUCUUUUUUACAACUGAACUUGCAAGAAUCCCAAGAUGGAAUUUACAGCAAACAAACAAAAAAACCCAGGAAAAAGGAAAGAAAAAAUAAUGACCCAGCUUGGAAAAUUAUUCGCCUCAAACAUAAAUCAACAAAAGUUGACAAAGAAAACAUCAUUAAUAACAAUAAAUCAACGGAAAAGGAAUCUAGUUAAAGUGCAAAAAGAAGUCCACAGUCCACAGGAAUUAAACAUCCAAAAUCUGGAAAGAACCCCAAAACGAAUCUGCUUGAUGAAAACCAGCAAGGUAUCCUAGAAUGAAAGAGAACAAAGUAAUUCUCGCUGGUUUUUCCACCUUAGAUGUUCUUUUAAAAAAAUAAGUAGCGCAGCUCAGAUCUGAGUAAAGUAAAAGCCUAAAAAUAGAAGGAAGACAACUAAAACAAGAAACCAAGCUUCGAAUCUACGAGUGAAGGAUUCAAAAGCUGUUCUCCCCAAUCAAGUUACAAUCCUACGUAACAUUUAACGCAAACAAAUAUUCAUCUUUUUAGGAACAUCCCAAAAUAGAACUAUAACUACUCCAUUGUGAAAAAUCUAGUUAAAAGAAAAGCAAAUAGCAGCAAAGCUACUUCAACACCAGCAAAGACACAAAUUUUUAACUUUUUUUUCUCACUACAAAACCAAAUAAAAGGAGAAAUAAGAACACAAAAAAGAGAAAUGAAUCUAGUUCAUAAAACUAACUUGCAACUAGCAGCAAUGGCAGCAAGUCCAUCAGUUGAAAACCCUUCACAAGAAAAAAGCACCAGCACUUUGAAAUUCUUAAACGACUUAGCGAUAAGCUCUAAGCUUUCAUCCGUAACUACCAUCCGCUUAAGUCGAAUCUCCCCAAGCCAAGGAUAGGCGCCAGCCAUUUCCGCGAUCCACUGAAGAACGUAACCGCCCCAACCGUCUGGCACCAGAUUGAAGUCAGCAAAGUGUGGUUUCCCUUUCAGCUCAAUGGAUCUAACUUCCGGGAAUCGCCUGAUAACCAUCCUAGGGCUAACAGCGUAACAGUUCCCGAUAAACACCUUCCUCCGGCACCAACGUUCGAUUUCGUACCACGAUUUACACACCAGUGACACCGCGUUUCGGUCUUUAUCUGAUUGUAUGAACGAGAAGACGUGCUUCAGCACCUCAUCUGGGAACGAAUACGCCAUUUCCUUCUGCAUUAAUUAAAAAAAAUGCACGCAGGAACAAAGAUGAAACCUGUUGAUUGGAAAGACUUUAAACUUGUUUCUCUUAAUGAUUUUAGGUUUCGACGAUAUUUUAACUCUGUCAAGCUCUAGAGUUGGCUUUCAGAUCUGAAACACCAUUAACGAAGCAUACAAGGAGCUAAAGAUGGAGAAAGUGAAGUGUAAAGACAGAUACAUGAUAGGAUAAGGAGUUUUCUUUAUUUUGUGUGUGUGUGUGUGUGUGUGAGUGUGUGUUGAGAAGAAGGGUUAGAUUCUAACCAUGAUUAAAGAAGUCGAGCUAGGAGGGGUUCCAAUCUUCUUUACGUGGGGAUACUGAUGGGCGUAUAGGAUGAUUACACGUGUCAAAUGAGAGAUAUGGACCGUAGGAUGGGUUGGGGAGGGACGAUCUUAUCCGUCGGCGACGAAACUUAGCCGCAGAAAAACGGGUAGGGAGAGAGAAGAGUGAGGAACUAUUGGGGAGUGGGGGAUAGAUAUAGUGUGAUGAUGUGCAGGGAAUCUCAUGAUUCGCAUAGCAGGGCUGGAUGAUCAGAGGGAUGGUAUAUCGCGGGGACCUCUAGAAAUGGGUACGAAAUUAAAAAUAAAAAAAUAAAAAGGAGGAGGAGGAGGAGGAGGAAGGAUCUAAUGUGAAACUGGUUAACAUAGCCGUCAUUCAAAAAUAUCGGGCUCACCUGGGAUGGCCUUGAUUCAUGAUUUUAAUUAUAUUUUUAAAAUUAAUAAAAAGGGGAAUCUUGUCUAAAAUUUAAAUUAAAAUCCAACUGCAUAAGGAUAGUGUAUAGGAGGAAAUAAAAUAGAAUAUUAAAAUGAUAUUAUAAACUAUAUUUCUGCAAACACGGAAAUUUAGACGGUAAAUUGCUUAAUAUAAUAGAAUUCAAUAAGAAAGAUGAGUUGUGAGGGUGAUUAAAUGAGAUACAAGAAAUAAUUGAUUAUGGUUCUCCGGGAAUCUCUCCUGGACUUGGCGGUAUGCUUGUUACUAGUAUGCCUUUCAAUUUUACUUACCCUUCAUUUAGGGUUGAAAGAAUUUGGAUAUCCAUCUUCAAAACCAAGGAUGGAAAGUCACAAGACCUAGGGACCAAAUCUCAAGAACUUGGAACAAUUCCUUUCAUAUGUGAGUUUUCAGCCUCAACUUUUUACACACAUCUCAACCCCUCAAGUCGAACACUGAAAGAAAAGUCAUAAUAGAAAUUCAAAAAAAAAAAUUGGAAACCACCAAAAAUUGGGUUUUUUUAAUAACAAAUCCAAAAAAUAAAAAAAAAAUUAUGAAAAUGACUCUAGUACUAAAUUAUUUAGAAAAUUAAUCUAGUUUCUACAGUAUCAAAGGGUGCCUCCACUUCCGCACCACCUUAAAAAAGUGACUCAAUCAUUACUUUAUAAUUACAGAACUAAUAGGAUGAAAAAAGAAUCAUUUUUCAGUGCUGGCGGAACCCGUAUAAAUUUUUCAUAUUUUCUCGUGUAUUUUCAGAUUUAAUCGAAAAAAAUAAAAUAUAUUUUUUAUUAUUUCUUGUGCCGCCUCCCCUAAUGGAGGCACCAAAUUGGAUUAAAAAAAAUUCUGUUACCGCCUUCUUCCAUGUAGUGACCAAUAUCUGUAAAAAAAAGUAAAAAAAAUUCUCUCUAAUGACUACUUGAGAUAUGGUGGCACAAAUAUUAUUUUUGGAAUUUUUUGGUGCCGCCACUUCACAUGAUGUUUCCAAAAUAGUUUAAUUUUUUUUCCAUGGUCCCUACUAUAGAAUGAUGACAACAACCUUCACCCCUGACGGCAAAGAAGGCCACCUCAACGGUACACCCCACGACACACCCCGGGUACAACUCUAGGCUUGAAUGUAUUUUGAGUGUGGAAAUGUUUUUGAUGAAAUAUUGUAUGUAAUUUGUGUUAAUGCUUAAAUAGAAUGAUAUUAAUUUCCAUAAAUUAUGUAUUAAAUAGAUGGUCAUCUAUAAUUAAUUAAUUCCAUAGAUAUCAUAAAUUGAACAAGAUUUUAAUUUUGCAAUGACCCCAAAAAAAAGAAAGAAAAAAACUCUUAAAAAAUGUGCAAGAAGUGUUGUAACACCCCUAACCUGUAUCCGUCACCAAAAUAAGGUUACGAGAAUGCUCAGCAAGUUAACAAAAAUAAACAGGUGAAAUCAUGAUCAUUACAAUAUAAUUUCUCAAAUAUCAUAAAGUAAUUGAAUUACAAUAAUAACUUACAUUUACGAGGCUUAAAUCGAGCUUAAGGGACUAUAGAAAUAAUCUUAAAACCCUUAAGGGAAAAUUUGAAAAAAGCAAGGAAAUUUUAGGAAAAUAUGAAUUUUUUCAAAAAUAUGGGACACGCGGCCAUGUGCCCAGGCCGUGUGAGUAUUCGAAGUUGGGACACACAGCUGUGUCCCAACCCGUGUCUUAAACCGUGUAACUCAUUGACUUCAAUCACAUGGCCGUGUCGUAGGCUGUGUGUCACGCCGUGUAACUCUCUGACUUGAUACACACGACCGUGUUGCAGACUGUGUGACUCACAGACUUGAUACACACAGCCGUGUCGCAGACCAUGUAUGGCACACGGCCGUGUCGCAAACCGUGUAUGGCACACGGUCGUGUGGCAGCCCGUCUCCCAGGCUGUGUGCACCUAAAUGAACCCUAAACAUCAAGUUUACCAUUUCAAGAUUUCUUGGACACUAAACAAUCAGUUUACCAGCCAUUAGACCUAUUCAAAAUGCCAUUAAUCGUGAUCAAAUCAUACUAAUUGAUGGUUACUAAACUAACUAUAAUUACGACAAAGGCAAGUGCACCUAUUAAACAAUAGUAUAACUAUGGUGAGAAGGGAAUAUCAUAUCCACGAUGACUAAAAGUACUAGUAAUUACUGUUUUUCUAUUAUUUAGCCGAUAAAUUGAAUGAAUUGUUUUAAUUUAAAUUUACUAAUCUAAAUUAACUAAGAACACAACAGAGAGUGAAUUGGGAAAAAUAAACAAAGAUAACAAAUGAGAUAGACAAUACCCAAGAAAGAAUUCACCUAGACUUCACUUAUUAAUCUGAAUUUGAAUUAAACGAUUUAUUCACUUACGCCUUGAUCUAUAGAAAUCCCUAAAUUAUGUUAAUAUCUCUUUCGAGAGUAAGAACAACUGACUCUAGGUUGAUUAAUUGAAAUCUCUUUCUAAUUAAAACUCAUAUUGUCGCAUUAACUCGAUCUAUGGAUUCCCUUAUUAGAUUUAACUCAAAUCCGGUAGAUUUAUGUCGUUCUAUUUCUAGGAUUGCAUACAACUCCACUCAAUUAUGCUAGAUCUACUAUUAAACAGAGACUUUUGCUCCACUAAAAUAAGCAUAUUAAACUUGAAUCAAUAUCUUAGAAAUAUUAAAACAAGAAAUAAGCAUACAUAAUUGAGAACAAUAAUCAAGUAUUUAUUACAUAAUUCAAAAAUAAAAUAAUAAUAUUCAUCAUAGGUUUCAUCUUCCCUAGGUAUCUACGGAAUUUAGUUCAUAAUUUAGAAUAAAAUCAUCUCAAAGUUAGGAUAACAGCAAGAUAUAAAGAAACCCAAUAAAACUUCUAAGGAAAUUGAAUGGAGAUCUUUAAUCUUGAAGGAGAUCCGCUUCUGAGUUGAAUUCAGUGGCUUUCGUUGAGUCUUUUCUUCGUUCUUCUCUGUGUGCCCCUUUAGGUCCUCUUCUAAUAUGUAUUUAUAAACUUUAAAAUGCUCACCCUAAAAAUUGGGUUUUUUCGCGUAAAAGAGAAGCAGGGUGCGAAACUGACACUGUAACACUCCUAACCCGUAUCCGUCGCCGGAAAGGAGUUACGAGGCAUUACAGAACAUAACACGGUUCAAUACAUACAUUUAUCGACAAUUAUCACAUUAUAAUUAAUUUCAUAAAAUACUCUAAUAACAUACUUAAAACGAGCAUACUGCUAUUAAACACUCUAAAACUACAGCUAAAUAAACAUAAUUAAUUUAACACAUCACAAGGCAUUCAGUCAUACAUCUGCAACAUUUAAACAUCAAUGACCAUGACACAUAUAAUACUAUUUCAACAUCACAUUUCGAUACCAUUUAUCUUAUUCAAAUAAGCAACCAAAACUAAUUUUAUAUAUGCUCAAUUCGUAACAUAAUCAUGCAACCAUUUUUAAAUACAUUUAGCCUAAACUGAACAUACCAAAUUCGCAUGUUAAUCUCACCAAAUUAGCAACUACCAAUACUAAACACAAAUGCCAAAUCAAAUCAUACCUAAACCUCAACUAUAUCUUAUACUAAUUAUACCAAUUUCAUUUUUCACAAUAUCAACCAUAUAAACAACAAGACAUCUCUAAUAAUUUGGCCAAAUGCAUACAUCAUCAUAAAACAUAUAUAUAUUCAUACCAUAUACCAAAAUCUCAUACUUAUCAAAAUGAGCCAAAUAAAUUUUCAUCAUUCACAAACCAAUUCACAAGGCAAUUUAUACAUCAAAACAUAGGUUAAUAAUAAUUCACACCAAAUAGUCAAAUUCACAUGGCAUAGCAUAGUCAUCACAUAGCAAAUAUGAACACAUACUAACAUUAACAUCUAAUCGAAUAAUUAACCACAUGACUAUACCAAAUUUGCCGAAUCUCAAGAUAGAUUAUAAACAUCACCUACCAUUUGUCAAUUCACAAAAUAAGCUCAUUUACAUAGCCAAAUUAACUUCCAACAACUACACCAUUUACAAACCAACUUAUAUGGCUAAAACCACAACCCAAAAACAUACCACGUGAUUACAAGCCUAUACAUACCAUAUACUAUAAUUACAAGCUUCAAAAAUACCAAAAUGAUGAUCGAUAGUGUGACAACGAUUCUUGAUGAUCCCCGAGCUCGAGCUAGCUUCGAUUAUCUAAAAAAAAGGGAAAGAACACACACAAAGUAAGCUUUCAAAAACUUAGUAAGUCAUAAGCAAAUAAAUUGUCAUAAAAACAUACAUAGUCUAGUUCAAUUAAGCCAAAUAUAACUAGUCUCAAACACAUAUAGAAACACUUUUCUAGUGUAUUUCACUUUGUCUCAUUAAACAAUAUCACUUACCUUUUUCUUUCAAAGUUCAUGUCAAUUUCACACAUACCUGAAUCGUUUAUCUCUUAUACUCAUUCCAUAUCGUAUCGACUUUGCCCGUUGAACCAUUCGAAAUCGUUAAGGAUACUCGGAAACACAUAUAUCACAUACAAUGCCAUAUCCCAGGUAUGGUCUUACAUGUUAUCACAUAUCGAUGCCACUGUCCCAGACAGGGCCUUAUAUGAAAUCAUAUACGAUACUAAUGCCCCAAACAUGGUCUUAAAUGUAAUCUCAUAUCGAUGCCAAUGUCCCAGACAUGAUUUUACACGAAAUCACACAUCGGGAGUCCUAAUGUCAUGACAUUUGUAUCCUAUACUAUUCCUAAGGUUUGUACGGGACUUUUGGACGUCGUAACACUGUUAAUUCUGGCUCGUUUUCAUCUUUUCAACAUUUAAUACAAUUCAAUGAUAAUCAAACAUAAUUAACACAAUUUAAACGCAUUUAUUUUCAUAUGAACUUACCUCGGAUAAGGAACGAACGGAUCGGAUCGACUACUUAUCAACUUUCAAUUUCCCCCGAUCUAAAUCUGAUUUCUUUCUUUCUUGAUCUAUAUGUAUUCAAAAUUAACUCAUUUAAUCAUAUAAUCAUUCAAUUCAGUCCAAAAACACAUAUUUAAGCCAAUGUGCACUUUGGCCCUAAACUUUCACAUUUCUUACAAUUUAGUCUCUAUUUCACAAAUACACAAAAUUCAUAAAAUUCAACAAAACCCAUGCUUGGUCGAAUUACCAUAGUGCCCCUAGCAUCCCAUAUUUCACAUUUAUUUACACUUUUAACCCCACAUUAUCAUAUUUUCUCAAUUUAAUCCCUAAUUUGCAUUUUCAUCAAACAUCACUUUAUAAAAUAUGAAAAUCUAACAUCAAGUAUUCAUAUUUCACCAUUAAACAUCAAAGAACACAUAAGCUCAUCAAUGGAAACUAUCAAAAUCUUUAACAAUUUUGAAAUCAAAGACACGAACUAGCUAGAUUAAGCUACAACGACUCCAAAAACAUAGAAAUCAUUAAAAACGAAGCACAAAUCACUUACCAGUUAAGCAUUCAAAGUUGCCGAACCCUAGCUUCCAAAAAUAGUUUUUUUUCUUUAAUAUUUAGUUGAAAAAGAAUAAAAGAAGAUGACAAUUUGUUUGGUUUUAUUUAUUAUAACUUUAAUUACUUAAUUACCUAAUUAACCUUUAAAAUUAAACCAAAUUUCAAAAUUGCCAAGCCAAGAUCUUCCACUAACUCAUUUAUGGAAGAAUUACCACAUAAGGACUUCCACUUUAAAACCCUAUAGCUAUUUAAUACCUUUAGCGAUUAGAACUCAACUUUUAUGCUUUACGUAAUUUAGUCUUUUUUACUGAAUUAAGCAUCCAAACAGUAAAUUUUUUUUAAGAAACUUUCACCUAAUAAUUCUAUCAUGCUGUAAAAUUUAAUAUAAUAAUAAAAUUAAUAUUUUAACUUUGGAUUUGUGGUCCCAAAACCACUAUUCUGAUUUGACCCAAAAACGGGUUGUUACAACUCUCUCCCCUUAGGGAUUUUCAUCCGCGAAAAUUUUACCAGUGAAUAGGUUUGGGUUUUGCUCUCUCAUAGCAUCCUCAGUUUCCCAAGUAGCUUCUUCAACCCCGUGCCGAUACCAUAAGAUUUACACUAAAGAAAUUUUCUUAUUUCUCAGUUAUUUGACCUCACGAGCUAAUAUUCUGAUCGGUUCUUCGUUAUACGUCAUAUCAGGCUGUAAUUCAAUCUCAGAAUGAGAAAUCACAUGUGAGGGAUCAGAUCAGUAUCGUCGAAGCAUCGACACAUGAAAAAUGUUGUGAAUUUUCUCUAACUCAUUAGAUAGAGCUAACCGACAUACCACUGGACCUACACUCUCGAUGAUCUCAUACGGUUCGAUGAAUCUCAGACUCAACUUGCCUUUACGAUUGAAUCUAAGUAUUUUCUUCCAUGGAGAGACUUUCAACACCUUAUCCCCGAUCUGAAACUGAAUAUCUUUUCGUUUCAAAUCUGCGUACGAUUUUUGACGAUCUGACGCUACUUUUAGACUAUCACGAAUCACUUUCACUUUCUGUUCAGUCUCUUUGAUCAAAUCAACCCCGUGAAUCUUAUUCUCACUAAGUUUAGUCCAGUACAAAGGUUUUUGGCAUUCACGACCGUAUAAAGCUUCGUACGGUGCCAUUUUUAUACUCGAUUGAUAGUUGCUAUUAUACGCAAAUUCAAUCAAUGGUAGGUAUCGCUCCCAUGUACUUUCAAACUCAAGAAUGCAACAUUUCAACAUAUCCUCGAGUAUCUAUAUAACUCGCUCAGAUUGAUCAUUUGUAUGUGGAUGAAAAGUAGUACUAAAGUGCAGCUUUGUACCCAAUGCAUCUUGCAAUUUCUUCCAAAACCGUGAUGUGAACCUCAAAUCUCUAUCCGAAACAAUAAAAAUAGGUACUCCAUGCAAUCUCACAACCUCAGAAAUAUAUAACUCAACUAACUUAUCAAGCGAAUAGUCCGUUCGUACUGGAAUGAAAUGAGUUGAUUUCGUCAAUCUGUCAACUAUAACCCAUAUCACAUCUUUCUUUCUUGGCGAUAGGGGAAAUCCCGACACAAAAUCUAUAGUCACUUUAUCUCAUUUCCACUCGGGAAUCAUAAUCGACUGCAAUAAACCAGAUGGUACCUGAUGUUCAACUUUAACUUGCUGACAAAUCAAACAUUUAGAAACGAAUUCUGAGAUGUCACAUUUUAUACUAGACCACCAGUAAAACUGUUUCAGAUUGUUAUACAUUUUCGUGCUUCCCGGAUGACCAGACAAACGAUUACUAUGAGCUUCAUUUAGUAUCAUCUGAAUCAACUCUGAAUUUCUCGGUACACAUAUUCAGCCUCUAAAUAUUAAACAAUCAUUAGCAUCAACUCGAAACUCAAAAUCAGAAUUCAAAUCACAUUGAGCCCGUUUUGCUAACAAUUUAUUAUCAACUUUCUGAGCUUCGCAAAUCUACUACAAAAAUAACGAUCUUGCUUUCAACUCAGUUAUAAUCGAUCCAUCAUCAGAUAGAGCCAACUGAGUAUUCAUCGCAUGUAGAGCAAACAGAGAUUUCUGACUUAAAGCAUCAACAACCACAUUGGCCUUUCCCGGAUGGUAGUCAAUCACUAGUUCAUAAUCUUUUAACAAUUCUAACCAUCUUUGUUGUCGCAAAUUCAAAUCUCUCUGAGUCAUUAGAUAUUUCAAACUCUUGUGAUCAGAAUACACAUGGCAUUUCUCACCGAACAAAUAAUGGCGUUAAAUCUUCAAUGCAAACACAAUGGCUGCUAACUCUAAAUCAUGUGUCAAAUAAUUCUUUUCAUGCGGUUUCAACUGUCUCAAGGCAUAAGCUAUGACUUUGCCUUCCUGCAUCAAAACACAUCCCAAACCAUUCAACGAUGCAUCACUAUAGAUUACGAAUUAUUUACCCGAUUCUGGUUGUACUAACACUAGAGCUUCAGUCAAAAGAGCUUUCAACUGAUCAAAACUUUUCUGGCACUUAUCCGACCACUCGAACUUAACAUCCUUCUGAAGUAGUCUCGUCAACGGAGUUGCAAUCAUUGAGAAACCUUUUACAAAUCGUCUGUAAUAACCGGUGACUCCCGGAAAGCUUCAGACUUCGAAUACAUUUUUCGGAGGCUUCCAAUCUAAUAUUGCUGAAAUCUUACUCGGAUCGACUCGAAUACCUGAUACUGACACAAUAUGCCCUAAAAAACCAAAAUUUUUUUAACCAGAACUCACAUUUACUAAACUUUGCAAAUAGUUGUUUAUCUCGCAAAGUCUGUAGCACUAUUCCCAGAUGUUCAGCAUACUUAGAUUCAUCACAAGAAUAGAUCAAGAUGUCAUCUAUAAACACAACAACAAAUCUAUCCAAAUACGGUCUGAAGAUCCGAUUCAUUAGGUCCAUAAAAAUAGUAGGUGCAUUCGUUAGUCCAAAAGGCAUAACUAGAAACUCAUAAUGCAUGUAUUUCAUUCGGAAAGCAGUUUUCGGCACAUCAGAGUCUUCAACUCACAACUGAUAGUAAACUGAUCUCAAAUCUAUCUUUGAAAACACUGUAGCCCCUUUUAGUUGAUCAAACAAAUCAUCUCUUCGUGGCAGAGGAUAUUUAUUCUUGAUGGUCAUUUUAUUGAACUGUCGAUAAUCAAUGCACAUUCUCAUAGUUCUAUCUUUCUUUUUCACAAACAAAACCGGUGCACCCCAGGGAGAAUAACUCGGUCGUGUGAAACAUUUAUUUGUCAAUUCUUACAACUAAGCUUUCAACUCUUUUAAUACAGUCGUUGCCAUUCUGUACGGAGCUAUCGAUAUCGGUGUUGCUCUCGGCAUUAACUCAAUACCAAAUUCAACUUCUCUGAUCGGUGGCAAACCAAGUAACUCUUUAGGAAACACAUCCGGGUAUUUACAUACAACUGGUACUAAUUCAAUCUUCUUUUCGGUCACUUUAGAGUCGAGUACAUAGGCAAAGUAAGCUUCACAACCCUUUCUCACAUAUUUUCGAGCUAACAUCGAAGAAAUCAUUACUGGUAAACCAUUCAAAUCAUCUGAUUCAAUCUGGAUAAUCUUAUUAUUCUGACAUUUCAAAUCAAUCGUCUUCUGUUUGCAGUUUACAAUAGCAUCGUGCAGUGUUAACCAAUCCAUACCCGAAAUUAUAUCGAAUUCGUCGAAUGGGAACAACAUCAGAUCGGCAGAAAAAUAGAAAUCUCGAGUAAUCAACGGAAAUUUCUUGCAUACUUUAUCAACCAAAACACACUUGCCUAAAGGGUUCGAUACUCUAAUCAUAAAUUUUAACUACGAACGCAACAAAUAAUGAAUUGGGAAAAAUAACUAAAGACAACCAAUGAGAAAGACAAUACCCAGGAAAGAAUCCACCUAAACUUUACCUAUUAUUUUGAAUCUGAAUUAAACGAUUUAUUCACUUGUGUCUUGAUCCGUAAAAAUCCUUAAAUUAUUUUAAUAUCUCUUUCGAGAGUAAGAACAACUGACUCUAGGUUGAUUAAUUGAAAUCUCUUUCUAAUUAAAACCUCUAUCGUCGCAUUCACUCAAUCUAUGGAUUCCUCUAUUAGAUUUGACUCUAAUCCGGUAGAUUUAUGUCAUUCUAUUUCUAGGAUUGCAUACAACUCCACUCAAAUAAGAACAUUAAACAUGAAUUAAUAUCCCUAAAAUAUUAAAACGCGAAAUAAGCAUACAUAAUUGAGAACAAGAAUUAAGUAUUUAUCAUGUAAUUUAGAAAUCAAAUAAUAAGAUUCAUUAUAGGUUUUAUCUUCCCUAGGUAUCCAGGGAAUUUAGUUCAUAAUCUGAAAAGAAAACAUCUCGAAGUCGGAAAAACUACAAGACAUAAAGAAAUUCAAAUAAACUUCGAAAGAAGUUAAAAGGAGAUAUUCAAUCUUGAAGGAGAUCCGCUUCUGAGUUGAAUUCGGUGGCUUUCGUCGAGUCUUUUCAUCGUUCUUCUCUAUGUGCCCCCUUAGGUCCUAUUCUAAUAUGUAUUUAUAAACUUUACAAUGAUCGAAAACCCUAAAAAUUAGGUUUUUCGCGUAAAAGAGAAGCAGGGUGUGAAACCGACACGGGCUGGCACAGGGGCUUGUGGCCAACCCGUGUUGCUCACACGGGCGUGUGGCCAGCCCGUGUGAAAAUGCUCUGGCCUUGUGGAUGUUGAAAACAACUCUUUUUACUCGAUUUUGGCUUGUUUUUUUUGCUCAUUUUGCUCCAUUAUGCUCACCUAAGUAUAGAAACAUGAAUUUAAAGGAUUGGGAGCAUCAAAUUCACUAAUUUACAUUAUAAAUCAUCCAAAAACACAUCAAGAAUGGGAUUAAAAACAUGUUACUUUUAUGGCUUAUUAUGACCCAACAAAACAGAAAUAUGAAUUGUUGCUCUUAUUUACAUUUUAGGUUUCUACUUUUAUUUUGCAUUUUUUUCUUAAGAUAGUUAUGCCAAGCUUUACACAAUCAACUGCAACUUCUUCCCAAGAUUAUCGAGGAAAUAAAAGGAAAUGGGUUCCAGAAGAAGAUGUUACGUUGGUUGCCUGUAUGGUCGACUUGCACAAUGUUGGAACUUUUAAUACAGAUACGGAAUUCAAGACCGAUUAUUUAAAUGAGUUAGAAAUAAUGUUAGAAAAUUUUUUACCUCGUGCUAUGCUGAAGGCGAGACAUAUUCUUGAAUCAAGGAUUAAGACAUGGAAAAAUGAUUGGGCAAUCGUUUACGACAUACUCAAAGAAAAAGACAAUAGUGGCUUUGGUUGGAACGAGCAUAGGCAGAUGGUUGUUACUGAAGAUGCUGUGUGGAACUCAUACAUAAGUGUAAGAAUUAUUUAUUGUCUUUAUUAUCUUAUUUUGACCAAGCUUGUAUCUAAUGUGGAUUUUUUUUUCUCUAGAGUCAUAAAGAAUCCGAUCAAUUCAGAUAUAACAGUUUUCCUUAUUAUGACCAACUUACUUCCAUAUAUGCAAAAGAUCGAGCCAUUAGGAAAUAUGCUUAAAAAUCCGUUGAUAUUGCUGAAGAAAUAGAUGUUGAGGAUGUAACUACUACUAGGGAUGAGCGUUCGAUCGAAUCGAAUAAAAUUUUUUUGAGUUAAUCUAGUUGACGAAUCUUAUUUUAUCAUCCUAACUCGAUUUGAAAUUUUCUCGAACCGAGUCGAGUGAAAUGGAAUUCAAAUCGAAUAUAUUUUUUCGAGUUAAAUUUAAAAAAAUGAUUUUGGGUCCUUGUAACACUGUCACCCACUGUAAUCAAAUUUGUUAUUAACUUUCAUCUCCUCAUAAUUUAUUUAUUAAUAUUUUAUAUACAGGUUAGCUUUUUUACUUGCUUAGUUGCUUCAAUUAUCUUCUGAUUUUUGUCACCAUGUUUUGAAAUUAAAAAAUAUAUUAAAUAUAAAAAUGUGAUUUUUUAAUAAAAAUUAUCUUAAAGAUAAAAUGUGAAAUUGAUACUAAUAUAAAAUUUUAACACGAAUAUUUUAUGGCAUCAUCAAUAAUUCAAUUUUAAUAGAAAUUUAUAAAGAUUUAAUAUGAUUAAACAAUUCAAUAAUAUAAAUAGUACAAAAUGUGAAAUUUAAUUUAAUUUAAUAAUAUAAAUAGUAGAUAUAAAAAAAAUUAUUAUUUAAGUUUAGGGAUUUUUGGAUGAUUUGUUUUUUGGGGUAAAGGGUGAAAAAUAAAAGUUGGGAAGGAAAAUAAAAAGUUUUGAGGGUUGAAGGAGUAAAAUUUUGGGGGGAAAGUAAAUGGGGGUAGGAUGGGAGGGGAGUAAAAGUUUUUUUUUGGGGGAGGGGGGAAUGGGAGGGAGUAAAAGUAUUGGGAGAAAGUAAAAAUGUUUGGGAGUUUGGGGUAAAAAUAUAAAAUAUUAUAGUUUGGUAUUCGGUUUAUUCAAACUAUUCGAGUUAUUCAAAUUUAAAAAUUAAACUCGCUUCGAACUCGAAAUUCAAAAAAAAAUUCGAAUUGACUCGAAUAACUCUAUUCAUUUAACUCGAAAUUCGAAAUCUUCUUCUAUUUUUUUGAGUCGAAUUGAGUUUUGCUCACCCCUAGCUACUGCAAAGAAUCUUGAAGUAGGAAGCAAUUACCAUAGAUGCGAAGAUGAUGUUUCAUUGGAUGAUAUGGAUGUUUCAGGUACACAAUUGCUACCGUCGAAGCCAAACCAAAAUGAUUCCACGUUUUCAAAUAAGAAAAAAAAUAGAUUUCUGAUGAAAGUAAACAAAUUUUUACUUCACUUACUAAUGCUACCACAUUAUUGCGGGAAAACAUACGAACUGUUGGCAUUGAAUUGAGUAGGAGCAUUGCCUCCGAAGUGCUAAUUCAAGGGAAGUAAAAAAUGCUCAUUCAAGAAAGUGCCCAAAAAUUAUAUUUAGCCUGAUGUGAAGUAAAAGGAUUAAUUGAAGAUGAUCGCUUUCGUGCAUUGAACCAAAUUUCAAACUAUCCAACACAAAAGUUCAUUUUCUUUAGCCUACCUUCUUCUGUGGAAUUGGAAUGGGUAAGAAGGUUUAUUUCUACCCGUUAAAAAUCAUGGUUGUGUUAGUGAUGUUUUGGUAACUUUUUGUAUAUGUAAAUUUGGAUAGUAUAAUAACAUGAUAGAAUGCCACAGACUGUUGUAACUUUUUUAUGUUGUAAAAUUUAACAUAUAGAUUAUGGCUAUAAGCUAAUGGCAUCAUUUAACUUUUUGUUAAUGUAUCAAUAUUAUGUUUGGAUGUAAAAGAUAAUUAUCAAGCUAUUUAUUACUUCUAAUUUUUUGCUUUUUUGUUUAGAAGAUAAAAUUAUUUGUUUCGCUAAUGAUAUUCUAGCACAUUAAAUAUACAUUGUAGUUUAAAAAUAAUAAUGUAAGUUAUAUAUUAUUUUUCUAAUAUUAUAUAUUAUGAUUUUUAUUAAUUCAUAUUUUAAUAAUAUUUUAUUAAGAAUGUUAUUAAAUUAUAUAUUAUUUUAAUUAAAUUGUAUUUAAUAAUAAUUGGAUUAAAUUAUGAUUAAAUUAUUUUUUAUUAAAUUAUAUUUAAUAAUAACCCUAUUAAAAUUUAAUAACAAUUAUCAUCUACCUACAAAAAUUCUGUUAAGGGUACUCUGGUUAUUUAAGUCUUUUUUCCUUAUGCUAUUACAACAUAUAUUCCAUUCAACCAAACACAAGAAUACCAUUACAGUUUCAUUCUAUUUUAUUUAAGAAAACAAUUGAAUUACUGAUUACAACUCUAUUUUAUUACAGUCCUAUUCUAUUCCCCCCAAUCAAACGUGGUGUAAGUGUUUGAAUUGAAGUGCUUAGUUGUAGCGGCCACUUCGAUUGCCACUAUGAUGAACAACUAAAAUAGAGUAAAUAAAGGACACGAAGAGUUGUUUACGCAAUUUGAUUUCCUUAUGUUUGCGGAGCCUAUAUUGGUGAGAAAUUCCACUAUCUUUAAUCUACAAUACAACAAGUAAAUCAAACUCUAUCACUCUUCAAGUAUAAAGACCUCACUCUUGUAUAUAAAGACUUAAACACUCACGAUUGAGAAUUUAGGUUGUAAACACAAUUUGUUUACUCUUCAAAUACACUCACAAAAUAAGUUCCUCUAUGAACAAUAAGGUGCUCUCUAAGCUCAAUACAUAAACAUAUACAAAUCUUUCAAUAAAUAGAAGUUCUUUAGACUUACUAACAUACUAGAGAUCAAUUACAAUCCAAUCCCUUAAUAAUAGCAGUUACUAGAGAUUAAUGUAAAGUAAACGAUUGGAGAUUCAUUCUUCAACGGUAUGUUUAAUGUAAUCCUGGUUUGUUCUCCACAAUCCAAGGGGUUCAAUUGCUUGAUAUGAACCAAUCCAAUCUUUAAGGAUAAUUGCUUUAAAUGAAUUAAUUUUCAAAAUCGAACUUUCAUAUAUUUACAAUACCAAAGUCCAAAAAAUUAAUUUCAAUAAGCUACCAACUACAAAUAUAAUAAGUGAUAUGUUGAAUAAAAAUAACACCUUAACCACAAAUUACUUCAAAAACUUAAUCUUUUAACAUGCAUUAAUUUGUGUGAAGCCAAUUUCCAGCCAUUGUUGAAUAAUAUGCAUUUAAUCAUGGAUGCUAAAUAUCAUCUGUCACACAUUAUAUCAAAAUCAAAUCAAGCAACCAAAUAAUAAAAAUGUUGUGCUGGUUUUGUUUUUCUCUCUCCCUUCCAAUUUAUUUUGGCAACAACAGUGGCGUAGCAAAAUUAAUCAUGCAAUUCCCCUGCCCGGCCCUCAACUACUCAAAUUUCGACUUGUUACUUUAAUAUGCAUUUAAUGUGUACACUCCUUAAAUAUGCAAGAAGGAAAUAGUCGCUUUCUUUUCACCCCCAAAAAAAUUAAUUUCAUUUCUUGUUGGGUAUUUUGAAAUUAAGCACUACCAACUCCAAAUUUUAUUAUGGGUUCUGAAUUAUUAUUUUUUAAAUAUAUAUACUAUCGACUUUUUAUUUUUAAAAUAAAAAUAGAGUCGCCACCAAUCCUUUUUUAUUUAGGUGUGAUCAGAUCACCUCAAAACUCGGUUAUUUUAAUAAAACGUUGGGUUUACUAAAAUGGUAAUCUUCGGUCUACAAAGUCCAAAAAAUGGGUUCGGCAGUCGGUUACGUAUGAGGAGGGAUUAGCACCCUCAUAAUACCCAAAAUUGAUACAUAGUUGAUUACUUGUUGUUUUGAUGUCGAAAAUUGAAAGUUCAAAGAGAAUUAAAAUACGAUCUCUCUUUGCAUGAUGUUCUUUUUAAUUAAAAUCACUUAAUUAAAUUAAAUUUUAUGAAAAGACAUUAUUUUGAGUUAGUCGAGAAGAAGAGAUCAUGCCCCGUAAGUUAGGACACGAUACUUUGAAUACUCAAAAACAAGAAUAGUCACCAUUUGAUCUUUACUUAAAUAUCGUUUUUAUUAUUAUAUAUAUUUUAAAAAUAGGAUAUUCGAUUACUUUGGCCUUAGGAAGAGACCAUAAUUCAUAAGUUAGGAGCAUGACUCUUCGAAUCCCAAAAAUAAUGAACAUUGCCUUGGUUUCAAAUGUUUCCUAUACGUUGGGUAGAACGAAUGAAAAUUUUAAAACAAUAUACUUUCUAAUUUGUUUAGGCCUAGUAAUAAAAUGGAUAAAUAUAUUCUAGCACGAUGCAAGACGUGGUGAUUAACAAAAUGAAGUAAAAUAGUAGUGGAUAAAAAUGAAAUGAUGACUUUAAAAUGAUAAGCAAAUGAAUAAAUAAAUAAAUAAAUGAAGAAAAGUAAAAAAGAUGAAAUAAAGAAAUACUAUGAUAGUGGAUAAUAACAAUGCACCUAUAAUAAUAAAACAUCAAUUUUAUAAUAGUAAUAGCGAUAAUCGUGUCGUGAUUACUAGGCUAUUUUAUCAAACUAGUCCAAAAAAAUAUUAUAUUUAUAAAAAUAACCCAGGUUUAAAAACAAUCACCAAAAUAACCUAAAAUGAACAGUACCCACUCGUUUUUUGCACCCAUGAUUGCCUAAUAAUUGUGUCAGGGUUAAAAAAAUUAAUUUUUUGGGUUUUGGCAUGUCAAUGGCCGGAACCCAGGUAUUUUUUUAAAUUGUAUAAUACUAAUAUACAAAAAGAUAAAAAAAAAUAAAAACGAAAAAAAAAAAUUUUUGGUGCUGACCUGUCAAUGGCCGGCACCCAGUACAAUUAAAAAAAUAUUUUUAUUUUUUUGUGUCAGAAUUAGAUAUAAAUAUACAAAAAAAAUAAAAAAAAUUUGGGUGCUGGCCUGUCAAUGGCCGGCACCCAGCACAAUUUAAAAUUUUUUUUUCGUGUCAGAAUCAGAUAUAAAUAUACGAAAAAAAUAAAUAAUUUUUUUUAAAAUUGUACUGGGUGCCGGCCAUUGACAGGCCAACACCAAAAUUUUUUUUUUAUUUUUUUCGUAUAUUUAUUUUUUAUUCUGACACGAAAAAAAAGAUUUUUUUUUUAAUUUGUACUGGGUGCCAGCCAUUGACAGGCCAGCACCAAAUUUUUUUUUAUUUUUUCGUAUAUUUAUAUCUGAUUCUGACACGAAAAAAAGAAUUUUUUUUUUAAAAAUUUGUACUGGGUGCCGGCCAUUGACAGGCCAGCACCCAAAUUUUUGUUAUUUUUUAUUUGUAUAUUUAUAUCUGAUUCUGACACGAAAAAAAAUAAAAAUAUAUUUUUUAAAUUGUACUGGGUGCCGGCCAUUGACAAGCCAACACCAAAAUUUUUUUUUUGUUUUUCUUUUUUUCCUUUUUUCGAAUAUCAGUAUUAUACAAUUUAAAAAAAAUACCUGGGUUUCGGCCAUUGAUAGGCCAAAACCCAAAAAAUUAUUUUUUUAAAUCUGACACAAUUAUUAGGCAAUCAUAGGUGCAAAAAAUGAGUGGGUACUGUUCAUUUUAGGUUAUUUUGGUGAUUGUUUUUAAACUGGGUUAUUUUUGUAAAUAUAAUAUCUUUUUGGACUAGUUUGGUAAAAUAGCCUGAUUACUAUCAUAGUACUAAUAUGAAUAAUAAAAAUAAUAAUGAUAAAUACAAGGAUAAAAUAAAAUGUACAUAAAAAAUAUAAAUAACAUGAAUUUUAAGUGUUAAAAUAAAAUAUAUAGUAAAUAAAAAGGUAAAAUUAAAUAAAUGAGGGAUUAAGUUGAAAUUUAAACAAAACUUAAAGUAAGAAUUGUAAAAUAAAUGAAGAAAAGGGAAGUAGAGGCUAAAUUGAUAAUAGGACAGAAUUUAAUACCUAAAUUAUAAGAAAACAUAAUGUAAAGGAUUAAAUUAAAAUUAAGUAUAAAACUUUAGGGACUUCGGGCAUAAAUAAUCCCAGACCUAGCACAUGUCAUUCCAAAAGGGUCGAGAGUACAAGGACUGAUUGAAUAUAAAAAAAAACUUAAAGGCAUAAAUCGUAGAAGAAAAAAUAUAAGGGAUCCAAUUGAAACAAUGUAGAAAUCUACAAGAACCAAAUAGAUAAUUAUUCCAAACCCCAGUACAUGCCAUUCCCUUGGCAAGUCAACGCUAGGUCAAAGGACUGAAUAAUAAGAAAAUAAAAUAAAAGGCACAAAAAUAAAAUAAUAUAAAAAACAAUAUAAGGCGAAAUUGCAAGAAAGCCUAAAUACAGAAGGACUAAAAUAGAAAUUAGACCUUUUUUCAAGAAACACCGAGAUCCUAAUGGUACUCGGGUUGGGUCCUUGGAUUGCGUCAAAACGACGCCGUUCUAGGUGUCCAUUUCCAAAAAUGGUCAAUAGUCAAUGGACCAAAAUAAAAAUAAAAAUAAAAUAAAAUGGUAAAAUUAAAAAAAAAGAAAAAAAAAACUAAGUUAGGACUAUCAAGACACGCUUAAAAGUGGGAGGACCUGGGCAACAAUUAUCCCUCCUUAAAAAACACGUGGAUCUAAAGGGGGUUGGGUCGGGUUGGCGAAUCAUGUCCAAAACGAUGCCAUUUUGGGGUUUCUGAAACCAGGCCAAAACGACGUCGUACUAGUGCCCUAUUUAAGUUAAACUUUUCUGAAAAAAAUUCAUUACAUCUCUUGCUUUUUAAAAAAAACUUCCUUUCUUUUUUUUUUCUUUUCUCUCAGACCUCCCUAUGUCCGGCCACGGAGCCGUCGUUGCCCCGCAUGGCCACCGGUCAUCGACGAUGGAGACCGCCGCCUCCGGUAGGCAGAGAUUGCAAAAAAUAGACCAUUUUUAUAUUGUCUUCUCGAGAAUCCAUAUCUGGGGUCAAAAUCCCUAGAGCCCGAUCGGAGUUCAGUGACAAAAAUGGAACCUCUCGAUUCCUGGUCUUCCUCUGGUGCGGCCUUAGGCGAAUCCUUAAGGAUUCGACAGCCUCUCAGACCAGAUGAGGCACCAACGACGGCGGCAACGGUAAAAAAACUUAAUUAAUUUUUUAAUAUAUGCGUGAUUCAAAAAAAACAAAGAAAAAGAACUACCUUCUAUUAAAACUAUUGUAGUUUUCUAUUCUUUUUUUUGCUUCUCCGUAAAAAAAAUACAUCUCAAUUUUAUGGCUUUUAUAGCCUAUUACAUAUAUAUUUUCUUUUCCUUUUUGUUGUUUCUGUCAUUUUUGUCAUUUGUCUCGUUUCUUUUUUCUUUGCAGGUGUUCACGGCAAGGUCAACGACAUUGGGUAACCAUGCCUUGCCAUUUUGGUGCAAUGGUGGUAGAGGGUGCAUCAGGCCUCUAGCGGUGAGCAUGCCGAUGUGGUGGGGUGCGGCGCGAAAGGGGACUUAGGAUUUUAAGGUUUUCUAAAAAAAAUUGAGGCUGUGGGCUUGGACUUGUGUAACAUUGGGUUUGGUUUAGGUUUUGUAAAUGAACUAUGCUAUUAGGCUUAUAACUUGGACUGUUAACAAACUUUUAUUUAUUUUUGUUUUAUUUGUUUGGGUUUAUUUAUUUGUGUUAGGCAGGGCAAAAUUAGCCUAUUACAUAGACUAUAGACAUUGAUUAAAAUAUAUAAAUAUUUUUUAAGCAUAAUAAUAAAUUUAACUCUUAAUAUUUAUUCUUUUUAUCCUAUUUUUCUUUUAUCAUUUCGAUCCUAACUUUCAUGAACUUUAAUAAAAUUGUUGUUUUUUUUUGACAAAAAAAAAAAAAAACUGAUCUGUUAAGAUUUUAUCUUCAUUUACUUGGUAAUUUGUGUGAGUACCUUAUUCUUGAUGUAGAUAGUUUCUUUUCUUUUUUUCUUUUUUUAAAUACGAACCAUUUUGAAAUUGGUACUAAUCUUUUAUAUAUUUUUUUAAAUUUUUAUGAAGCAUCACGCGAGCUACUAAAUUAGUAUUAUUAUAAUUUUAAUGGUCCAUAAAAGAAGAAGAAGCAAAUUGGUUAGAUUGGAAGUAAAAAAAGAAAAAGAAAAAGGAGUAAUAUGAUAAAAAGCAAACACUAAUAUGGAGUGGAGUCAAGCUAGGUUAGAAAGUUAAUUAAGGUGAUGGAAAAAGCUAAGUUCGCUCUCAAAAUUAUAUAUGUUAAUUCCCUUCUACUUACUCCAAACCAUACAUUAUUUAACGCAAAAAUAACUAACUUUGUUACAACAUUUAGGGAAAAUAAUAAUAAAAAUUUCCAUUCAUGGACCAACAUUCGAUAUGUCACGUUACAGUAGAAAAUUUUGAUCCAUAUUUUUACCUAAUAUAUUAUAAGAAAAAGAGCUUUUAAUUAUAUAAAAAUGUAAAAUCAUUAUUUCACUUUUUAAACUAAAUAUUUGAAUGUGGAUUGUUAAAAUUUGGUUUGAAAUGAAUUAAGAAUUUUUCUAUAAUUACUUAAUUUAUAACAUCAAAUUCGAUUAUGCAGUUGUACUGCUUUUAUUUUUUAAAAUUUAAAAUCUUAAUUUUGAAUGAAAUGCUAGUCAUGAAUUUGUUAUUUUCGUAGAAUACUACAUGAUUUAGUGGGUAUAGAAUUAAAAUUUCAAAAUCCAAAAAAAAUAUAGAGAUUAAAUAUGAUGAGAUUGAAGAGUAAUGAUUAAAUUCAUAAGUUAUUAGCAAAAUUUAACCUAACCAUUUGGUUCAAAAAUGAAAAAAAUACCAAGAUUAAAUUUAACCAAAUUAAUAUCAAAAUAAUAGAACUACUUAUUUUACUAGUUUACUUUAGAUUAAAAUUUCGGAUAGUAGAUUGCUCGAAAGAUGACUAAUUUACAUUUGUUAAAAGAAUUUCUCCAAAGUAAUAAAUAAUAAUAAAAAACCCUUCAAAUUCGAGCAGUAGAUGCAUUGAUUGAAGCAAGUGUAUCUAUAUCCAAAACCAAGGUUUGAUCUACAAACCCGCUCCACCGGUUCAACAAUAGAUAUUUUUGCGCAUGGGUUGGAUAAAAGGAAUAAAAAGUUGUAUUGAUUCAACAAUAGAUGGGCGAUGGGUUCUUACCGUUUGUGAGGUAAAAGUGUGAAUUUUUGCGCAUGGCGUUGAAUGGUAGUUGAAAGGGUGAGUCAAAGAAAGAGUAGUUUAAACUUUAUGUACAUAAAUUAGAAUUAGACUAGUAGGCUUCUUGUUUUGACUAGUAAGCACAGAUCAAACACUUAUCAUCACAAUAACAACAUAAUGCGUGCAAAUAACCACUUCCAAGGCUUUCGCCUACAUAAACAAGGAUCCGCCCUUCCUAUUUUUCUUCAGCUUCUUUCUUACAUACCUGUGUUUCAACACUCGGAUUAUCUCUCCGGCAACGUCUUCCUGGUGGUGGAAGUGGUGAACACUGAAGGCUAAGUAACAAGUUAGCAAAAUGGGACCUGGAGGGCCGGGAGGAGGGCCGGGAGGACCUGGUGGACCGGGAGGAUGGGGAGGAGGACCUGGUGGUUGGGGUCCUGGCCCCGGAGGACCUGGCGGAUUUGGGCCUGGAGGUCCUGGUUGGGGUCCGGGACCUGGAGGUCCCUGGGGCCCUGGAUUUGGAGGUCCUGGUUUUUGGCCUGGUGGGUUCUUUGGCGGCUUUGCAGAUGGUUUGUGCAAUAUGAUAUCUUCCUGGUAAGCAAUCAAAUCUUUACUCAAUUCCGGUAUAGUUAAAUGCGGUUUGAUUGAGGUUAAAUUUGAUUGGGAUUGCAGCUUCUACUGUCUUUGCUGUUGUUGGCUACUACAAGACUGCUUUGGUCGACGCCCUGGCUAUGGUCCUCCCCCUUUCUAAUCAUCUGCUGGCUGCUGUUGCUAUACAUGUGUUUUCUGUAGUGCCUUGUAAUAAAUUUAAUAAUCUAGUUUUAAGCUUUUUUUCGUUGCUCUUGCUUCCGCCACUAUUUUCAUCUAUUACCAUCCAAAC